rnacentral:lncRNA from 1 species
UCUAUGAUUUUUGGCAUUGGCAGAGAAGGAAUUGAAGCUGGUCCAGGAGCUAUUCAGCCAGGCAACAGAUAACUGCUUCAAUUUGAAGAAACCAGAAUAAAAAUUGAGGACGCUUCUCUUCUUUACCUUUUUUGUAAAAUUUAUGCAGUAGAGAUGAUGACUCAGAGAAAUAGGCAUUCUACUGUUCGAAUAGUGCAAAGAGACCUGAGAUGUCACAACUCUGUACGGGUGAGUUUUGAAGUCCUUGCCGAGUAAAAGUUUCUCGGUGCACAAAAAGCAUCAAUAUGGGCAUCAAGUCAACCAAACAAUCACUCAAAUGAAGUAGUUCUGGCGAAGUAAGAAGUCUAGUCUUGAAUCUUUAAUUGCAAAAACAAACUAUAAUGUUACAUUAGCAAUGGAAAGUUCUCUGUUUUGUUGUGCACCUUCCUUCCCUCUGAAGUUUUCAAAAAUUGCUUUGUUACGUUUUGGUCCUUCUGAGGAAGGUCUUGGUAUCGGAUGAAGCAUGGGCUUGUUUGCCCUUGCAGUGUAGAUCAAGAAUCAAGAAGGCAACUUUUAUAGUUGUGAAGUUCAAGAAAUCAGAGUUUUCCGUGUCUGAACGAGAGUGGAGAAAAGGGCGGGCUUCGACUUUGAACACUAGACCCCUUGUGGGCGUGUGUCGGGUUAUGGCUAGCUUACCCUCUUUAGGGUGCUCUUCUGGCAGGCUUCGUGGCCCCAAAUAAAGGGCCCAACCAUUAGUUUAGAACUCUCCCAGAGUGUACGUAAACAGCCAAGAGAAUAGUAUAUCCUCUUCUCCAAAAGGGGCAAUGAGAAUGCUCGGCUUUCUGGUUGAACUGCCCACAUUGUUGGUGUUGUUAGGAUCCCAGAUGACGGACAUACAUUGCUGGCCUCUCUGGGCCACGUGAGCAAAGGGUCAGAAACCGAGGUUGCCAAUGUAUUUGGUGGGUACUUGGCAUCGAUGGCUUGUUAUGGCCUAAUUUGUUGCCUGCUGCUACCGACUAAACGAUCCACUACAUUUUGGGGGAUGGUGCUAAAUUGGAUGUACUUUUGGGCUAGGGAGAGGAAUUCUUCCUCACGAAUAUUAGUCUUACACCUAACAUUGGCUUUUUCAAUCUCAUUAAAUAUUUAUGGAUAGUCCAGGUUGUUGCCUUAUCUCUUGGUCAAAUCAGCCACUGAUACUCCAGGAUCAGUUUGAGAGAAGUAUGUCUGGAACUGGACUUGCAUGUCCCACCAAUUUCAAAUGGAACUCGUGGGCAAACUGAGGUACCACUUUGAGGGAAACCGCAUCAACAUAUAGGACCCUUAUCAAUUGAUGUUGGACAAUAUUUGAGUGGCAUGUGGAAAUAUGCAAUGAGGGAGGCAUAUAGGGGCCCAUUAAAAUUUGACUUGGAACUUCCUAUUCAGAUAGUCAAAUCCAAAACUUAAGCUAUUUGGUGGAGAAAACCACAAGAAUAUAUAUAGCACAUGAGACCAAUUAUCAAGUAAUGUGUGACAAUAUUUCAACAGCUAUGAUUUCACAUUCACAAGUGAACAUAGUGAAUUAAGGCACUUCAUACUUUCUAGGGACAGGUCGAUGUGAUCAAGGAAUGAUUUCCUAGACAAAAGCCUUUAGUAUAGGUCCAUGCAAAUAUUUCUAUUGUCCUAGUCAGAUAUUCUUUGUCCAGAGGAUUGGGUACUCUCGGUUCAUUUUCAUCGAGUUAUUCUUCAUGGUCUUGUCAAUUUCUAGUCUCCUUGGAGGCUAGGUGUAGUUCCCCACUUUUUUUGCCAUCAUUCACAUUGACCUCUCUAGGAACCACUUGUGAUUGUUUCCUUCUCCUAACAUUAGCAUCGAAGGCCUCAGAUUAUUCAUCCAAUUCUUUAUUAGACUUUAUCCUGAAUUUCCAAAAGGUCCAAGUGAAUCAAUCGAAAAGAUAUUCCUGCACACUUUCAUUAGGAGACUGAGACGGUGGGCUUUCGUUCCCUGGACCAUCCCUAGCCGGGGAGGCUUUUGUUGGGUUAGAACCCAACUUUUGGUUAUUGGAGUAGUUGGCUUCACAACGGUGAAGCCCAAACAUGCUUCCAGUACUUCGGCAAGACAUUCUAUUCUCCAAUAGUGGUCGCCAUAAAAACAUGUAAGGUGGACUUUUCACAAGAUUGUGAUCCCCAUAAACUCAGUGAUUUCAAUUAGUAAUAAAAGUCCAAACGAGGGUGAUCGAUGACCAAUUAAAAUGUUAAAAUUGAGGUUGAAUCCAAAGUAAAUGAAUUCUAACGUGUCUUGAAGUCUCGAGAACUCCGAAAAAAAUGUGAAUUACUGAUGAAGCACAAACUGUAGAUUGGAAACAAGGAAAUUGAAUUGUAAUUUUGUUGAACCAGAAUGGAUGGCUUGCAUUCCUUGAGGCCAUACUUACUCGAUCACUAAAACUGAACAUAUACCAUUAAUGGCGUUCCCUAGGAUGCGUGAAGAAAGUAAAAAAAACUAACAAAACACAACAGGAAUGCUUCUAUAAACAACGACAAAUAUUGAAACUAGGAAACCUAAUAUAAAAUGAAAUUCAAAUCCGAAUUCAGGUUAAUCUGAUCUACUCUAAAUAACCUCCUCAUCUUCAUAUCUUCACAAUUAUUCUAAUGUGCUUUGGGAUUUUGUGGUGCCUCCCGUUGAUUCUUCUUUUGUCUUUUAAAUGGACAAUUGCGUUAUACAUUCUAAUCUUCCUCCACAAGAAUCAUUAAACAUCUUCGCUUGCACGCUACUCUAGGUGAUUUGCAACUGCUUUUGAUUUCUUAGCUAUGGUUACUUACCGGUAGAUUAAUCCUCCUUAGGUCAAUCUUUAACUUCUAUGCAUGUUUCGAAUCAAUUGAUAGUCACCUAGUAUCAUGCAAUUGGCUCCAAUACUGUCAAUUAGAAACUUGUGAUCGAUGAGUUCAUUAGAAGUUUCAUAUAGGCUUUGUGGGUUAAAUGUAUUGUCAUGGCCUGAUUUGAACUUAAUUUGGACUGCUAACUUCUUCACGUUUGGGCCUAAAUUUUAGCUCCGAUUUCAACAUGGGGUUAGUGGAAUAAAAGAGGAAAAGAAAAUUAAAUGGAUAUGUACAGUACAAGUCCUAAAACUUGUCAACAAAGUGCAAUUGAGUCCUAAAACUUACAAAAAGUGCAAUCAAGUCCUAAAACUUGUAAACUUGGUUCAAUUCAGUCCUUUCGUUAACACCGUUAGUUUAUGUUAACGGAAAUUGCUGAUUUGGCUUAUUUUAAUAUUUUCUCUCUCCUACGUGGCAAUUAGGGCAAGAAAAAUUGUGCACGUAAGCGAAACGACGUCGUUUUGUGGGUAUUACCAUUCUCAAAACGACAACGUCUCUCCUCUGUUUUUUUUCACGACGUCUCCUCCUCCGUUUCUCCGUUUCUUUACGACAUCUCUUCGAUUCUUCCUCUCUCGAAUCAACGAACCCUAAGCCCUAAAUCUCGCAGAUCUCUUCCCUCUUCCCCUCUCGAAUCAACGCAACCCUAAGCCCGAAAUCUCGACGCAGAUCUCUUCCCUUCUUCCCGUCUCGAAUCAACGCAACCCUAAGCCCUAAAUCUCGACGCAGAUCACCGCCUCGCGAGUUGCAGUUCUUCAUCAAACGCUGGUGCGAGUACGCGCGACACUCAUCCCACGAGAGCCUUGGCGGUGGAUCGAGCGGCGCCGACGGUGGAGGCGAGUGGAUUGAGCGGCGUCGACGAUGGAGGCGAGGUGAAUUUGUUUGCACCGCUCGCUUACUCUGUGCUUGACAGGCUGAAGUCUUUGGACCAGUUGACUCAGAUUUCUUCUCUCAUGUGUAUUGGGGAUUGUGAUUACCGGAGCCGAGUCGCGAGGAGGUCGUCCCGGAGGUGAGGGUCGAGGAUCGCAAUUCCUUGGACGAGGCUAAGCAAAGCUCUCCUGAUUACCGAGUGACAGGUCAUUUUCUGGAUGAAUCGUGCGUGCGCAUGUGUGUGGAGAAUGAUUGAUUGCACUUGCGCGAUGCAUGUCCUCCGUUUGCGUAAAUUCUUUUGCUGCUUCUUGCUGGUGUAUCCGCAGGCUAGUUGUGGGACUUUGUGUUGUUAUGAUACCUCUACAAUGGAACAGUAGCUCGCUGAUUUUGAUGCUUGAGAGAUCAUAAACGGUAAUCAAUUCGAUUGAAAACGGUUAGCUGAUGUUUCCUUAGACUUGGCUUGAAUGCGUACCUCGCUUUACGAGGAUAAUCACCCAUCCCACCACCUUGCUAGGCAUUCUAGAUGUUUAUAUAUCAAAUUUGUCCUUUGUCGUAGUAAUUCCAUUAAUUGAGAUCACAGAUGCAUGCUGAAUUUACAUUAAAACUCACUCUCAAAUUUGGUUGCUAAUUCUACUGCUUGGAACGAAUAUAGAUCAUUUAAACACUGCCUACAAAAGAACUGUCAUAGGUAUCAACUUUCAUAUGAUUGUCCUUGUUCAUAUGCCAUUGUGGAUGUCAGUUAUUUGAAUAAAUACUGAUACUGCAGUUUCACCAUCAUUCAAUUCUUGUAAUUGAUGCUGUGGAUAAUCAACAAUGCCUACAAAAGAACUAUCGUAGGCACGUUUAAAUUGAACUUCUUUACAUCACAUUGUUCAGUAAUUAUUCACUAGAAUCAUCAUCAUGGCUGAUAAAUGUACAUGACCGUUACACAGUACCUGCUUAGUGGUGUCACAUGACUAUGAAUGUUUUCAAAGAACUGUAACUUAACAGAAAUCAGUUAAAGAUUAGAUGGCCUAAUGAUAUAUUGCCUCAACAACCAGUUCUGUCAAGAAUUAUCCUCUUUUGGAAUUAUCUAUGGAUAUAACAUUUUCCUGUUCUUCCCCAUUUUUUUAUGCUUGUUGCUAUCCCAUAAUCCUUUAAGUUGAAUCUAUAGAUAUAGUUCCUUUUCACUGUCGAUGACGACAGUGAUUGCAACUGUAUGUAUNNNNNNNNNNNNNNNNNNNNNNNNNNNNNNNNNNNNNNNNNNNNNNNNNNNNNNNNNNNNNNNNNNNNNNNNNNNNNNNNNNNNNNNNNNNNNNNNNNNNNNNNNNNNNNNNGAAGUCAUUUUCUAGCUACAGGAUGAGUUGUUGGUGUUCCAAUCUUGUGAGGAGACUUACGAUCACAUCUUUUUUCAUGAUGCAUUUGCAGUAAUCUGGUUGGCAACAACUUUGCAUUGGACAACUCUGACAGAAGGUAAAUGCCUAGCGAUUUUUUGUUUAUGAUGCUUGAGAGAUCAUAAACGGUAAUCAAUUCGAUUGAAAACGGUUAGCUGAUGUGUCCUCAGACUUGGCUUGAAUGCGUACCUCGCUUUACGAGGAUAAUCACCCAUCCCACCACCUUGCUAGGCAUUCUAGAUGUCUAUAUAUCAAAUUUGUCCUUUGUCGUAGUAAUUCCAUUAAUUGAGAUCACAGAUGCAUGCUGUAUUUACAUUAAAACUCACUCUCACAUUUGGUUGCUAAUUCUACUGCUUGGAACGAAUAUAGAUCAUUUAAACACUGCCUACAAAAGAACUGUCAUAGGUAUCAACUUUCAUAUGAUUGUCCUUGUUCAUAUGCCAUUGUGGAUGUCAGUUAUUUGAAUAAAUACUGAUACUGCAGUUUCACCAUCAUUCAAUUCUUGUAAUUGAUGCUGUCGAUAAUCAGCAAUUCUGCAAAGCUCAGUAUUAGUAUUCACUAAUCAAGCCUUACGGUUCGAACCAUGACUUGGAGAAGCUAUCGCCGCUUCAAUGAUUUAAAAACUUUUAGCAUUUAAUUAGCAAUUGCAUCAUCCAUGAAGGAACCUUAAAUGUUUCAAUGAAAGUCAUAAAAAUAAAGGAAUUUUUCUUGCAAUAGAAUUAUCUGCUUUUGGUUUAGUCAUAAGUUCAUGCUGCCAUACUGGUCAACUGAAUAAAAUUUUCUUCUUUUAUCUUAGCCUUCUCCCUUCAGGAUUAAACUGUCUUCAGCAGAAUUUUCCUUGCAACAGGGGGAAAGGAAUUUGUAAGUCCAUAUAACCUUUUUCCCCUUAAUACGCUUUCCUUUUGUUGAAUGCCUCAACAAGAGGAGGACAGGAGAUUGGGUUUAUAGCUACCUUACAUAUUUCGAGGGAUCACUUCGCCGGAGGCUCCGAGAUUUGGGAAAGUUUUCAGCGGGCAGUUCAUUGCUCAGGCAUAAUUAGUUCAGUUUACUAUCACUUUCAACUCCUUUUUUGCCGAUGCAGGUUUGCUGAUGCUUGUAUUGGAGGGUUGACUACUCUCAAGGUCAUCCAUCAACAUGGGUAUGUUUACCCUACCUAUUUCUCUUUACAAGUGAAGUCAUUAGUAGUUUUUAGAUGAAAUUUUACGAUUGAAAGUGCUAUUUGUUUCUAUUCUUUUGUAGGUCCAACGGGCAACAACAAAGUUUAUCUCACUGUUUUCUUUGGAGGUAAAUUUCAAGCUGGACCGCCCUUAGAAUACGUAGAUGGAAGGGUCGAUGUUGUUGAAGUAGACAUAAGUAAGGGUUCAUUAUCCAACAUAAUUUCAGCUGUUGAGGUUCUGUGUGGGCGUAAGAUAGAAAAGCUCUUUUAUAGAGUUCCUGGAAGUACUAUUCUUGAAGAUGGAGUAACUCUUAGGUACUUAUGGGAUAACUCCAAUGUGAUAGAUCAAUUUUAUCAUCAUCUUCACUCUGAAAAUAUUGAAUUGUAUGUUGAGCACGUCGAUGAUGAAGAAACGCUUGAUGAGAUAGGGGGAGUUGAGAUGGAAACUGAAGGUUUGUUUGAUGUGAAUAUAGAAAGUGUUAAUAAUGUGGCUGAUGAUGUGUUUGAAAAUAUAAUUGGAAAUGCCGAUGGUGAUGGGAACCAGCUUGAGGGUGAAAGUAGGAAUGUGGAUGAUGAGAAUGAUGAUGCAUGUAAUUUGGUGGAUGUUGAAGAGUCGAGUGACGAUGAUGAUUUUGAAUUGGUUAAAGCAAGAAGAAAUUUAAAAGAAUUUUCAGCGAGACAUAGACUCAAAAUUGGAACUAACAUUGAAGAAACUUCUCAAUUAGACAUUGGCUCUCAAACUCCAUUAUCAGUUGAUCCUCUAAUGGUGGAUGUGUCUGGGUGCGAAACAUAGUACUAUGAUUCAGAUGAAGAAGAAAGUCUUCAUUCAGAUUUAGAUAAUGAGAGUGAAAAAGAAGAAAAUGAUGUUAUUUCAAGAAGAAGGAGUAGGUUUCCAUCAUAUGAUCGAAAUUGUAAGAAUCCAGUAUUUGUUGUUGGCAUGACAUUUGAAGAUUCAAGUGAGUUCAAAGAUGCAAUUUUGAGGUACUCAGUGGCUGAGCAAAGAGCAAUUAAAUACACCAAGAACACUACUGGAUUUGUAAAGAGCUAGGUGUGCCGAAGCUAAUUGUAACUGGAUGAUUUAUGAUGCUCUCGAUAGCCAAACUGGAUCAUUCCAUUUGAAAAAGUACAUUGAUGAGCAUAUAUGUGCUAUUACUUUUGAGAAUAAGAGAGUUUCUAGUUCUUUUUUAGCUAAACACUUCAUGAUUCUCAUUUCUGCAAUGCCUAAAGUUAAAGCACCUCAGUUGAAGAUAUUGGUUAGAGAACAGUUGGGGGUGAAUGUCACUGUGAGCCAAUGCAGGAGAACAAAGCUAAAAGUGUUAAAGGAAUUACAAGGCAAUUAUAAGAAAGAGUAUGCACUGAUGUACGAUUACUUGGGAGAGCUUUACAUUGCAAGCCGGGCGAGCACAUUUAUAAUGAAAGUUGAAAGACCACUACCAGAUUCCUUACCAUUAUUUGAUAGGACUUACAUUUGCUUUGAUGCCUGUAGGAAAUGAUUUUUGGCAGGGUGUCGGAAGAUCAUUGGAUUAGAUGGAUGUUUUCUUAGGGGAUUGAUCAAGGGUGAGUUGUUGUGUGCUGUGGGGAGGGAUGCUAACAAUCAAAUGUAUCCAGUAGCAUGGGCAGUCGUAAGAAUUGAGAAUAAGGACACAUGGAGCUGGUUUAUCAACUUGUUGAAAGAAGAUCUUGACAUGGGUAAUGGUAAUGGAUGGGCCUUAAUAAGUGACCAACAAAAGGUAUGUAAUACUACUAUCGCUCAUCUUGAAUUUGUUUGAAACAAUGUAUAUAAUGAUUUCUAAUAUUAAUGUUUUCUUUUCUUUUUUUUUAUAUAUUAGGGCCUCAUUCCUUCAGUAGUUGAACUUUUGCCAAAUGCAGAACAUAGAAUGUGUGCGAGGCAUAUAUAUUGUAAUUGGGGUCAAAAAUACAAAGGAAAGCAGUUGAUGAGACAAUUCUGGAAAUGUGCUAAGAGUACUAAUAUGUCAGAUUUUGAGGUGCAUAAACAAAGAUUGAAGGAAAUGACUCCACAAGGUCAUGAUGAUCUAUUCCAGAUUGAGCCAAAGCACUGGUCUAAAGCCUUAUUUGACACCGACAUAAAAUGUGAUGUUGUUGAUAAUAAUCUUAGUGAAGCUUUCAAUGGUAGGUGUGUGGAAGCUAGGUGUAAGGCCAUUGUGAGUAUGCUUGAAGAUAUUAGAAUCAUGAUUAUGAAUAGAAUGCACAAUCAAAGGGAUGCAUGUGCUAAGUGGACAAGGAAUUAUGGUCCAAGGAUUGUGCAUAAGUUACAUCAGAAUACAGUGGCUAGUAGAUAUUGCCAUUUGAUAUGGAAUGGAGAUCAAGGAUACGAGAUUAUGGAAAAUGGUGACAAAUAUGUUGUAGACUUCAAUUUGAAUACUUGUUCUUGUAGAGCUUGGAAAGUUAGUGGAAUCCCAUGUUGCCAUGCUAUAUGUGCAAUACACCACAAGAAAAAUGAUCCGGGUGACUACCUAGCCGAUUGCUAUAACAGGAACAAAUACUUAAGUGCUUAUCAAUUCAUGAUGCCUACUGUGAGAGGACAGAAAUUUUGGGGUAAAACUAAUAAAGAAGCCCCUCAGCCCCCACCGAUCAAAAAGAUGCCUGGUAGGCCAAAAAGGAGUAGAAGAAAGCAACCACUUGAGCUUGUAAGAGAGAACAUAAUGACUAAAGAGGGUAAGCGAAUGACUUGUUCUACUUGCCAUGUGGUUGGACAUAAUUGUAAAGGAUGUCCUCUGAGAAAGGUAUUUCUUAACUAAUUGAUUUUGUUGAUUCUAAGCCUGUUGUCUUGUCAUCAAUGCUUACUAUGUGCUUUUUAGGCCCAUGCAAAUGCACCUGAAGCUCAAUCUCAAGCCAAUUCCAGUGGAUCAAGGCCUAAAAAAAGACAAGUAUGUUGUGAUAGAUUCAUGCAUUGUAAGUUAUAAAUGUAAAGAUUUCGAUUUACUAAUGACGUAUAUAUAUGCAGGCUAAAGCUACAGCAACGGCAAGUACAACUCAAGGAGGAUCCAAAGGCCAUAUCAUUGCUUCUGCAGAAGCUAGUGCACUUGUACAGAUAAUAGUGGGCAGACAAAUUCUUCAGCCAAUGCUUUUGCAGAAGCUAGUGCACAAGUAGAAGAUACUUCUGCCAAUGCUUUUGCAGAAGCUAGUGCACCAAUUGAAGAUACUUCAGCCAAUGCUUUUGCUCAAGUCGAUGUGCCAGCAGAAGAUACUUUAGUCAAUGCAUGUACAGAACUCACUGGACCAGUGCAAGAUACUUCAGCCAAUGCUAAAGCUCAGUCUAGUGUAAAUGAAAGAGGAUGUUGGGCUACUGCUAAUGUAAGUGGAUGUAGUGGACAAGCCAAUUCUUUUGCUAAAGCUAGUGUUAAUCAACGACAAGGAUUUUUUCGUGCUCAAGCCAAUGCAAUAGCUAGCAGCAGACCUCAAAAAAUCCCGGUGAGUAAUACCUCACCAGCCAUGCAUUCAUGUGUUGUAAUUACAUUGUCACAUUCGAUUUUUUGUUUUUUUUUUCAGUUUAAAAGACCUGCCAUUGAAAUGGAAACGAUACAAGGGCAGUCACAACCGAACAAGAAAAAGAAAAUGGUAUGUUUACACAACUCCUAAAAACAACCUUCAAAUUCUCAAUGUGAGUAUGUUUUAACACUUUACAAUGGGAACUGAUUGUCUCCUUGAACUAAAAACAUACCCAUUCUUUUGUAGCCUAUCUCAACUCAUACAAGAUUAUCGAAACAAUCGGACAAAGGAGUAGUUUUAGGAGCUUCAAUGGAAAAAGCGCAUCCCCAAGCUAGUGCACAGCCUCAGUCAUCUCAAAGUGCUCUUCAAAAGCAUGUUGUUGUGAAGUCAAAGCCACCAUUGCAACUCCAGGACAGUUUGCAGCUUCAAGCAUUAAGAACUUAUCCUCGAAAGCACAUCGGUGUAAAGCCAAAGCCACCAUCGCACCCCCAGGCAAGUUCUCAGCCUCAGUCCCAAAAACAUGUUGCCAUAAAGCCGAAGCCGAAGCCACCAUUACAACCGCCAAUGAGUUCACAGCCUCAGUCAUCUCAUACUUCAAUUGCUCCCGCAAAGCCUAUUUGGAAGUGAGUCACAAAAGGCACACCAUAUACAAUUAAAAGCUCACGACUUAUGAAUCAAGCGCACGAUGAACCUGGUGGACCACCCGAGAUAGUUCAACCACCCGAGACAGUAGACUUGGAUUGACGUGCUUGCUAAAUGUGUCUUGUCUCAUGAAAGUUGCAACAAGAAAUUCUCCUUUAACAUUAUCUUGGGUGCUGUUUUUGCUGGCCAAUUUCUUAUAUGGUUUGUGGUUUGUAGUGUUUUGUAGCAAUCAAUUUUAGUGAUUUUGUAAUCACCAAAGAACGUGUUGGGACUGUGUUUAAUGACUCGUCCCUUUUGCUGUAUACAUUUGAGAAUAUCGUAUCCGUCUCUUUGCCUCUUGGAUGCAGUAGUGCAAUGUGCAAAUUUAUCUGCCUAAGAAAAGAGCACCUUUGUUUUGCAUCCGUGUAUCUGAGGCAGCAUGCCAUGGUACGUGCAUGUUCCUUUUCAGUUUCUUUAUUUGAAUAGGAGUUUUAUAUAUGUUGAGCACCUCAGUACAGUCUCCAUAUAUAUUCACAACUUACAUAAUGUCAAAAAGAAGGUUGCGGUGGAGGGAAUGUUCGGCCGUUUUGAGUUAAAAAAAACUUGUCUAUCUCUAGAUACCUUUCAUUACAUAGUACACACCGAUAUUAUCGAGACGAAUCCCCAUUAGAGAUUAUAUUUGGCAUCUAGAGCUCCUUUAACAUCAUCUCAAGAUUCUGUUGUUUCUGCAGUGAAUCGUCAUCUCGUUUCGGCCAAGAUUUCAUCGCGUACACACCGCUCACAUUGGGUGGUACCUCGUUCUCAUCCACGAAGACAUUGCCUUCGUAAGUCACUGCCCCUCCAUCUCGAACUCUGCCAUUGCCAGUUACUUCUACAAUCAAUUUCGGAAAACCAAUGCUCUCUUCACGAAUCAGACCCUCCCUUGCCUCUCCUAUCAACUUCUCAGUCCUUUCGCUUUCGAGGAAAGAAACCCUUUUGAAAGAAACCAGAGAGGGCUUGCUUGGAAAGUUCUUUCCUUUCUUCUGACGUAAAGCCAAGAAAGAGAGAGUCGUGCAAGCUAACAUUCGUCAGAAUGCAAAAGCAGUAUAAUUUGUCAAGGCAUGGAAAGUCCCGAACGGGGGGUUUGAAACUUUUAAAAAUCCAAAGAGCCGGCUUUGUCACGUAACUCCCUUUACUUCAUGCCCCAAACAGUACCUUUUUCUCUCCUUUCUAAAUGCUUUUGAUUUGAUGAAGCAAAAGUUCGAAGGGCGAGGGCAGCUUAUAUAGAGGAAAACAAGCUUCCCAGACUUCAUUUCCAUAAAUACCUGAGAGUGCUGUCUUUUUUCCUUUGAUGGAACAUUUAAAAAAUCAUCAUCCAAAUAGCAUUCACUGAAAGAACACACGAAAUUGUUUACAUUUCCACGCAACAUGAGUUUCCUAAUUUUACAGGGCAAAAGAGAAUCGGGAUAAAGUAAUUAAAUACAAACUUAGAAACAAGGUACUAUGGAAGACUUAGAAACUUCUCAUUGGCUUUCACAUUAAAUAUAAUCCCCAUAAUGAUAUAACACAUGCAUAGAAAAAAUCCCAAUUGAUAGAGCAUCUUCCCUUUCUUCACUCGUGCAAGCUCUUCCUUUAAAAGUCCAUUUUUCGCCUUUUGCGCCUUCAUUUUAGCUAUCAGUGAGCUUACAUAAUCGUCGUUGCAUCUGGAUUGGCUUGACUCCGAUAGUGCUUGAUUUCUUUCAAGCAGUUCGACUAUCAUGUCCCUCGCUUGAUCCGGUAUUUUUUGGUCAACCCACAUGAAGAAAUUGCAGCAACCUGGAUCAUCAAACUUAGCACAUCCAUAGAACCUUCUUCCUGCGUUUUUCUUUGUUUUUGCAAUAAGAAGUGGUGAUCGAAGACCACAAUAGCAGGUUAACUCUGAUUCGACCUCAUUAGGAGUUACACCACUUGAUUUAGAAGUUGUUGCCCUCAUUCUUCUUGUCGCCAUAUUAAAAAAGCAUAUCACAGUUGCAAACUAGCAAAACCUACACCAUAGGAGAAUAAAGGCAUGUUAACCUUCAAAACAAACAUGUAAUGACAACUUAUUCACAGAUAAAGACCACAUGCCUGCUGUCCUACAUUUAAUCUUAGCAUGUGUCGCAAAACUGUACACAGUAGCUAGAGACCUCUAAGACGAAAAUAUGGCCAUGCGAUAUAAAUCUUGUUUCCAAGAAUAACAUGCACAUGAAAAUAAGUUCAUGGAAACUAGAAAUCUUCUUUUCUUAACAUCAUCAAGCAACAAAAAGCAUAUCAAGCAGUGCAUUGGAUUCCAUCACAUAAGAAUUGUGUAAGCAAUGGACAAUGAGACAAAUCAUUUGGUAUCGUCAUCGACAGUGAAAAGGAACUAUAUCUAUAGAUUCAACUUAAAGGAUUAUGGGACAGCAACAAGCAUAAAAAAAUGGGGAAGAACAGGAAAAUGUUAUAUCCAUAGAUAAUUCCAAAAGAGGAUAAUUCUUGACAGAACUAGUUGUUGAGGCAAUAUAUCAUUAGGCCAUCUAAUCUUUAACUGAUUUCUGUUAAGUUACAGUUCUUUGAAAACAUUCAUAGUCAUGUGACACCACUAAGCAAGUACUGUGUAACAGUCAUGUACAUUUAUCAGCCAUGAUGAUGAUUCCAGUGAAUAAGUAUUGAACAAUGUGAUGUAAAGAAGUUCAAUUUAAACGUGCCUACGACAGUUCUUUUGUAGGCAUUGCUGAUUAUCCACAUCAUCAAUUACAAGAAUUGAAUGAUGGUGAAACUGCAGUAUCAGUAUUUAUUCAAAUAACUGACAUCCACAAUGGCAUAUGAACAAGGACAAUCAUAUGAAAGUUGAUACCUAUGACAGUUCUUUUGUAGGCAGUGUUUAAAUGAUCUAUAUUCGUUCCAAGCAGUAGAAUUAGCAACCAAACGUGAUAGUGAUUUUUAAUGUAAAUUCAGCAUGCAUCUGUGAUCUCAAUUAAUGGAAUUACUACGACAAAGGACAAAUUUGAUAUAUAAACAUCUAGAAUGCCUAGCAAGGUGGUGGGAUGGGUGAUUAUCCUCGUAAAGCGAGGUAGGCAUUCAAGCCAAGUUUGAGGACACAUCAGCUAACCAUUUUCAAUCGAAUUGAUUACCGUUUAUGAUCUCUCAAGCAUCAUAAACAAAAAAUCGCUAGGCAUUUACCUUCUGUCAGAGUUGUCCAAUGCAAAGUUGUUGCCAACCAGAUUACUGCAAAAUGCAUCAUGAAAAAAGAUGUGAUCGUAAGUCUCCUCACAAGAUUGGAACACCAACAGCUCAUCCUGUAGCUAGAAAAUGACUUCAAGUACUAUAGAGCAUCCCAUGAGCAAUAAAAGAUUGAUAAAGUGCAAAAGAAGAGUCCUCACUUUAGAUAUCUAACUAAAAGUAUAAAUUAUCAUUUUCCGAAUGACAAAAAUACAUACAGUUGCAAAUCAUUGUCGUCAUCGACAGUGAAAAGGAACUAUAUCUAUAGAUUCAACUUAAAGGAUUAUGGGACAUCAACAAGCAUAAAAAAAUGGGGAAGAACAGGAAAAUGUUAUAUCCAUAGAUAAUUCCAAAAGAGGAUAAUUCUUGAUAGAACUGGUUGUUGAGGCAAUAUAUCAUUAGGCCAUCUAAUCUUUAACUGAUUUCUGUUAAGUUACAGUUCUUUGAAAACAUUCAUAGUCAUGUGACACCACUAAGCAGGUACUGUGUAACGGUCAUGUACAUUUAUCAGCCAUGAUGAUGAUUCUAGUGAAUAAUUACUGAACAAUGUGAUGUAAAGAAGUUCAAUUUAAACGUGCCUACGAUAGUUCUUUUGUAGGCAUUGUUGAUUAUCCACAGCAUCAAUUACAAGAAUUGAAUGAUGGUGAAACUGCAGUAUAAGUAUUUAUUCAAAUAACUGACAUCCACAAUGGCAUAUGAGCAAGGACAAUCAUAUGAAAGUUGAUACCUAUGACAGUUCUUUUGUAGGCAGUGUUUAAAUGAUCUAUAUUCGUUCCAAGCAGUAGAAUUAGCAACCAAACGUGAAAGUGAGUUUUAAUGUAAAUUCAGCAUGCAUCUGUGAUCUCAAUUAAUGGAAUUACUACGACAAAGGACAAAUUUGAUAUAUAAACAUCUAGAAUGCCUAGCAAGGUGGUGGGAUGGGUGAUUAUCCUCGUAAAGCGAGGUACGCAUUCAAGCCAAGUUUGAGGACACAUCAGCUAACCGUUUUCAAUCGAAUUGAUUACCGUUUAUGAUCUCUCAAGCAUCAAAAUCAGCGAGCUAUUGUUCCAUUGUAGAGGUAUCAUAACAACACAAAGUCCCACAACUAGCCUGCGGAUACACCAGCAAGAAGCAGCAAAAGAAUUUACGCAAACGGAGGACAUGCAUCGCGCAAGUGCAAUCAAUCAUUCUCCACACACACGUGCACGCACGAUUCAUCCAGAAAAUGACCUGUCACUCGGUAAUCAGGAGAGCUCCGCUUAGCCUCGUCCAAGGAAUCGCGAUCCUCGACCCUCGCCUCUGGGAUGACCUCCUCGCGACUCGGCUCCGGUAAUCACAAUCCCCAAUACACAUGAGAGAAAAAUCUGAGUCAACCGGUCCAGAGACUUCAGCCUGUCAAGCACAGAGUAAGCGAGCGGUGCAAACAAAUUCACCUUGCCUCCACCGUCGGCGCCGCUCGAUCCACUCGCCUCCACCGUCGGCGCUGCUCGAUCCACCGCCAAGGCUCUCGUGGGACGAGUGUCGCGCGUACUCGCACCAGCGUUUGAUGAAGAACUGCAACUCGCGAGGCGGUGAUCUGUGUCGAGAUUUAGGGCUUAGGGUUGCGUUGAUUCGAGAGGGGAAGAGGGAAGAGAUCUGCGAGAUUUAGGGCUUAAGGUUCGUUGAUUCGAGAGAGGAAGAAUCGAAGAGAUGUCGUAAAGAAACGGAGAAACGGAGGAGGAGACGUCGUGAAAAAAAACGGAGGAGAGACAUCGUCAUUUUGAGAAUGGUAAUACCCACAAAACGACGUCGUUUCGCUUACGUGCACAAUUUUUCUUGCCCUAAUUGCCACGUAGGAGAGAGAAAAUAUUAAAAUAAGCCAAAUAAGCAAUUUCCGUUAACAUAAACUAACGGUGUUAACGGAAGGACUCAAUUGAACCAAGUUGACAAGUUUUAGGACUUGAUUGCACUUUUUGUAAGUUUUAGGACUCAAUUGCACUUUGUUGACAAGUUUUAGGACUUGUACUGUACAUAUCCAAAAAUUAAAUGCAACGUCUUUCCAUGCCAUCGAGAAUGAAGAAAGAAAGAUUGCCCUUUAAGUUUUCCGGUGUUGGUUGAAGAUCCCCCCCCCCGGGGGGGGGGGGGGUUGGGUUGGGGAGAUCGAGAUACCUGAUGAAAUAUGUCCACGGCUAAUGCUGCACACUAUUCCUCAAGUAAAUCAACUUCUCCAUCGCAAGUUUCAUGCUAAUAAAGCCGUGAUUUUGGAAAAAUCUCAAAUAGAGAUAUGAAAUGCCCUCUUUUUACUCAUAAGAGGAAUAUAGUCCAUCUCAAAUAAAGAUCCAAAAUAAUUAUUUGGUCUCAAAAAAGGAUCUAGCUCAUCGACGGGCGAACAAAAGCAUCUCCCACGUCUGGUCAGGGAUAAUUUCAUCCAAAAAUAUUCUUUUUUCGUUUUCGUUUACCCUGUUCAUUAUGUCUAAUGCUAUAUACUAUUUCUCAAGUGAAUCAACUUCUCCAUUGCAAGUUUUGUGCUGUUAUUGGCUUGUUAUGCUUGUCUUUGUCCGAUGGUCAUAUGCAAUUAGGCAUCCGGGCUAGUUGGGCAAAACCAACAUAGGGUACUUGGAUUGACAAUGCUCAAGUCGAAAAGUAAUCAUUAGUGCUCAUUAUAAAAAUUGCUAUGGACAAUGCUCAACUCUAAAAGGAGCAAGUGUUGCUCAUUAUAAAAAUUGCCGACAAAUUGCUUGCCAUUUAGAUGUGUUUGGUUUCAAUAUAUCAUCACGCAACUAUAUACGUUGUGAUUUUUGUCAUUUAUGUCUAAUGUUGUACACUAUUUCUCAAGUAAAUCAACUUCUCCAUUGCAAGUUUCAUAAAGCUGUGAUUUUUGUUGGCUUGUUAUGCUUGUAUGUUUAUAACUUACUAUGGAUAGUUUUACUUUUAUUUUAAUUUUUUGGUAUGUCAUUGAGUUUGUGAGACUUAAUUUCAAUAUCAAUGGAACGAUCUUGUUGCUUGUCAAUUUUUUUUGUCUUUUUCAUUUUUGGAUUUUGCUUUUACUUGAUGAUGUUGCUGGUAUGUCUGUGGUGGUAGCUAAGGUGCUGGUAUGGCUAGUGAUGUCUAGUAGUAGUGGGUCUAUUAUGAUGGUUCGGUUUGAGGCUUGUGUUGUUUCUAGUGCAAGUGUGCAGUGUGCACAUCUUGCACCAAGUGGUGCUGGUGCAAGGCUCGGCUUACAUCAACACCUUCUGCAGCAUACCCACAAUUAGUACAGUGGCUGGUGGCUGGGGUGCUAGUGUGGUGGCUAAUGGUGGUAGCUGGUGAUGCCUUGUGGUGAUGGGUUUGUGGUGGGAAUUCUGUUGGCGGCUUGUGCCACACCUAGUGCAAAUGUGCAGUAUGCACAUCUUGUAUCAGGUGGUGCUGGUGCAAGCUGUACCUUGUGCAGCAAACCCACAACCAACAUAGUGAUUGGUGGCUAGGGUGCUAGUGUGAUGGCUAGUGGUGGUGGUAGGUGAUGGCUAGUGGUGCUAGUGGCCGAUGAUGCUUGAUGGUAGUGGGUCUAUGGUAGGGGUUGAGAGCUCAUGCAACACCUGGUGCAAGUGUGCAAUAUGCAUUCUUACACCAAGUGGUAUUGGUGCCAAGCGAGUGUAAGGCUCAGCUUACAAACACCUUCUGCAAUAGUACACCACUAGCACAGUAGUGGCUAGCCAUGGCUCGAGGUGGUGGAUGGGGUACUUGUUGUGGCUGGUGGUGGUGGUUGAUGGCCGGUGGUGACCGAUGAUGGUGGUUGGUGUAAUUUUUAGGGGAAACCUACAAAAAUUGACACUUGACUGAUAACAUUCUAAAAAAUUAACAUUUAAGUGUUCACUUUUACCAUAAGUGAUACUGAAGUUAUCACUUUAAUAAUAACUUGACACUUAAGUGAUCUUUUUUUCAUCACGACUAGUACUUAAGUGAUCACCAAGUACAACUUAUGGCACUUGAGUAAUCAUUCGUGUUUGUCCUAUGUAUAUGUUGAUUUGUAGCAAAUCAGAGAAGCUGUUAGUUUAUAUUUAGUUCAACUUAUAGCAACUUCAUUCAAUUCAAUGUUUGCUAUUGGUUUAUGUAUAUAUUCAAUUCAAGUAAAGAAGCUACCACAACACAUUGACUCAAUAUACAUCCAUCAUUGUUGGUUUAUAUUCAAGAACAAGUAAAAAUAUAGUACGAGCAGUAUUUCAUUCACUCAUUCUCUUUCCUUGACCUCUCCACAAGCACAAGAAGUAACCCAUGAUAUAUAUGACAGUACAAACAAUAACAAAGCUACAACGAUCUUGUGGACAACACAAACUUCUUCUCAUCUUCCAAAAAAAUGCAUACAUUUGAUCCAAAACAAUUGCAUUUGUCCACUCAUUUUCAACUAUGGCAAUCGGAGAAACUUCUUCUCAUCUUUCAGUGCCUAACAUUUCAUCAUAAAGUAGGAUAGAUAACAAAACAAUACAACAAUAAACACUUGGUAACAUUUCCAUUCAAAUUUUAUUCUUGAAACUUCAUUCUACAAAUGUUUAGCCGAAGAUGCUUGAGCUUGUAUUAAAUCAACAUCGUCCAAGUUGUCCACGAGCAUAGAUGGAGGUUGAUGUCAUCCAUCAAGUAGAUCCGAUAUCACCUCUGUGACUCGAUGAGAGAAUUUCACAUCGACUCAUUUGAAGUAUUUACACUUCGACCAUUCUCUAUAUCGGGCACAUUCAUAAAAUCUUCUCCUAGGAUUCAUUCGAGUCUACGAUGUUCUUUUUAGACUCGGUAACCCACAAAAACAAAAAACACUUGCCUUCACCUUCACUUCAAUGAGAGGAAUUUGAAGCACUGCUAAAAAUCCUGCUCUCUAUUUUCAAGAUUCAAUGGUGGAAUUUUAGGCAAAUCGAAAUUAAGAUUCGCGAUUAGGGUUUGAGCACUUCAAUAGGGAUUUUGGCUGAUUUAAGGUUUUAGAUUUUGGGCAAUUUGGGAGAUGGCGUUGUUUUGACCGAUUUAGGGCUUUUAUUUUGGACAACUAUGAAAAUGGCAUCGUUUUGGGUCAGUCAGAGCUGAGUCAGCUCUCCAACAAGCCACGUAGGCAAACAAAAUUAAUAAAAAAAAAUUAUCACGUAGGAUUUUCAACGGGGUUUGCCAGAAGUAGCACUCAAGUAUCUCAUUUUUUAAAAAAAAAUUAUACUUAAGUGUCACUUUACUAACUUUUAGUACUUAAGUGUCCUCUCAUGCUAAGUUUUAACACUUGAAUUAUUCUUUUUCCAGAAAAUAUCUAUCUAAAUCCCAACUUGCUUUGUCAUGCUCAUGCUUGCUUAUCAUACUCAUAUUUCUCAAUUUCCGAAGUUCAAAAUAUUGGGAUUUAACCCAAAAUUACUUGAAAAUUUAAGUAUAUAUCCAUUGCAUUUACUCACCUUUAUAAUCAAAUGCAACUACUUUGCAUAUUUAAUAUUGUCGUGAGAGCAUCGGCCAGAGUAGUAAGUGAAAGGAGGAUUUUGCAUGAAGCGUUUCAAAACCAGCCAAAGGAUCGGCUUAACCAUCUCUACUCACGUGAAUCAAAUACUGCAACGGGUGCCCUCUCAUUCCCUUGGGAUUAUGUUGUUUUUAUCUCCAUAAAGCCCUUCAAUUCUGUUUGGCUAUCUCGUUCACCCUCUUCAGCCAUUUAAUGCUUUCAGCUUCAGUAAAGCUAUCCUCUAAAUCUCCCAAUUGCUCCGCCCAAAGACAUCCUCUAACCGUAAACCUGCAUAGCAUAACUUAACACGUCUAAGUUUAGUUGCACUUGUGCAGGUGUUCGAUUAGUAGAUGCUAUUCAGAUAAGAGGCUAAUCUGAGGACCGAUGCAACUAACCUAGCCACACAAAUGCCUCUUUAUCCCAACCCAAGUGUGAUGCAGCUGAUAAGCCCCAUGGUGAUCGAAGAAAUUGAAUCAACAAAACAAUAAUUAAUAUAGCAAUAAAUAAAUUUCAAGAAAUUUAAUUAUAAUCAUCCUAGCAGACGGACUGAUGAUUAAAGUAACAAUUAAUAGUGGAAGGACACAAAUAUUUUCUUAUGAAGUAGAGUUAUGAUGAUAGAAUAUUGGGAUAAGUGCAUUGAAUGUUCUAGAAUUUCUCACGAAAGUGCAAUUGAGUUCUAAAUUUUCAAAAAUUGCAAUCAAGUUCUAAAACCUGUCACAAAAGUAAUUGUGUUAUAAAAUUUUUACGAAGUGCAAUCACGUUCUAAAACUUGUUGGGAUUUUCUAUUUAUCAAGUUGGACGAAGUUAAUGGAAUAUUUGAUCACAUUGACAAGUUUUAUGACUUGAUUAUACUCUCUUUUUUUUAAAAAAAAGUUUUAGGAUUUAAAUCACUUUCUAAAUGCUCUAAGGAUAAGUAUUAUUAUCUCUUGAAGUCCUUCUGAGCUGAGAGAAUUAAAAACUUCAUUGAUUUGAUAAAGAGUAUUAUUAUCAAGAGAUAGCUUGUUGAGUUUUUUGUUGACUUCAUAACGUCCAGCAGUAUGGCCUUCUUUUCCACAUUGAUAGCAUGUUAUACUUCAAUUGAUUUUUUUUUAUUUUUUUUUAUUUUUUAUUUUUAGUUUGAGAAGGGUAGGAUGAAGAUUUUCAGGAAAAAAAAAUUAGUGUGAUUUAUUUAUUUAUUUAUGAUUUGGUUUUUUUGACCUUCUAUAAGAUAAUUAUCCCACCAACAUUUUAAUUGUCCAAUAAAAUAGCCAUCGAUAUUCUAAAUGUUCUUCACAUCAAACAAUCAUGGUCUCCAAUGCGUAUAAAACACAACAAAAUGUAUUGUGAAAUAUUUUUGUGAUUAUUUAUAUUUCAAUCAUAUCGUAACGUGUCAUUGCCAUUAAAAUUUUUAUCAUUUGUAUCACUUUGUUUGUUUUACAUAUCCUUUCCAAAUCAACCAUAAUAAUAUUUCAUAUUGUAACGUUAGAUCCUCUAUCUUAGAGCCCGGGCAUUUAUAUGCAUACGGAGCAACCAUGGAAUCGAAUCUCAGUGGAGUACGUGGAUCCUACUGAUAAAUGAAGAUUGCUGAAUGUCUCUGAGAAUCUUAGGAAGACGACACUCGGCAAUGACCAAAUUCAGCGAUGGAAUCACCCGACGAAGGUACUCAAGCCGAGUUAGAUGAAGAACGACCGAAGCUGGAGCCACCACGAAUAGUCGUCAUCUGAGAGAAGAAGAAAAUAGAGAGAAUGAGUUAUCAGAGGUGAAGGAUCUGUACGUUCUAUGAACUGAAAGAGAGAGCGCGUGAAGUCUGCGGCGAUAGGAGGUGGUCCGGUGUUGCUGGGCGACGAUGAUGUUGCAGCAGCUUAGGCGGUGACGCAAGGACGGUGAGCUUCGAUGAAGGUGAAGACGUAGUGAUGGAUAACCCACAUGCAUCUCUGAGACUGACGAAGGAAGUGAAUCAAUCAUUUUUAUAUCUCUCUAGUAUUUGAAUCACCAAGAAUUCUUUUCAAAAGUAUAAGUUUUUUAUGGUACCUUCAUUUCGUAGAAAACUCAAUGAUAAAAAGCAUUUUCGAAUAAUAUGAUUAAUUUUCCAUUAUUUGGUAAUAUAUAAUCAAAUCAAAAACGUUUUUUGAUAUUUGGAUCUCAUUAGAAAGUGAUUUUGAUAGUAUGACUUUAUCUUAGGCCAAAAAAAAAUCGAAUUUUUUUAAUUUUUUUUCUUUUUUAAAAGUUCGAAUUUUUAGUUUUUCAUUUUAUUUUUUUAAAAUUCGAAUUUGUAAUUGGUUCUUCAAUGAGUUGUAAAAAGAAAGGGAGAUUAAUUAGAAAAACGUUUUUUUUUACUAUACCAUUUUCACUAUUAUUAUUAUUAUUAUUAUUAUUAUUAUUAUUAUUAUUAUUAUUAUUAUUAUUUUCUUCUUCCUUUUUCAAAUGCAGAUUUGGUUUAUUGACAAAAUUAUUUGCCAACGAUGUUCAGUUUCUUAUUUUUUUUACCCACGGUUCUCAACAUUUUCACGAUUAAACCCAAUUUGGAGCACGUCCAUUGAUUUUCCUCUUAUAUUUAAUAAUCGUGUUAUGAAAAGAGUAAAAUUAUCAGCAUUUGACAAAGCUUUUGCUAACAAAAAAAAAGACAAAGCUUUUGCUAAGCAAGUUCAUGACAUCAUCACAACAUUCUACUUCAACUUCAACAUACUCAGAAUGCUGCCUUAGUUCUUCCGAAUCAAAGUAGGUCCAUUGCUUCAUGUUUAAAUUUGUGUACCUCAGUUAAGACUAUGCGGAGUGGAAUUCUUGACCGAACACUUGUCUGUUGAAGUCCUCAUAGCCAUUGGAGCUUAACCAAGGCCUUUUCUAUCUUCCUUAAAUAGCCGUGAUACCAAUUGAUUUAAUUGCAAUAUCUAAUAGUUUUCGCGCUAUAUUGCAUAAUUGGUAUAACAGCUGUCAACAGCCAGGAGACUAACAAAUAAGUAUUUGGUCAAGAACUUUGAUCCACAACUCUUUUGCCUGACAGCACAGGAGCUUCUUGGAUUAUAGCCGCACAAGUGGUGCACCUUAUUGAACACAUUGGAGGUUUUGUUUCGACAUCCAAACUGAGUUGUUUCCAUUGAUAUAUACCGUGAGUUUGGAUGUAAUUUAAGACUUGGAAAAUACUCAAACAUGCAAGUGAUCAUAACUCUAUAAUUCCCUUAUUUACUAAUAGAUUAUUUACAGUUGACUAUCCCCAUAGAGUAAAUACCGACAUUCAGAUUGUCCCAUGCAGAUCUCUUCAUUUAUUUACUAUUCCCCAUUUAUUUCUCCAGUAAUUACGCAUCGAAUUAAUUAUGAGGUUCGAUAAUUUUUGCAUUAUAUUGAAAAACUGACAUCGCCUAACCAAUUCCGAGGCCCGAAAUCAUUCAGCAAUAGAGACGAGUCCUUAGCACAACAAAAACUAUUCAGGAGGUGGCUCAUUGUAAGAGUCGCCCAGGUAUUCAAAUCUUAUAGUAAUAUCGUCCUUCAUCCUCCAUCAAGAUACAGGUUUGGCUCACCGUUGUGCCUAUCCGUCUGUAAAUAGGAGAGUUUUCCGAGGGACGGUCCCGUCCUUCGUCUGGUGAGGGUACACACAGGUUAAUGAUGUACAUUCCCAUAUGGACAUAUGGUCUCCUAGGCUGGAUCUCAUUACAUGUUUUCACUACAAUCAGGCAAACUUCUCUAUCAAGAUGGUCUGUAACUAAAUAAGAUAUGAAGAGGAAGUUGCAUUUUCUUUCUCAUUCUUCACUGCAUGCAUGCUAUCGCGAGGCAUGAGAAAAUUAAAGGUUUAGAGUGGUAAAAAAGAAGGAACAAUAAUCUGCAGCCAAGAAAGGAAUAGUAGAUUUUCAUGACUACUCUCUGCUAGAACUUCAGAAUAUGUAUAAUGAGCUUCCUGUCAAGAGAUCUGUUUUUCUUCAUUCUAAGAACUAUUUUACUAAAAAGUUCCACAUGUAUUUACAAGAACGUGGACUACCUGUAGAAUAUAACAUACAAUUUUCAUUCAAACUGUAUUUGCGACAAUGAAGUGAGGAUUCAUUUCUUCUUGCCUCUUCCUUUCUUAUUUUGCUCACCUUUGGACUUGCAAUUGCCCCUGUUCUUGUUCUGGUUUUCCACACCGCCAGUCUGGGAAAAAGAAGAUGAUGAAGCCUGCUGAUCCUUCUUCACUUCACCGGUUUUUUCAGCUUCCCCAACUUCGCCCUUCUCUUCCUCAUUUGCUAAGCCCACUUCUUGUCUCGGCAAUGACGACGCAUUUGCACCAUCCAAAUGCACAACUGGUACUGCACUGUCGGAAGAUGAAGAGGAAUCCUUGGAAAAUUCAGUCAGAUCUUGCAACUUGCAAGAGCUCUCAGCACUUCCAUCUUUGGGGAAUAGGACUUUCAUAAUCUCUUCUUUGCAUUUGUGCGACUUCACAUCUAAAAUGAUGGCAUGUGGACAUUUUGACCGAUCUGAAGCAGAAUUGGUAAUUACAAGGGGAUCAUCAACUUUUUCGAAUGCUUCAGCAAGAACACCCACUGAAAUUUCCUGUAAGUAUGGCCUCCGGCAACGUGAAAGAAUAUGACGAAAUUCGGGAGGUAUUUGCUCAGAAAUCCAACUCUUACCGAGCAAAUUGAAGAGAAAAUAUGGACUGGUGCCAAAAUUCAGGUGAAGCAAACAAAGCAAAAGAACCAACUUCAAGACCAACAACGGGUAAUACUCCCUCACAUUUAGGUUCGAAUUUUUGAUCCAUUGUCUGGUAUCAUCCUUACUGUCAAGAAGGUCCGCAACAGUCCUUGUAACAAACUGGAUGGGCUCCAAGCAAUUUCCCAGGUUGAAACUGAAGCUAGGCUUUGCUAAACCUUCAUGGCAGAUGAGCCAUUCAACUAGAGAAGAUUUCGUUGUAUAAAACUGCCCUUUGGAGCAAGCUAGCAAAAUCACAAGUCGUUCCAAGAGAUACAAAAAGCAAAUUGGUGUGAUGUAGUCUCUUUCAGUCCUCCAAUUGGCAUUGUAACCAUCUGCCAAAGCUCGAUAAAGGUUCCAAGCCAAAGAUAUUUCCACGGGUCCAUUGCUCGCCUGAGGAAGGUCUGAUGGUACAUCCCGACAAAUGCAUUCCAUGAAUGCCUCCCAUGACGUGUCUCCUUUAAAUGAUUUUGCUAUUUUUCCGUAAAAAUCAUCUUCGAGCAUUCCAGACCCAAGAACCAAAGUCGCAAGCUCACCCAUCUUCCCAUGUGAAAAAUGCUUCUUCGAAAUUAUCAUGUUCAUUGUUUCUCUCAGUAAAUUACGAGAAGCCUCACUUCCUCUCAGAGAUACCAUAUUCUCUGAUGACGAUAUUCUCCAGUCAAGUGGAAAUAUGUGACCAAAAUACCUCCCACUGGAUGUUUCAAUGAAACCGUCCAGUGCCUUACCAUACUGGAACGAGCGAUUCCGACAAUUAAGUUCUCUAAGGAACUUGGCAACCUCAUGUAAGAUAGCAAGACAUCUGCUUUGCCAGAAGUUCGACCGAGAACUCUUCGCCAAAAAUUGAUAAAGAGCAUCCAAUUUGUGCAGGAGCUCCAUACCAACAGAAGUAAGCUCACAAUACCAAUACUUUUGAGCUGCAAAGACCAAUUGUCUAAGAUCCAAAGCAACGAAUUGUCCCUUUUUUUUAAGAGAUCUUUUAUCUAUGUUUCUGACCCAAUCAGCAUCUGGGUUUACAAGGUGAUAAGUUCUUUGCAUGUUGUUCCAUUGCUCCAGAACACCAAAGUAAUUCAGACAGAACUCCCAACAUGACGUAUUUUCCCUUCCCACCUGCAUCUUCACACAUCCUACACUCUCUAUAAUUCUAACAAUUUUCUCUCUCCAAAGAUUCCAAAAGCAGACCAAUGAGUCAACGGAAAUCUGAUUCCCCAAGGUCAGUUGUUCAGAAUAGUUUGCUGGGUCGACAAGCCAAUCACAUUCCCAACAAAAAUUUGAGAUAUUUUGCCAAAGAUGGAAGUCCAGAAUAUUUCGAGUGCACAGUAUUUCACCUCUGACACUUCCAUUUCUACUGGAAGCACUCAAAUGUUCUUUCAUUUGAGCCAAACUGUUCUCUUUAUUUAACAAAAUGCUUGAUUCUACAGAAACAUAUUCAUAGAAGGCAAUAGGCUCAGGCUCUGCGAGAAGUUUGGCUUUUGCUACCAGCUCCUCCUUCUGAGCAAACUGCUUCAAGGGCCACCCUUUGCCUCCAGGAGCCCAAAGGGAAUAGAAUAAUAUGUACCACAGGAUAUUCAUCGACGCUUCCCUGUUUUUUCCGCUCUUCCCAAGUAGAUCAACCUCACGAAGGAUGUCACCUUUCAUCCUCACAAUCUUUGCCGCCUCCAAAAAGUUACCAAAUUCUUCCUCCAGACUUAUAAGUUCAUCGAGGCAUCCAAGCCUCUUGAGCAAGUUUCUCAUUGAAUCGAUGCAAUGAAAAGCCUUCACAUACUUCAUCAUGGCCCUGUAGUCUCUGAGGUUGUAGAAAUGAAGGGCACAACUCUCUAAAAAGUCCUGUUCCACUUUCUCUAUUUCUUUACUUUUCUUCUCAGUUCCCUGCCUUUUCCAAUCCUCAAUGUAUCGCAGACCCAUUUUAAAGAGUUUUUCUUCAGCACAAAUGGACAAGCACUUUGAGAAAAUAUUUGCCCUUGCAUAUGCCUCCGCUGCAAGACUGUAGCACCGAGCAAGAGAGAAACACUCUCCAGCUUUCUCCAAAGCAGAUUCUCCACAUUUAUCCAUAUAUAUUCUACCUGUUGAAGCAUAAAUAAAUUUGAUGUCAGUCUCAUUUAUAGAGUGCUGAUGUUCAGAAGAUAAAACAUAGCAAAGGGACAUUUGGAAGCUGCCAGAAAUGCUCUUGUACAGCUCAGCUCUUGUACGGCUCAACUAUAUUCUCCAAUGUCAAGAGAUGAAACAGGAUCAACGUCCGUAGGUGGCUACAAUACCAAGAAGUUUUUGACAAACCAUAGUCAACAUGGAGUAUUGCAACUGACAGCCACAGCUUUUUUUUAAACUUAUAGGUCUGGUCAGUGUUAAGAACUUAGCAGCUCAAAUUUUUCCAAACUGCUGAGAGAGCAGAGACAGGUUAUCAUAUAGAAAAUAAUCAACUUCCAAGCCAGGACAUUAAUCAUGAAGUCAACAUUAGUAGCACUUGCUCAAAAUUCACCAAAAGCAUUUCAAAUUAACAAGUGAGAUCGAACUACUUUUUUUUUUAAUAUUGAAAGAGGAAAAUCAAUUAAACUGGUAAACAAGAGCGUACCACACAUGCAAAAUACUACAUGCAGAAGAAUGCGAAGUCAAAUUUCCUCUCUCUCUUAGGCAGCUUUGACAUAGCUACAACAAGAAGAAAAGUGAAGAUGCGGCAUAUCUCCACCUUAUCAUUUUGAAAGAAAUGAAAAGAAAAAUGAUACCUGCUAUCUCAUAUUCCUUCAACAUGUAGAAACACUCCGCUGCAGAGUCGGCCAUUCCAAUUGUUUCAUAGAUCUCAGCAGCCUGCCUUCGAAGGUCAGAAGCCUCUUGUGGAUUUGAAACGUGCUUGAGAUCUGCAUCUGCUUUGAAAGCGGAGGCCUUAGCCAAUCUCUCCCCGUAUGUGUACCUUGCUCGUUCAAAGCACGUUAUUGCCAUUGGGUAUUUACCGUCACGUAAGAGCUUGCAAAGUUUAUUAAAAAGAAAAAAAAAAAGAGAGAGAGAGAUCAUUAGCUUCCUCAGAGAAGGUGAAAAGAAGAAAAAAAGAAAACAUAGUCCUCCCUUAUAGGAAAAAUCAGAGGUGUAGACUUACACCAAAACAAUGCACUGUCAUUGACCUGACAACCUCAAAUGAGGAAAAAGAUCAUAGAAAUAUUCCUAUCAUGUUGUUUAUCCAUUGUAUGUCUAAAUGAAGUAUUAGCCAAACUAUUAAAAAACGAAUAAAGCUGGCAAAUCGAUUGCCAUAUCUGUACCAUAGAACGUCCACAUUCUACACACUUUUUUUUCUUUUCAGGAUCAGUCAUACUUUUGCAGUCACUAUGGUCAUUCCAAAAUCCCUAGCAUUCACAGAUCAUGUUGACUCCAAAUGAGGUGAAAACAACAAUUCUGUGAAGAGGAAACCGCCAAUAAAGGCAAAACAGAAAAACAGCGAACCUUAAAACCUUGUGACUUCCACUCCUCUGGCGUGCUCCUGACCUGCAUUGCUUCUGCAAGGGUAUGAUCUACCAACCUGACUUGAAUGAGGCACUUCUUCUUCCAGUAGUCGAACAUUGGCUUCGAGAACUCCAAGGCAUUCUCACAAAUCCACAAUCUUUGCCUUGUCCGAGUAAUUGAGACAUACAAUUGUUUCAAUUCAGAGCAUAAUAUAUUGUGUUUCGCGUCAUCGAAACUUGGGGAAGACCAUUGAGAGCUGUGAUCAAGCAAAGCUUGCUCCUUCAUGUAUCCAUAAAUGACCCUCCACUGACUUUUUAGAGGUGAUGUGCCAAAGAAGUUGUACAAUAAGACAUCCUACACAACAUCACGGCAAAAAAGUUUCAGGUCAGAACAUCUGAUUUAUGACCAAAAUGACAGAUUUCAAGUUUCAUGAAUACAUGAACAAUUUUAAAAAAUUUAGCAAAAAAAAUCUGGACUCAUUUCAACACACCAGCCUAUCAAGAACAGCCGUAAAGUCGCAAGAUCAUUGAUAUUGUCUAUUAACCUAGAGGAUGAUGUUUUUUUUUUUUUUUUUUAGUCAGUCCUACUCUAUUCCUACUCUACACUCACUCUCAGACUUUUGCCCUGCCUCUUGCAGGGCGUGGGAGUCGAAACCCACUUCUGAAACUUACGCGUCCCCACCCCAUCCCUCCCUGAGAAGGUGGGGAUUUGAACCCCUCACCUCCCCCUUCCAUGUUGGAAGAAUGGCCACUGGGGCGAAUCCCAGUGGUUUAGAGGAUGAUGUUGACAUGAGACAAAUUCUACGUUAUGAGUAUCUAGAUGCCAUUGUCUACAUAACAAAAAAGGGUAUAGUAGAAUGAAAAUGCCAAUCCAAGCUUCUUACAGAGUAACAGCUUGCAGCAAAUUGGUCAUGACCCAUUAAAAAAAAAAAGGAUCUUGAAAUCUCUAUGCUGCUCCUAUUAAUAUCCCAUAGCAAACAAUCCAACCUGACCCACACCUACCUGAAAUUCCAACCCCUUGCACUCCACUAUCGUCAGAACUAGCGCUUGCCCUCCCACGAGGUUUGAAAUUUCAUUUCUAGAGUGAUCAUCUCGAACCAAAAUAACCUGCUCUGCUCCAAAGCCAACAAAAUUACCACUAAAAUCACGGUUGCCAAAAAUUGAUAGUAUGGCACUUUCGUCAUUCUCUGAUUCAAGUAAAAUUGGGGCUUCCCCACAUAUAAAGCUAGUCUCAGGGCUUAAAGCAUCAACGGAUAAGGGGAAAAAAUGGUAAAGAAGAUCAACAACACUCUGCGCCAGUUUGAGUAUACCAGCAUGAGUGCGGAAGUUUUGGCUCAAAUGGAAAUUUUUUGAUAGACAUCCCUUUUCCAUUCUGAUAUCAGGUCCAUCCAUUGAAUCCAUCAAGAACUCCUUGUAGAAAAGGGACCUUAUGUCUUCAAACCUGAAGUCUAUUCCCCUUGCAAUAGUUUGUGCAGUGUCACCAGAAAACACAAAGCCCCCAUCAACAUUUCUACAGAUAUACUUGAACAGUGAAAUUUGCCUCAUGGUGAGAUCCUGCACUUCAUCAAUAUAUACAAAAUCCACCACGUUACCAGCAAACUGCCCAUGAAAAAGACGGCAAUGAAGAUCACUGACAAGAUCAGCCAAAUCAAAUUCACCAUUUUUCAUUUUCAUCUUUUCAUAAUCCUCAAAAGCAUCAUAAAUUUCUUCUCUUCUCUGAAUACUCAGAGUGGAGACACGACCCUCUGAAAGAGAAACAUAAGCUGGUCUGUCAAGUUUGCCUUCACAACCAUCUGCUGGUGGAAGACCUCCCUUUAUGUGGGACAUUAUUUCAGUGAAGACUCUAGAAGGAUCAAGCCUCCUCCUUAUCUUGUCAUUGAAGUGAGGCCAAUAAACAGCACGAAACUUUUCGUAAGUAACCUCCUUUGCUCUUAGAAGACUUUGUAAGGCCACUGGUCUAGAACUGAAGGAUUGGCCACGACAAAAAUCCCUUAGAUCGGGGAACCUUUCAAAGAAUGAAACCCCCACAGUUCCGUCUAGCAUUAUCAGAAGCUUUCGAAAAGUUAUAACAAGGGGAUACGAGUUGGGAGAUAUAUCUAAAAAUGAAUCCGGGAUAUCCUUGAAUAAUGCUGCAUCAUCAACAAUCUCAUCAACUGAAGAGCUUUUUACUCUAUGUUUAGCACCAAUGCUGGAGCUGCAGGAUUAAUGAAGCCAGCAAUUAGAAACGGAAAAAUAUAUUUUUAACAAACUUACAGGAAAUUAGAACACGCUGUUGCACCAAGAUUAUAAUGAUAUACUAUGAGACAUGGAUAGCAUUUACAUCAGCUGGCAAUGAAAAUCUUCCCCCGCGGCAAGAUUCGUAGAAUAGAUGGUCCUUUCUCGAUUCUAAUUAUAAUUGCACACGUUCAUUUAAAGUACGCUUUUCUUUUUAUACGUACAAUGCUACAAUCACAAAAUUUAAUACGAAAGUUUCCAAUAAAAUGGGAUUGCAAACUAAAUAGUUGGCACAAAGACCAGAAUAAGGAAUAUUGCCGCACAAACUAAUGUUUAGUUUCAGCGAGCAGAUGAUGUCGAUCUCUAACGUGCAAUGAUUAAAUCUAUUUUCUAGCACCCAAGCAUGGCAAAGUACUGAUUUGACCCAUGCACUCAUGCCACAUGUUAUAUUUCCUACCGAACUCUAUAAAAUGAAGUAUCUUGGUUGUGCGUCUCCGCUAGGCGGAAAAUAGUUGCAUGCCAAAGGGGUUAUCUUCUUCUCCGGACUAAUUCAUAAAAAAAAAAACUUGACAAUCCAUUAACCCUUGCAUAUGUUUGUUCAUUGUAAAAAUUGCAGAAUAUUUAUUCUAUUGUUCCAACAUCUUCCCAUGACAUUUUAUGUACCUUCUAAGUUGAGAUACAUGUUGUUUGACCGCAAAACAUAAUUUCGCACUGACAGUCACAAAAAGCUGGCGCAAUACACAAUCCUCUGCUCCUUCACUGGUUUCCUCAACAUUGAUUUCCAGGGAGGCAUCUUUGCUGUGGCUGACACCACUUUGGAUUUCCUGAAAUCCCUUGGUUGCUUCAUCAUGCAGUUUCUCGUUUCUAAACAACUUCAUUGUCAGGACCGUAGUUUUCCCGGUUCCAGAUCGCCCAAGUAUAAAAGUGCUUCUGGGAAAAAGAAUUAUCUCCUGUUCUUGCUCUGUUACUUCAAACGGAAGACUUGCUUCAUUACCAUCACUGUCAUCGAGCAAAUAUCUGACAAUAUCUGAUGAUAAGGGGUAGAAUUUCAUCAGAAGCAAACUCUCGCUCACUUUCAUGUUCUCUGCAUACAACCUACGAUCUGAAGCAUCAGCAUCAGAACCACUCCCAAAUCGAUCUUCACUAGGACUUCGAUAGCGGACAAAAUCGAAAGUACACGCCCAGGUCUUUGGAACUUGCAGAUCCCUAUAAUAGGAAGAGGCGUGUGAAAUGAAAAAAAAUAGGGGGAUAAGAUCAAUUCAAGAUAUUUGAGUCAUCUAUCUGGAAAAGAAUGCUUUCUAAUUUAGUAAGUGAUGUGCUACCUAUCUUCAGUAAGAAGAAAUGAUCAGACUUACCCCUCAAAGCAUUUCUCAUUGCAACGACUAAUAAAAUCAUCACUAUAUGUCUCGAAAAUGCUGUCCAAACGUUUGACCAAUUUUGCCACAUCCUCUAAAGGCAUUACAUCCCAUAUCUUCAGGAUUUGGAUGUAUCUCAGUUCCUUUACAACAUCAAUCGUGCAUAAGACAUAGAGACCUUCAGCCUUAAAUUGUCUCACGAUAUGAGAUGAGUGUUCACAAAUUAUAUCCACAUUCCUCUUCUUUGGUCUCCAGGCACUGGAUAGUCUUGACAGAAGCAUAAUGAUUGACAUCUUUAUCCUGAGUGAUGCCAGCUUUCUGAAAGACUUCAGGAAGUUGUCACUGAAAAUAACCUGAUAAGACCAAAGCAUGACAAUAAGAUAUGUUGUCACAAGUUCUAUAAAACUCGAUGCUUAUUUUGAAAAAUAAAUGUAGCCAUAGAAUACUGUUGAGCAAAGUUUUUUACCUUCCACCUUGCAUUUCUGAAAAGUACACUGCUUCUGUCAAGUAGAUCAUCAAGCUGGUCAUUCUCUUUCUUCACAUCUAAGAUGGCUUUAGCCAAAUCCUUGUCAUCAUCAACAUUGAAGAAACAUCCACGACUCUUCGCAUUGUGAACCACAGCUUUCCACACAGAACCGCUUUUCGUCAAUGUUUUCUCAUUUCCCAGAAUCCACAGACAAUACCUAUAGAUAGGAAAUUAACUCGGGGAUUUACUUGCUAUAUCACUCUAAAAAUGUUAUUUGACACAGUUAAGAGGAUAGAGUACCUGGCCCUGGUAAGAGCAACAUUGGUUCUCUUAGUACUGGACAAGCACCCAAUAUUCCCAUGCCAGUUUGAUCUUACGGUUGAUAUUAUAACAAUGUCUUCUUCACCCCCUUGGAAUCCAUCCACUGACUUCACCUUGACCGUAAAGCCCUUGAUAUUUUCAUACUUUUUUCCAAGGUUAGCUAGAACUGCAGCAACCUGAGCUGUGUAAGGAGAUACGACACCUACUGUCAGAUCUUCUUCUGACCCAUUCCAAGCUGCAAAGAGAAUAAAACCAUCACUACAGUGACAUUAUUUUUGGCGGGGUGCAAAACUUUGAAAGAAAUAUCUUAGGAAAAGAAAUAUUAAUGGCCGUCAUAAUCUACACCUAUAUGAUUAAGUAAUACAUGUAAAAUCCACGUGCUCAAAGCAAUACGUAUAAAAUUCUCUUGACAUACCUCUGUACAGAUUCCUGACUAUCCUCGAGAUAACUUCCACCUCAACAGGGUUUCUAAGGCUACAGCCAUCAUCACCGAUUUGUUCUUCUCCAUCAGGAAUAUUUAUGAACGAGUAAGGGCCAAACGUUGGCCAUGGCAAAUGACUUUUUCUGUAACUUUUGCUCUUCACAUUUGGCCCAUCCAAAAUUUGGUUUUGAUAAAAUUUUGAAGUCGGAAACAGACUUAUUGAUGGAUGCAUCCGGUAUUGUAUAUUGAAAAGUUGCCUUGAAUAACCCAGUGAAGUCAAUCGUUCAAACAGACUCCUUCCAAAACCAACCUGAUUAGAAACCUUUAAAAAAAAAAAAAAAAAAACAUGAUAUCAAAUUCAACAGGCGUUAGGUAUAGAAAAUUUAGCCCAUCUAAGCUGAAAUGAAGAGAAGGAGAUUACAAAUCUUACAAAACCAAAUACAAAGUUCCUUUUCAGACAUUUUAACAUUACCUUGCUUUCGACCAUAGCAGGCAACUGACACUCAUCUCCAACCAAAAUCAGAUGCUUGACACCAGGGAUUUGCAGAGGAAUUACUGACUCACAUUCCUUCAACUGGGCUGCCUCAUCGAUUACCAGUAAAUUGAGAGGCUCCAUCUUCACAGAGUGCAGCUUAUGUGAACAAGAAGCAGUGCAAAAAAUCAGGGAUGCACGUCGAUAACAGAAGUUGGCUAUCAUGCCCUUACUCACAAAGUUUGGAAGUUUUAGAUCCUUCAGAGAAUCACGAACAGUUAGCAACAUGGAAAGGCAUUCCUGUCUCUUCAUAUAUAUAUCAUAUAGUGGACCCCUGGAUGUCUCAAACGAAAACAGGCCAAGUUCAUCACGUGAAAGAGUUAUCUCCAUCAUCUCUGAAUCCAACUUCUCUCCACAUAAUAAAGAUUCAAAAGAAUUUAGUAAGUUAAGGAGGGAUGUAAUAUUCUGGAAUUUAGUUCUGGAUGUAUGAGUACAGAAAGUAUAGAGGCAUGCUCGCAGGGGCUGGACAGUUUCCUUGAAUUGGUCCCUGAAAAACUCAAGAAAUGAUUUGAGCUCACAGUUACCAUCUUCUUCACUGCUUCCACAUUCGCUCCCAUCAUCACCACUUCCUAGUUUCCUUCUUUUUGCGUGUUCGUUUUCCAAAAAUACGCGGUAUUGACGGACACAGUCAGCAAGAGUAUCUAUCAAGGAAGUUAGACACUGAUGCCAACCAGUAAAUUCAGAAAUGCACUCUACACGAUGUUCCAAGUAUAUAUCUUCAAUGUCGGAAUCAACUUUCAGCCGUUCCUUGUUCCCAAAAAUAAGCAUGUCUCCAAAGUAACAGGGCAAACUUUCCGUUUCAGUGCUUAUACCACUAUCUGAUUCCUUUAGCAGCUUCAGAACACGAGUUGCCACUUCCUUGAUGGCAACAUUUGUAGGAGCACAAACAAUGGUUCUAUGUUUCCUUUUCAAGAGAGUAAGUAGCAGUGUAGCGACAGUUUUAGUUUUCCCAGUUCCAGGAGGACCCCAUAUCAGGUCGACAGAUGGCUUGUUCUCACAAUGGAGUUUACUGAGACAGGCCCCAACUGCUUUCUUUUGGGAUUCAUUCAGAUCAUGGCUCAAUCUCUCGUCAAGGCUCUCAGUCGCAGAACCAUUACCUUUUGUAACACAAAGAUUAGAAACUUUAUCAGCCUGCAACCAAAACAUAUUUCUUGUGAUAAUCCAGACCAUGUAAAUAUGGCAGAAGGUUCUGAAACUUAAUUGGUGUUAAUAUGAUAUAAAGAGCAUUGCAUAGCACAAACUUAAAUCCCGUGAAAAAUAUAGUACAGAAAAUUUUAAGGUCUAGUACCAAUGAGUAAGUUGCCUCCAAGGAAGUAAUUUGCCCUAUUCAAGACAUAAUUCAUUCAUCUUCAUAUCAUGAAACGGACCAAAGGUACAAAUCGACAGGAAUAAACUGAAGCUUUGAAGCUUAGAGGAAUAUAAUAGCCAUUUUAAGUCUAAAUGGACCAAAGGUACAAAAAAGGAAAGUCAUACCACCAAAUCUGUGCAGAGAACUUCCUUCAAAAUAUCCAAGUUCAGAGACAUAUGCAACGCAUUCCAUAUCCUUCUGUUAGUGACUAUAUUUAUCAGGAAAAUUGCAUACAUUGGCUUCCACGAAUUAUUUACUUCAAGGUUCAAUAAUGUCUCCACUUCAAAGUUUGUCGAUGACGUUGCCUCAUCCUCUUCAUCGUCUUCUCCAAUCAUCCUAACUAAUGCGAACGCCCAUCUUCUUCCGAACCUCUCCAAGUCAGGAACAGUUGCUGGCUUAGCAUCAGUUAGAAUCAAGAUGUCUCCAGGCAAAGUUUUGUAAGUUUCCUUGCCACGAGUGUUGGAUUCAUUGUUCCACCGACCGGCCUUAACAGCAUAUGAGUUCCCACUUCCCCUGCAUUCCACACAUUCAAUAACCUCAGUGAAAGGCAGCAAAGAAAUAUUUUUCAAACUCGAGCACAGACUCGCCCGGGUUUCUUCCAGUAAAGGGUAGACAUACGAUCCGAGAUAAUCCUGGACCGACUGAAAUUGAUCCGGUAUAGUCUCCACCUACAAAAACAGCUCAGCCAAUUGUCAAAUAUGACCAACCAACCUUGACAUUUCAAAAGAAUACUUGGACCAAAUUCCAUAAAACAUAACAUAUACUCCUAAAAUGCCUAACGAGCUUGCCGAACAAAGUAGAAUCAUAAAGGGUUCUAUUCUACUCAGUUGAAUGCAAGGUUCUUAUAAGGCAGGCUUACUAAAAGCACAAACACCAAAAAAAAAAAAAAAAAAAAAAAAGGAACGAACAGACAUCAUUGGAAAAUUCUCAGGUAAACACAACGUUGUCGUUGAACUUAAACGAAAAUAAACCAAAAGGGCAUGAUAAAAAGAAAGGAAGAAAAAGAAAAAGAAAAAGCAAAGAUCGGGGAAGAGUAGAAAGAAACCUUGUCAUGGUAGAGGUUUUCGUUGAGAAUGUCGUGAAAAGACCAAGAGAAGACAAAAUCAGUCAGGUCAUUAGUACCGUGUCUCCUCCUCCUGCUCAAACCACCCUCAGCUAUCUCCACACCCACCGCUCUGUUUGUGCAUCCUCCUAAAUCCAUCUGAACCCACGCACUAAAAUCUUCUACUUGUUUCUUUCUCCCCUUUUCUUGCCCAUCAAAGCACCAGGGAAAAAUCGCUCUGAGGUUUCAAGGAACUUUCGAGGCGAAUAUUGCGCACAGCUUGUACGGACAUCAUCAGCGCUUUUUGAGCUCCGAAGUGAGCAUUCUUAGCGACGAAGAAGAAUGACACGGGGAAGGCAAAGGCUACCAAAGGCGAAAAGAUGGGGGUACCUUGUCUUCCGAACACGGUCUGAUGGCUUUCUUUACUGCCCAAAUGCUUGUAAUGAUUCCCGCUUUUCUUUGCUUAUCCAUGUUUCGAUUUCUUGCAGCCUAAGAUUCGUCAACUGUUUUCUGUCCGAAAUGUAUCAUCGCAUGAGUGAGGUUAUUUUUUGAAGAUAUUAAAAUUAUUUGCUGAUACUGAAAUAAUAAGUAGAUGAAAAAAAAAAAGGAUAAAUCUUAACCAGAAAAAUAAUGACAAGAAUAGUCCCUGCACUUUAAUAUAAUGUGCAAUUUGAUCUUCGAAAUUUUGAUUUGUUCAAUAUAGCUCUUGAACUUUAACCCAAUAUACAAUGCGAUCUCUGAACUUUUCAAUUGUUUAAAUGUAAUCUCUGAACUUCUGAUAAAUAUUCAAUACAGUCUCUAAACUAUAUGAUAAUAUUGAAUGUAGUUUUUUAAUUGAUUCAAGAGUAGGGAUGACAUUGAACAUUUUGAUACAAAUUCAGGGACUGUAUUUAAUAUGUAUAAAAAAUUUAUGGACUAUAUUAAAAAAAUUAAAAGUUCAUGGACCACAUUAUACAUUAGGCUAAAAUUUAUAGACCACAUCAAACAAAUUGAAAGUUUAUGGACUAAAUUACACAUUAGGCCAAAGUUUGGAGACUAUUUGUGUCAUUUUCUCUAACUAGAAGUAGACAAUGAAUGUGAACAUUCUACUUCAAUCGCUUGACUUUUUUUUUUUGAGCAUCUAUAUUGAUAUAAUAUAUAAUUAAUAUCAUGAAAAUUUUUUAAUCAUCAAAAACUCUAAACCGGUACACAUGUCCCAAAUUAAUUUUUUAACUAUAAAAAAACCUCAAACUGGUAUAUUUAUAAUAAAUUUACCUUCCGUUAAUUUUCAUUAAAUUGGAAUAAUGCCACGAAAAAUAAUAAAUUGAUACAUAUGUGAUAAAUGAAAUGUAAAAUCUUAAAUUGGUAGAUCCAUUCUAACUACCUUGUAUCAUCUAAAUCAGCAAUUUAAUUGUAAAAUUUAAAAAGUACUAAUGAAAAGUAAAUUUAUCACAAGUGUAUCGGUUUUUUUUAUGAUAAAAAAUUAGUGAAGUAAAUUUAUUACAUAUGUAUCGAUUUUGAAUUUUCUGUGGUAUUAACCCUAUAUCAUUAAAAACUCUUUCAGAGAAUUGCCGGAAAACUCAAUAUUCAAAAUUGUAGAUAGUUAGAGACGCAUCCUCCUCAUUAGUUUUGCCAAAUUCUCGAUGAAGCAAGGCUACAGUCAGAUGCCUUUUCCGUCGAGUAUUGUCAAUCAAAGAAGAAUCAAAUUGGUAAUUACUAUCAUCUCUCAGUUACUUAUCUCCAUAACGAGUUAUAAUAUUUUAUGGACUUCCGAAACUUUAUUGAGAGUGUGUUUUAGGAAAGUAAAUGCAAUCACUAUGUUAUGAGUGUGGUUCUUUCGCUCUACUUGAAGUUCUACUUCCAUUAAUUAUAAAAUCACAAAUUAUUUUUUAUGUCUUGAUUGAUUCCGUACGACAAUAUGCAUUAAAAAGUUUGCACUGACGUUGUUUCAAGCUCAGCUUGCACAAGUAUAUUCGAUAAGUGCAUUUAAAGCAUCUAGCCUUGGUUAAUACAUUCUUAUAUAAAAUGUUGAAAUAUAACAUUUCAAAAUAUUAAGAUGCACGAGUCAUUAUCAACAAAUCCAUAUUAAAAAAAAAAUGUGAUAGGAACAUCACUUUAAUAAAAGGCCAAUAGAGUAAAAGCUUUUAAAAGGCUAGUCGCUAGUCUCACAAAAUUCAACCAAUUUCGCGCCGAAAGCUAAAAAGACGUGAUAAGUUCAGGAAUCUAAUCAUGUACAAUGAGUCAAUGACAUGAUGAUGAAUAGAUACUAUGUUUUAAAGCUUCAAUUCAUUUGUAAUAUGUAAGGCCCAUUGUCAUCAUGCUAUGAGAGUUUUUAUGAUGUUGGCUAUAUUAAUUAAUAUUGAAAUUUACCUUUUUAUAAGAUUGUCUAAUGAGGCGAGAUAUAAAGAUUUUUAAUUACUAUAAUAUGAGAUUGGCUUGCGCGGGUUGAAUAGAGCUCGGUUUGUAAUGAGAAGACAUGUGACUGAAAACUCUAUAUAUAAUACUCAAGUAUCUUUUCUAAUCUCGAUAUACAAAUAUCUUAUAUAAAGAGUAGUUGUAGAACGCAAUUUGUGAUGCAUAAUAUCAUUGAGCCAAUAUUACAAUUAGAUCAUUGUUAUUCCACAUUAAGAAUAAUGGAUUUCAAAUCAGAUGCACAAAUCUUUUUGUCUCCAUUUAUUGUGUUCUAAAUUUUAAUUAUGUAGAUCUUCGGAUGGUUUUCACGGCUUGUAUGCACAUGGUGAACCAUUGUGUCACUACGGGGCACACCGGCUUUGCUUCACAAAUACAGGCGCCGCACUAUGAAAUGCUUCGUCCCGAGGCAUCAUGCGACAGAGCCGUCUUGCCUCGAGCCUGGGUGGGUCGUUGUCUUCUCGUCCUCCCUCCGUACAUCGUGCAAUGAUGUUUGUUACUGCAGAAAUGCAUGUAAAAAGAAUGUAAAGCUUUCAUCUUUACCCGUCAAUUCCGCAUUUCAGUGAACUCAUGUCUCCUUUUCUGACUCCGCGAGUCCUAUUCAGGCUAACAACGACAAAAGAAGAGGAUAAGGAAGGGGAAAAGCAAGCAAGCAUCUUGAUUUCUUUCACCCUAGACUGUCCACCGUUUGUCUGCCUGAAAUGUAUCAAAUCUUGAGUAAAUUUACUUUUCAAAAAAUUAAAACUAUUUUUUUUAUAUCGAAAAUGGUAAAUAGAUUGAAAGAUGGAUGAAUUUGAACCUGAAAUUGACGAAGAACAUGAACUUCCCGCUUAUGAUAACAUUAUUUAAUCGUUUCGGUUUUUUUAAAUUUUGAGCAUUUGUGUCGAUGUAUUAUUACAAAAACUUCUCAAAGUUAGAGAUGCCUUCCCAUCGUUGAUUUUUUUAAAUUCUCCGCGGAGUGAGCUGUCAUCAAGGCGUUAUUUGAACAAUUGAAAAUGUUUAUUAUCAAGUAUUUUUAAAUUAAAAGAGAUUCAAUUACGUAACUUCUAGAAUCUCUCAAUUUUUUUUCUCCAUAAUGAAUUAUAACAGUUAUGGACUAUCUAAAUGCUUUUGAGUGAGAUUUUAUUUUUCACUUGGUCUUAAGUUCUAUUUUGAUUCAUUAUAAAAUCACCACUCAUUUUCUACGUUUUCAUUAAUUCAAUAUGACAAUAAGCAUAAAAAAUCUGCACUAACUUUAUUUCAUGUAUUCCUUUCGCAAUAAUCGUCAACAAAUACAUUUAGGGUCUGCAUGGCAAUAUUCCUAUUUCUUUGUUCUUUUCUUCUACGAAAUAGAAAAAGGAAUAGAAAUUCAUUUGAUAAUGUUAGUUAAUUUUUCUAUACUUCGUAAUAGAAAAGUGAUUGGGAAAUAGAUUUAUAAUAGAAACAAGAAGUAGAAAAAAAAUAUCUUAUUGUUUUCGGGAAUAAUUUUUAGAAAUAAGUCAUUUUCUUUCUUUUCUUUUUUUCUCCUUCCUCAUGCUACCGCCACUGUCCGCCAUCGCUUGCCACCUAUCUCCGCCCAACAACCGGCUAGAGGAGGAAGAAGAGGAGAGGGGAAAAAAAAGAGAGAAAAAAUCUCAAAAAAAAUAUUAAAAAAUUAAAAGAAAUUCUACGACAAAAAAAAAAACUUGUGAGUUGUACCAAACACAUUCUUGUUUUUUUCUAUUCUGAAAAUAGAAAUUUUGUACAGUUAUCAAACACGUUAUUUUAUUCAAAAACUAUUCCAGGGAAUAUGAAUAGGAAAGAAUUAUUUUUGAAAAAAAAAAUUGUUCCUGGUAAUAAAAAUAUUACCAACUGCACCCUUCAACUUUGGUAAAUACGUUCCUUAAUAAAGUCAAUAUUUUCAGACAUUAUUAAAGUUAUCUAACACACAAUGCGCUAGUCGUCUAGAAAAUCGUAUAGAAAAAAGAGAUGUGAAAGGAAUAUCACUUUAGAAAAAGUCAGGAGUUCUUUAGACAAAUAGUAUAUAGAAAGCCGCGCUGGCAAUCUCUCGUUUCAUUUGCAAAGCCAAGGAAAAUCCCCCAUUAACCUUACAUACUCAAGUAGUGCCCUUAUUGAGACAAAUGAUAAGGCAAAGACAUCUAUGUUUGAUGUAAAAGUCCACGAAAUGUUCUAUCAAAUUCAUGUGGAACAAAUGUCUGAAACAUUGGUAUAGACAUCCAUAUUGAUAUAUUAUUAAAAACUCUUUAAAAGGUUUGCCCGAAAACUCAACACUUAAAAUUUUUAAUAGUUAAAGACGCCUCAUCCUUAUUAUUUUUGCCAAAUCCUCGACAAAGCGAGUUGCUAUCAGACGUCGUUUUCUAUCAAGUAUUGCCAAUCAAAGGAGAAUCGAUUGGGUAAUUCAUAUCGUCUCUUAAUUAUUUCUCUCCAUAUGGACUUCCAAAACUCCAUUGAGAGUGUGUUUCAGAAGAGUAAAUGCAGUCACUAUGUUAUGCUGUGGAGUGUCGCUCUUUCACUUUGCUUUAAGUUCUAUUUCUAUUAAUUACAAAAUCACAAAUCAUUUUCUACGUUUUGAUUGAUUCAAGACGACAAUAUGCAUUAAAAGGUCUGCACUAGCAUUGUUUCAAGCUCUCCUGGCACGAUUAUAUUGAAUAAGUGCAUUUAAAAUAUCCGGCCGUGGUUAAAACAUUCUUAUAUAAAAAUGUUGAAAUAUAAUAUUUUGAAAUAUUAGCAGAAUCCUUAGAUUUUUAUCGUUAUCUAGCAUGAUGCGUGGAUCAUAAAGAUGUCACGAGAUAAUCACUUUAAUAAAGGGUCAAUAGACUAAAAGCCUUUAUAAAGCUGAUAAGUAAAUUCAAUCUAUCUCGCACCGAAUGCUAAAGAGAUGUAAUAGGUUGGGGAAUCUAUUCACAUUUGAUAUGCCAUUCACAUGAUAAUAGAUAGAUACCAUGUUCCGAUGCUUUGAGUCGGUAAUUUGUAGGACUUGUCAUUAUCGUGCAUGGUGAACCACCGCAUAGCUACCGGCGGAGGUAUCAAAGUCGGUUUAAAACCCAUAUUUUGACUCAUAUUUAAUAGUGUGGGUCGUAAAUGGGUUCCCUUAAAUUUUAAAAACAAGCUUAAGUAGGUUAUAAAUGGGUUACCUAACAAUUUAAAGGGUCUUAAAUGUGUAUUAAAUAGGUUACCUAACAAGCUUAAAUGAAUCAUAAACAAGUCAUUUUUAAUUUUUUUAUUUUUAUUUUUUUUUUAUAACCGAGGAAUCCGCUUGAGCCCCCUUAUGGGGUCACAAGGCCCUACAGUGCAUGGAAUGCCUAGUACCAAUGACUAUACCUUGGGGGUGACUAGCACAAGACAUAUCGUGGCCCCACACUUACAACGCAUUAGCAACCGCGGGUUUCGAACUCUCGACCUUGACGAUGAAAGAGAUACUCGCAACCAACACAGCUACCCGCGGUUGGGUUUAUUUUUCUUUUCUUUUAUUUUUCCUUUAAAAAAAAUACUUUCUUAGCCAGUGGCUGUCAUGAAGACAAUUGGCAAUUGGCCACAGAUGAGGGACAAGCUCACUGACCUUCGGCACCGCAAGGCUCAAGCCUUGUCAAUUUGGCAAGACUCGAGCUAGCUAGAGAGGCCAGUGAGCGCCAGAGGCUAGCGAGCUCGAGCUCGCAAUAUGACCUCUAGCGAUGCUUGAGCUCGCCGGCAUUGAGUAAGAGCUUAGCCUUGCUAGAUUUGGAGAGGUGGAGCCUCACCUGAGGUAGGCUCAGCUCGACUAGAUCCAACUUUGGUUGAUUUUAAUUUUGGGCAUCUGUAUUGAUGUACCAUCACAAAAACUUCUCACGGGAUUGCCUGGAAACUUGAGACUUAAAACUAUCGAUAGUUAGAGAUGUCUCAAAAAAGUGAGCCGCCAACUACACAUUAUCAGAACAAUUGAAUAUGUUUAUUAUUGAGUUUUUUUUUUUAUCAAAAGAGAAUCAAUUACAUAAUUUCUACCGUCUCUUAAUUAUUUUCGUCCCUAGUGAGCUAUAAUAAUUAUAGACUAUAUAAAUGCUAUUGAGUGAGAUUUUGUUUUUUGCUUUGUUUUAAGUUUUAUUUUGAUUUAUUAUAAAGUCACCACCAUUUUCUAUGUUUUCAUCAAUUCAAUAUGAAUUAAAAAUCUGCACUUACUUUGUUUCACGUGAUUCGUUACACAGUGAUCUUCGACAUUCCACAUAUCUAACUUUGGUUGGUACGUUCCUUAAUAAUGUCGGAGUAUGAUAUUCUCAAACAUUAUUAAAGUUAUCUAACACGCAAUGCUCGGAUUGUCGUCUAGUAAAUUGUACAAAAAAAAGAAAUGCAACAAGAAUAUCGCUUUAUUAAAAGUCCGAAAUUCUUUAGACGAACGGCUUUUCAAAAAGCCGUGUUGGCAAUCUCACAUUUCAUUCGCAAAGGCGUGGAAAAUCUGUCCCCAUUAAACUCACAUAAUUCUACGGUACCUAUUAUUGAGACAUAUGACGAGGCAAACAUAUUUAUGUUUGGCGUAAAUUCCACAAAAUGUUAGAUCAAGUUCAUGUUGGACAAAUGCCUAAAACAUUGGUACAGACGUAAGAAUUACUGGUCGACCUAGAGUGACCCCCUGAGAAGUAUAGAUAUUUCAAUAUUAUGACUAUAGUCUACAUUAGACUUAGGAAUCUAUAAUAUGUAUUGUCUGAAGGGGCCAUGAAAACCAUGACACCCGAUUUUAAUAAUAAUCAAGUAUGCAUAUAAACGAUGUCCAUAACUUGUAAUUUAUCAAUCGAAGAAAAGGUAGAAAGAGAUUUCUUCCAUCUUGGAGGAAAGUAUAGCCUUAUCCAAUGUUCAGCCUAACAUUUUAUCUUACUAUAGUGGUCUUUCAACAUGUGUAAAGGAGAUGAAAUCAAUCCCACUUACAAAAAUUUGGGAUUCGAAAGUGCCUAACUCUGGCUCGAUUACGAUUUAUGAUCAUGUCAAUAAGGCCUUGUUUGGUAACCAUCCAAACAAGGCCAAAUUCCGAUUCUUUGUUCUCGGGAGUAGUUUGGGAACAGAAUCGCGUUUGGUAAAAUUUUGUUCCCGGGAACAAAUUUCUUUUUUUUUUUGUUCCAAGAAGUAGGUUUGGAAUAGAAUCAAGAAUUAAAAAAAAAAGUUGAUUCUUGUUCCGGGAACAAAUUUAAGAAUCAAAACAACUCUUCUUCUUCCAUAUUCUCUUCUUCUUCUUCUUCUCUUUUCUUCUUCUUCUUCUUCUCUUUUCUUCUUCUUCUUCAUUGACCGCUGUCCGCCGCUGCCGCCUUCCACCACCGUCCGCCAGUCACCGGACCUCGCCCUGGCCGGGCGAUUCUCCGAUGAGCUCGCUGGAGGCAAGCCCAGCCACCGGCGAGGCUGGGCAAGCCUUGCGACGCCCAGCCCCGCCGGUGGUCAAGCGGGCCUCACCUAGCCCCAGCGAGGCCAACCCUCGGCAAGGCUAGGCGAGCCUCACCCAGCCCUGCUGAGGCUCCCCUAGUCCCCACGGUGGCCAAGCAGGCCUCGCCCAGCCCUGACGAGGCCGGCCUCACUGAGGGCCGGUGAGGUCGCCGGCCCUCAUCUGGCCGAUCGCCGAUCCGGCGACCAGCCUGAAGAAGAAGAAGAAUAGGAGAAAAAAGAAAAAAAGAAAAGAAAAAAAAGGAAAAAAGUAUAAAAAUUAUUUAAAAAUUAAAAGAAAUUGAUUUGGAACAUAAUCAAUGAGCACGGUACCAAACACAAUUCUAUACCAGAAUCAGAAAUGUUGGACAGUUACCAAACGGCUUAAAAUGCUUAGAAUCUGUUCCCGGGAACAGAAUAAAAAAAAAAUCAUUUCUGAUCAGAAUUUACUUCCGGGAACAGAAUCGUUACCAAACGCGUUCUAAGUGGCCAGAUUUUUGUUUAUCAUUCGUCAUUUAAUCUGACAUCACAUCAUCUACAGCACAAUUAUGUAUGUGGCGAAAAAAAAAAAUCUAAGUCGUAUCAUAACAAUUUUACAUUACAUAUGAGAAGUCAAAUCAACUUUGAAAAGCCAAUUGGUGUGUAUGGCGCCUGGAAAUGGAGUCCUGAAAUUUCGAUGUCUUGAAGGACAUCAACAAGCUGCCCCUUUGUGUUGCUGGGUGUCCCAUCCCUCAGUAUCUCGAAGUUGAUCCCGUAAUUGGAACUCGAACCGGGUUCUUGGAGGAGAUCGUUUUCGCGCCAUGCAUGUUGACCGUGAUCAUCGAUGGUCGCCGACAUUUGCCCAAAUAAGCUUUGCUUAACAUGCCUCUUAUCCCGCUGGGCCCUGAUGGCCUAACAUGGUACCUAGACCUGAUUUUGGUACUUUAGUUCCCUUCUUUGAGUAGAUUGCUUUCGCAAUUGCCUUCUCCUCCGGGAAUUUGAGAUCUGCAGUGCUUAUGACAUAGGUUUGAGCAGCUUUCCUCCAUUCAGAAGUUACCAGAUCUCUGGCCUUGACGGUCUUUAAGCAUCGAAUAGGGCCUUCCGCCUAUUUCAAUGGCCUUGAAGACAGCCACUUCCACGGCUUGCUCUGCACACCCUGGUUUAGAAGUUUCAGAGGCCGAGUGAAAGUUUUGAGGUUUCAGUUGUCCAUCAGCACUUGGCCCCAGCAAAAGAACCCUAAUUGAGAUAUUGCUCAAUUUAUCUGGUCACACUGCCCACAUACUCUGUUGAUGUUAUAAUCCUAAACGAUGGAUAUGCAUUGCCGGCACAAAGCUAUUUGAUUCUGGCAUUCUACUAGGGGAAUGUCCCUCGACCAAGGGUGUCCACGUGACCAGUGGUCUGAAUCCUAGAUGCCAUUGUCUUUGGUGGGAACGAUGACUAUAUGACUUGUUGCAGCAUACUCUGUUGCCUGUUGCUACCAAGUAAACCCUUGACUACAUUCCGUCGAGCCAUGCCAACUUUGGUUGUGCUUUUGUGGACUCCUGAAGGGCAAUCUUGCGAAGGGGGACUCCUUAGGUUAGGCUAUCCCUUGGUGGGAGUUCGCAUGACUAUCACGCCCAUCUGGAAUUUGUCCUCCAUGCCGCGACUUCCAUCAACCUGCUCAUCAGGCCCAAUCUGCACGAUACUUUCUUCUCUAGGGGUGAGGUCAUAUGAUGCCAUUGCCAUGCGCUCAUGCAUGAGAAAAAUCCCUUAAAAGCAGGCCGCGCGCUGAUCAGUUGCUUGAGAAAGAAGCCUAAUGCCAUCUGCACAGGGUCGACAGUCCUGCAUAUUCUUGGAGUAGCCCCCCAGAGAUGAUGAUUCAAGAUCAGAUCAGCCUCAGUGCGGGCCAUGGGAUCGACAGCUAGUCUUUGUUCUACAAUGAUAUGUGAUAUGCUAGCUCCUUUAAUCGAUAUAUGUCGAACAAAUCUGCUGGAUCGACAGCUAGUCUUUGUUCUACAAUGAUAUGUGAUAUGCUAGCUCCUUUAAUCGAUAUAUGUCGAACAAAUCUGCUUGAAGAGCCUGAUCGAAGAGAUCCUUGUCUACUUUCAUCGUUUCCUUCUUUUUCUAGAAAUCUCAUCUAACCAAAUCCGCUCGUUAUUGUUUUACAAUGUACUAGCAUGGAAAGGAGUUCCAUGCUACUAAUUGCAAACGAGUUGGUAGUGUCGGUAACUUGUUCAUCUAGUUGCGUAUUGGUAACUUUCAACAAGUUAAAACAAAUAUCAAAGUUUCUUUAUUCCUCAAAUUUACCAACCAUUUUAAUAAUCUACCAACAUUUACUUUUGUGACUUACCAACCAUUUGAAAUUACUAAAUCUUAAUUUGAUUAAUAUACCAACAUUCAGUUAUCAACUUUGUUUUAGAAACUGAUUUCUUUGUGAUUUACCUGUGAUUACCAAUGCUUUCGAAGCACCAACUUCAUUUAAAAAUUUCCCACCUUAGUUUCACUCACAUAUCACCAUUCAUCACAUUAACAAAGUGCACCACAACAGCAAUGGGUACAAGCCGAGCCAGGCCGGCCGGCAGCCCCCCCGUCCCGGACGCCCUAGCUGAUGAUGAUCUAGGGAAUGUCCACUUCCCUGGCCGUGCACUAUCACCGCGGCAUAGUCCCCAUAGGCCUCAUGCCCAGAGAAGUACGCGCUAGAGUUUCCCCCCUUGAGCUUGUUCAGAGAGAAUGAGUACUUCAGCGUGUCCUUGCCAGAUUCAAGCCCAAAGGUCCUUGUCUAAUUGGACAUAGCAUUGUAAAAGCCGUAGCAAUAUGCGGCCUGGUCGGUGUUACGCUCGAUGACGCUGCCGAAGAACUGAACUGCCUUGCUCCUGGUGUUCAUCCAGGCCGGGACACCCCACGGUAGGUCGCCGCCCGGCCUCCUUAGGGCAUCCCUGGGUGGGAACAGCCCCCCGGCCUCCAUGGCAUUGUCCAGUAUCUCAAAAGUCAGGCUGCCUCCUAUGAGCCGGAACAGUUUCCAGUAGUUGCCCGCCGCCCUCGUCUCGGGCUCCAUAGCUGGGAGUCUCGCCGCCGCAGAGCUCGCACAGAGGCACGAAACAUGCUGGCAACGUCGGGACCCGUCGCCACAGCCUGCUUCCUCGAGAUGUACACCGUCUGAUGAAUUUUCCUAUUGCACGAAUGCACGUAAAAACUACUUCUUUUCCCGUCAUUCCACGCCUGGGUGGGUGGAUUCAGCUCUCUCUUUUCGGACCAGGCAAGUCCGAUUCAGGCAAAAGAUUUUAGAAGAAAAUGACGAGCAGAACCGAAAAAGAAAUCUUGAAUUCUUGCACCCUAAGCUUUCUACAUAUACUAGGCAUGUCCACUGUUUUUUCCUGUUCGAAAUGUAUCACUUGCGCGUCUAUAUCUAUCUAUUGUUACAUGCGCUUUUCAAAGGAUUGCCUAGAAACUUCGCAUUUAAUAUUGUGCGUCUAUAUUUGUCUAUUGUUACAUGCGCUUUUCAAAGGAUUGCCUAGAAACUUCAAAACUUAAGUAGUAGAUAAUUAAAGAUGACUUCUCCUUAUCAGUUUUGCCGAAUUCUCAAACAAAAAUAGCUGCUGCCUAGAUGCCACCUAAACAAUUUGGCGUGUUUUCCAUUCGAGUAUUAUUAAUUGAUGGAAAAUCAAUUAUGUAAAAUUCUACCAUCUCUCGAUCAUUUCUCUUUAUGACCAAGUUUAAUAUUUAUAGACUUUCUGAAUGUUAUUGAGUGCCCACUUCAGAAAAAUUAAACAUGGUCAUAAAUUAUCUAGAUAAUAAGCUUUUAAAAAAUCGAAUCGGUAAUUUCACACGAUUUAAUAAGUUCAUAUGAACAGCUGAGCACAAUCUAUUUGCAUAAACUUUAGAUAUUUCUAUACAUUAUUGAGUUUAUUGAAACGAAUAUAUCUAUGUGGACAUAAAAAUCCAAGAAAUGAUUUCUUAAUUCUACUUUCAGAGUGAACCCCUGGAAAAAAACCCAAAAAAAAAAGACCCGAAUAUUUUAAUUAAAAAUUCGGAUUUUCUCUAUCGGUCUAGUAAAAUCCAGCAUUCAGACCCGCAAAAUGAGAAGGAAACCCGAAAUCCUGCGCUUGUUCUCCUGAAUCCUCCUGCGCCGUGCUUCCGCCGCACGCCGCCGCCGAACCCCGCCGGUCUCCGCCGCCGCAGCCCGCCGGUCCCUCCGUCCGUCCAUAACCUGAAGGUGACUCUCUCUCUCUCUCUCUCUCUCUCUAUCGUGAAUUCUCUUCCUCUGCAAUUUCGUCGUCGCCGGGGUCUCUCCGUCGCUACCUCGCCGGACGCGCGAAUCCCUAAUUCGCGGCGGGCGGCUGUCUCCGGCGCUCCUCUCUGGCGGAACCUCGCCGAUUGCUCAUGCGCUAGGAACCUCUGCGGCAGGAAAUUCGAGGGAUGGACGUGAUCUCCCAGCUGCAGGAGCAAGUCAACACGGUCGCGUCGGUCGCCUUCAACACCUUCGGCUCGCUGCAGAGGGACGCGCCCUCCGUGCGGCUCUCCGCGAGUUACCCCGAACCGCCCCCGACCGCCGCGGAGGACGCGUCCAGCUUCGCCGAGCAGCCCAAGCUGAUGAGUGCUGCUCUUGUCAAAGCCGCCAAGCAGGUUCGUGCCUCUCUCCGGCUUGCUGUUGUUGCGAGUUAGUGGCGAGCUUGUUCGUUAUCUGCUUGAUGUGAUUGGAAGAAUUUAUUUGGCUAGGGCUUUAUGAAGAUUGAUAACUUGAUUUAUCGUGGCAAGAAAAGAAAUUUACUUGUGUAUGAGAAUUGUAUGUAUGGCUAGAAAUCUAGGUUAUGUCCGAAGUUUCAGCGGAGAGGUGUUCUUACUUCGAUUGGCUUCUGUGCGCAUUUAGUCUCGGUUUUGGGAACUCUGUGCGUGUUCUUGUAGAGGAUGUGAGCAGAUUUCAUUCAUUAAUGUGUACUAUGGAAGUUCUCAUCGAUAGAUCACAGAUGUGACGCGAACUUCUGAAGAUGUAAUGCAAGUUGGGCAUUUGGUUCGUUUUCGUGUAUGUGUCCAUGGGCGUUGCACGCCAUUGCACCUAAUGUGACAGUUAUUCCUACGGAAGAAAACAGGACCUCCUCCAUUUUUUUUCUUGUGGAUUCUGUUGGUGGAUAUAUCUGCCAUGAGUAUCUCAGUGUGCAUAUGUACAUAGACCACGCUGUGAUUUGGUUUACAUGAGUUGGGUAAUCUUUUGACUCAUAAGUGUGAAAUAGUUAUGCACAUUUGAAAGAGCCACCACUCUUGUGUAAUCACGACUAUCGUUUCUUUCAAAUGUGUUUCUGCAUCUUAAAGUCGGUAGAAUGGUUUGAGAUUGUAACUCCAUCAGCAUUCUUGAUCUUGAGUAAGGUGGAUUGUUGGUUUCUGAUUUCUACCUCAUUCACUUUUGUUUUACUUCAUGCUUGAAGUAAAAUGAUGGUCGGUGUGACAUCCUAAACUCUGCGACAUCAGUAUAUUCUUGCGGGUGAAAGCAAUUAGCCUCCAUUUUAGAGAUGAAGCAUUAUGCUUCAAGUUAUAAAAUUCGGUCUCUUUUCCACCGUUUGCUUUGGCAAUCUGGAUAUAGUUCUAUCGGAACUCUUUUUCUUCUUUGAUGCCUUAGUAGCGGGACUUCCACUGCCUGAGGGAGGUGAAGAAGCUCAACUCAAAAGGAUUGCAGACCUCCAGGUUAAGAGGAUCCAUGGUUUUUGGCGUCUUUAGUUCAUUAUUUCUGUUGUUUAAGGCUGUUUCUUAUUCAUCCCAAAUUACCUUUGCACAGGCUGAGAAUGAUGCUGUAGGACAAGAGCUUCAGAAGCAACUUGAAGCUGCCGGUAAUUGCCCUAUUGAUGAGGGUGUGAGGGCAUUUGUCUUGUUCACUUAUGUAUGUCAAUUUUUGGUCGAAAGUGAUAUCUUCUAUGAUUUUUGGCAUUGGCAGAGAAGGAAUUGAAGCUGGUCCAGGAGCUAUUCAGCCAGGCAACAGAUAACUGCUUCAAUUUGAAGAAACCAGAAUAAAAAUUGAGGACGCUUCUCUUCUUUACCUUUUUCAUAAAAUUUAUGCAGUAGAGAUGAUGACUGAGAGAAUAGGCAUUCUACCGUUCGAAUAGUGCAAAGAGACCUGAGAUGUCGCAGCUCUGUGUGGGUGAGUUUUGAAGUCCUUGCCGAGUAAAAGUUUCUCAGUGCACAAAAAGCAUCAAUAUGGGCAUCAAGUCAACCAAACAAUCACUCAAAUGAAGUAGUUCUGGUGAAGUAAGAAGUCUAGUCUUGAAUCUUUAAUUGCAAAAACAAACUGUAAUGUUACAUUAGCAAUGGAAAGUUCUCUGUUUUGUUGUUCACCUUCCUUCCCUCUGAAGUUUUCAAAGAUUGCUUUCUUACUUUUUGGUCCUUCUGAGGAAGGUCUUGGUAUCGGAUGGAGCAUGGGCUUGUUUGCCCUUGCAGUGUAGAUCAAGAAUCAAGAAGGCAACUUUUAUAGUUGUGAAAUUCAAGAAAUCAGAGUUUCCCAUGUUUGAACGAGAGAGGAGAACAGGGCGGGCAUCGGCUUUGAACACUAGACCCCUAAUGGGCGUGUGUCGGGUUAUGGCUAGCUUAACCUCUUUAGGGUGCUCUUCUGGCAGGCUUCGUGGCCCCAAAUAAAGGGCCCAACCAUUAGUUUAGAACUCUCCCAGAGUGUACGUAAACAGCCAAGAGAAUAGUAUAUCCUCUUCUCCAAAAGGGACCAUGAGAAUGCUCGGCUUUCUGGUUGAACUGCCCACAUUGUUGGUGUUGUUAGGGUCCCAGAUGACGGACAUACAUUGCUGGCCUCUCUGGGCCACGUGAGCAAAGGGUCAGAAACUGAGGUUGCCAAUGUCUUUGGUGGGUACUUGGCAUCGAUGGCUUGUUAUGGCCUAAUUUGUUGCCUUCUGCUACCGACUAAACUCUCCACUACAUUUUGGGGGAUGGUGCUAAAUAUGAUGUACUUUUGGGCUAGUGAGAGGAAAUCUUCCUCAGAAAGUUUAGUCUUACACCUAACAUUGGAUUUUUCAAUCUCAUUAAAUAUUUAUGGACAGUCCAGGUUGUUGCCUUUAUCUCUUGGUCAAAUCAGCCACUGAUACUCCAGGAUCAGUUUGGGAGAAGUAUGUCUGGAACUGGACUUGCAUGUCCCACCAAUCUCAAACGGAACUCGUGGGCAAACUAAGGUACCACUUUGAGGGAAACCGCAUCAACAUAUAGGACCCUUAUCAAUUGAUGUUGGACAAUAUUUGAGUGGCAUGUGGAAAAAUAUGCAAUUAGGGAGGCAUGUAGGGGCCCAUAAAAAUUUGAAGUUGGAACUUCCUAUUCGGAUAGUCAAAUCCAAAACUUGAGCUAUUUGGUGGAGAAAACCACAAGAAUAUAUAUAGCACAUGAGACCAUUAUCAAGUAAUGUGUGACAAUAUUUCAACAGCUAUGAUUUCACAUUCACGAGUGAACAUAGUGAAUUAAGGCACUUUAUACUUUCUAGGGACAGGUCGAUGUGAUUAGGGAAUGAUUUCCUAGACAAAAGCCUUUAGUAUAGGUCCAUGCAAAUAUGUCUAUUGUCCUAGUAAGAUAUUCUUUGUCCAAAGGAUUGGGUACUCUCGGUUCAUUUUCAUCGAGUUAUUCUUCAUGGUCUUGUCAAUUUUUAGUCUCCUUGGAGGCUAGGUGUAGUUCCCCACUUCUCUUGCCAACAUUCACAUUGACCUCUCUAGGAACCACUUGUCUUUCUCCUAACAUUAGCAUCGAAGGGUUCAGAUUGUUCAUCCAAUUCUUUGUAAGACUGAAUCCUGAAUUUCCAAAAAGGUCCGAGUUAAUCGAUCAAAAGGAUAAUCCUGCACACUUUCACUAGGAGACUGAGACAGUGGGCUUUCGUCCCCUGGACCAUCCCUAGCCGAGGAGGCUUUUGUUGGGUUAGAACCCAACUUUUGGUUAUUGGAGUAGUUGGCUUCACAAUGGUGAAGCCCAAACAUGCUUCCAGUACUUCGGCAAGACAUUCUAUUCUCCAACCACGGUCGCCAUAAAAACAUGUAAGGUGGACUUUCGCGAGAUUGUGAUCCCCAGAAACUCAGUGAUUUCAAUUAGUAAUAAAAGUCCAAGCGAGGGUGAUCGAUGACCAAUUAAAAUGUUAAAAUUGAGGUUGAAUCCAAACUAAAUGAAUUCUAACGCGUCUUGAAGUCUCGAGAACUCUGAAAAAAAGUGAAUUAUUGAUGAAGCACAAACUGUAGAUUGGAAACAAGGAAAUUGUAUUGUAAUUUUGUUGAACCAUAAUGGAUGGCUUACAUUCCUUGAGGCCAUACUUACUCGAUCACUAAAACUGAACAUAUAACAUUAAUGGCGUUCGCUAGGAUGCGUGGAGAAAGUAAAAAAGUUAACAAAACACAACAGGAAUGCUUCUAUAAACAACGACAAAUAUUGAAACUAGGAAACCUAAUAUAAAAUGAAAUUCAAAUCCGAAUUCAGGUUAAUCUGAUCUACUCUAAAUAACCUCCUCAUCUUCAUAUCUUCACAAUUAUUCUAAUGUGCUAUUGGGAUUUUGUGGUGCCUCUCGUUGAUUCUUCUUUUGUCUUUUAAAUGGACAAUUGCGUUAUACAUUCUAAUCUUCCUCCACAAGAAUCAUUAGACAUCUUCGCUUGCACGCUACUCUAGGUGAUUUGCAACUGCUCUUGAUUUCUUAGCAAUGGUUACUCACCGGUAGAUAAAUCCUCCUUAGGUCAGUCUUUAACUUCUAUGCAUGUUUCGAAUCAAUUGAUAGUCACCUAGUAUCAUGCAAUUGGCUCAAAUACUGUCAAUUAGAAACUUGUGAUCGAUGAGUUCAUUAGAAGUUUCAUAUAGGCUUUGUGGGUUAAAUGUAUUGUCAUGGCCUGAUUUGAACUUAAUUUGGAUUGCUAACUUCUUCAUGUUUGGGCCUAAAAUUUAGGUCCGAUUUCAACAUGGAGUUAGUGGAAUAAAAGAGGAAAAGAAAAUUAAAUGCAACGUCUUUCCAUGCCAUCGAGAAUGAAGAAAGAAAGAUUGACCUCUAGGUUGUCCGGUGUUGGUUGAAGAUGCCCCGCCGCGGGGAAGGGGGGGGGGGGGCGGUUGGGUUGGGGAGAUCGAGAUACCUGAUGAAAUAUGUCCACGGCUAAUGCUGCACACUAUUCCUCAAGUAAAUCAACAUCUCCGUCCCAAGUUUCAUGCUAAUAAAGCCGUGAUUUUGGAAAAGUCUCAAAUAGAAAUAUGAAGUGCCCUCUUUUUACUCAAAAGAGAAUUAUAGUCCGUCUCAAAUAAAGAUCCAAAAUAAUCAUUUGGUCUCAAAAAAGGAUCUAGCUCGUCGACCGGCGAAGAAAUGCAUCUCCCAUGUCUGGUUAGGGAUAAUUUCAUCCAAAAAUAUUCUUUUUUCGUUUUCCUUUACCCCUGUUCAUCUUCGUCUUGAUCCUACCUAUGUUGUCCCUGCUCAUCAUCUUCUUGGUCAAUGUUGAAGACAGGCAUUGCCCAGAUCAAGAACAGCGGGACUCGUUGGCCACGGGUAAGGGCCGGCGAGGCCACCCUCGCUAGAUUGGCAGCGGGUGAGGUCUUGCAAGCCGACCCUUUGGCGAGGGUGGCCUUGCCUGUGGCCGGUGAGGGCCGUCACGGCCGGCGGGGUUGGCGAGCCCUCGUCGGAGACCAUUUGCCUGCUGUUGAAUUUGGAUUAUCUUGCUGUGUUUUGCUUUCCCAAUGGGGUUUCUAGAGGUUUGAUGCUCGCGACUCGACGUCGCGAACUGAGAAUUCCCUCUAAAAGUUCGUUCCUUUUUCCUUGAAUGUAUCUGUACAUAUCUAUAGUGCGUCCUUUGCUGACGACUUGUCGCUUACAUGUCUCUGUUGGGUCCUUACUGAAUGAGAUGGUUAGCUCAAUUUCUUAUGCUGCGGAGCUUUCUGCUCGUGAUGCUGAUUGUUCGGCGGGGUCGGGGGUGGUGGGGGGUGGGCGUAUAGCAAUUCAGAGAAAUCAGAAUUUCCUGUAGUUCGAGGCAUGAUUUGUGAUCAAGGCGGGAGGUGCUCUGUUUGGUGAAAGAUGAGUUAAGCUGAAGUUGCUACUUUCGUCAAGCCGUAUGGCUAUCUGGUAUGCCGCGAUAGGACGUCCCCCUCUCGCAGUUGUCAUUCCGCUCAUUGCUUUCCGAGGGCCAGCGAGGGCCUGCAAGCCUUCGCCUGCUGCCGAUCUGACAGGGGCGGCCUCUUCGGCCGCUGGUACCCAAAUUCGGUGUUCUUGAUUUGGGCAAUGCCUAUCUUCAAGAUCGACAAUAAAGAUUAUGAAUAGGGACAGCCAUGGGUGGAAUCAAGAAGAAGAUGAACAGAGGAAAAGAAAACGAAAAAAUAAUAAUUUUCGGAGGAAAGUACCUCUGACCACACCAUUGGAAUAUGCAUCGGAGAUGUAUUUGUUCGCCAGUCGGCGAGUUAGGUCUUUCUUGAGACUAAAUGACUAUUUUGGUUCCUUAUUUGAGAGAGAUUACACUUCAGAUCUUUUUUGAGAUUAUGAGGGCACUUUAUGUUCCUAUUUGAGAUUUUCUCUAUGAUUUUUGUUGGCUUGUUUUGCUUGCCUUUGUACGAUGGUCACAUGCAAUUAGGCAUCUUGGCUAGUUGGGCAAAACCACCAUAGGGUACUUGGGUUGACGCUACUCAAGUCGAAAUGAAGUCAGUAGUCCUCAUUAUAAAAAUUGCUGUGGACAAUGCUUGACUCUAAAAGGAGCAAGCGUCGCUCAUUAUAAAAAUUGCCGACCAAUUGCUUUCCAUUUAGAUGUGCUUGGUUUCAAUGUAUUCUCACGCAACUAUAUGUGCUGUGAUUUUUGUCAUUUAUGUCUAAUGCUAUAUACUAUUUCUCAAGUAAAUCAACUUCUCCAUUGCAAGUUUUGUGCUGUUAUUGGCUUGUUAUGCUUGUCUUUGUCCGAUGGUCAUAUGCAAUUAGGCAUCCGGGCUAGUUGGGCAAAACCACCAUAGGGUACUUGGAUUGACCAUGCUCGAGUCGAAAAGUAUCAUUAGUGCUCAUUAUAAAAAUUGCUAUGGACAAUGCUUGACUCUAAAAGGAGCAAGUGUCGCUCAUUAUAAAAAUUGACGACCAGUUGCUUGCCAUUUAGAUGUGUUUGGUUUCAAUAUAUUAUCACGCAACUAUAUACGCUGUGAUUUUUGUCAUUUACGUCUAAUGUUGUACACUAUUUCUCAAGUAAAUCGACUUCUCCAUUGCAAGUUUCAUAAAGCUGUGAUUUUUGUCGGCUUGUUAUGCAUGUCUUUGUUUAUAACUUACUAUAGAUAGUUUUACUUUUAUUUUAUUUUUUUUGGUAUGUUAUUGAGUUUGUGAGACUUAAUUUCAAUAUCAAUGUAAUGAUCUUGUUGUUUGUCAAAUUUUUUUGUCUUUUUCAUUUUUUGGAUUUUGCUUUUACUUGAUGAUGCUGUUGGCAUGUCUAUGGUCGUAGCUAAAGUGCUGGUGUGGCUAGUGAUGUCUAGUAGUAGUGGGUCUAUUAAGAUGGUUCGGUUCGAGGCUUGUGUUGUUUCUAGUGCAAGUGUGCAGUGCGCACAUCUUGCACCGGGUGGUACGGGUGCAAGGCUCGACUUGCAUCAACACCUUUUGCGGCAUACCCGCAAUUAGUACAGUGGCUGGUGGCUGGGGUGCUAGUGUGGUGGCUAAUGGUGGUAGCUGGUGAUGCCUUGUGGUGAUGGGUUUGUGGUGGGAAUUUGGUUGGCGGCUCAUGCCGCACUUGGUGCAAAUGUGCAGUGUGCACAUCUUGUAUCAGGUGGUGUUGGUACAAGCUGUACCUUGUGCAGUAGACCCACAACCAGCACAGUGAUUGGUGGCUGGGGUGCUAAUGUGGUGGCCAGUGGUGGUGGUGGGUGAUGGCUGAUGGUGCUGGCGGCCGGUGAUGCUUGAUGGUAGUGGGUCUAUAGUAAGGGUUGGGAGCUCAUGCAACACCUAGUGCAAGUGUGCAGUGUGCAUAUCUUACACUAGGUGGUAUUGGUGCCAAGUGGGUGCGAGGCUCAGCUUACAAACACCUUCUAUAGUAGUAUACCACUAGCACAGUAGUAGCUAGUCGUGGCUUGAGGUGGUGGAUGGGGUACUUGGUGUGGCUGGUGGUGGUGGCUGGUGGCCGGUGGUGACUGAUGAUGGUGGUUGGUGUAAUUUUUAGGGGAAACCUACAAAAAUUGACACUUAACUGAUAACAUUCUAAAAAAUUUAACAUUUAAAUGUUCAAUUUUAACCGUAAGUGAUACUUAAGUUAUCACUUCAAUAAUAACUUGACACUUAAGUGAUAUUUUUUUAUCACGAUUAAUACUUAUGGCACUCGAGUAAUCACUCGUGUUUGUCCUAUGUAUAUGCUGGUUUGUAGCAAACCAGAGAAGCUGCUAGUUUAUAUUUAGUUCAACUUAUAGCAACUUCAUUCAAUUCAAUGUUUUGCUGUCGGUUUAUGUAUAUAUUCAGCUCAAGUAAAGAAGUCACCACAAUACAUUGACUCAAUACACAUCCAUCAUUGUUGGUUUAUAUUCAAGAACAAGUAAAAAUAUAGUACGACCAUCAUUUCAUUCACUCAUUCUCUUUCCUUGACCUCUCCACAAGCAUAAGAAGUAACCCAUGAUAUAUAUGAUAGCACAAACAAUAACAAAGCUACAACGAUCUUGUGGACAACACAAACUUCUUCUCAUCUUCCAUAAAAAUGCCUACAUUUGAUCCAAAACAAUUGCAUUUGUCCACUCAUUUUCAAUUAUGGCAGUCAAAGAAACUUCUUCUCAUCUUUCAGUGCCUAACAUUUCAUCAUAAAGUAGGAUAGAUAACAAAACAAUACCACAAUAAAUGCUUGGUAACAUUUCCGUUCAAUUUUCAUUCUUGAAACUUCAUUCUACAAAUGUUUAGCCGAAGAUGCUUGAGCUUGUAUUGAAUCAACAUCGUCCAAGUUGUCCACAAGCGUAGAUGGAGGUUGAUGUCAUCCAUCAAGUAGAUUGGAUAUCACUUUUGUGGCUCGAUGAGAGAAUUUCACAUCGACCCAUUUGAAGUAUUUACACUUUGACCAUUCUCUCUAUCGGGCACAUCCAUAAAAUCUUCUCCCGGGAUUCAUUCGAGUCCACGAUGUUCUUUUUGGACUCGGUAACCCACAAAAACAAAAACGCUUACCUUCGCCUUCGCUUUAGUGAGAGGAAUUUGAAGCACUGCUAAAAAUCUUGCUCUCUAUUUUCAAGAUUCAAUGGUGAAAUUUUAGGCAAAUCGAAAUUAAGAUUCGGGAUUAGGGUUUGAGCACUUCAAUAGGGAUUUUGGUUGAUUUAAGGUUUUAGAUUUGGGGCUUUUUGGGAGAUGACGUUGUUUUGACCGAUUUAGGGCUUUUAUUUUGGACAACUAUGAAAACGACAUCGUUUUGGGUCAGUCAGAGCUAAGUCAGCUCUCCAACAAGCCACGUAGGCAAACAAAAUUAAUAAUAAAAAAAAAUUACCACGUCGGAUUUUCAACGGGGUUCGCCGGAAGUAGCACUCAAGUAUCUCAUUUUAAAAAAAUAAAUUAUACUUAAGUUUCAUUUUACUAACUUUUGGUACUUAAGUGUUCUCUUAUGCUAAGUUUUGGCACUUGGAUUAUUCUUUUUCCAGAAAAUAUUUAUCUAAAUCCCAACUUGCUUUGUCAUGCUCAUGCUUGUCUAUCCUACUCAUAUUUCUCAAUUUCCGAAGUUCAAAAUAUUGGGAUUUAACCCAAAAUUACUUGAAAAUUUAAGUAUAUAUCCAUUGCAUUUACUCACCUUUAUAUUCGAAUGCAAUUAAUUUGCAGAUUUGAUCUUGUCGUGAGAGCAUUGGCUAGAGUAGUGGGUGAAAGGAGGAUUUUGCAUGAUGCGUUUCAAAACCAGCCAAAGGAUCGACUUAACCAUCUCUACUCACAUGAAUUAAAUACUGCAACGGGUGCCCUCUCAUUCCCUUGGGAUUAUUUAUCUCCAUAAAGCCCUUCAAUUCUGUUUGGCUAUCUCGUUCACCCUCUUCAGCCAUUUAAUGCUUUCAGGUUCUGUAAAGCUAUCCUCUAAAUCUCCCAAUUGCUCCGCCCAAAGACAUCCUCUAACCGUAAACCUGCAUAGCAUAACUUAACACGUCUAAGUUUAGUUGCACUUGCGCAGGUGUUCGAUUAGUAGAUGCUAUUCAGAUAAGAGGCUAAUCUGAGGACCGAUGCAACUAACCUAGCCACUCAAAUGCCUCUUUAUCCCAACCCAAGUGUGAUGCAGCUAAUAAGCCCCAUGGUGAUCGAAGAAAUUGAAUCAACAAAACAAUAAUUAAUAUAGCAAUAAAUAAAUUUCAAGAAAUUUAAUUAUAAUCAUCCUAGCAGACGGACUGAUGAUUAAAGUAACAAUUAAUAGUGGAAGGACACAAAUAUUUUCUUAUGAAGUAGAGUUAUGAUGAUAGAAUAUUGGGAUAAGUGCAUUGAAUGUUCUAGAAUUUCUCACGAAAGUGCAAUUGAGUUCUAAAUUUUCAAAAAUUGCAAUCAAGUUCUAAAACCUGUCACAAAAGUAAUUGUGUUAUAAAAUUUUUACGAAGUGCAAUCACGUUCUAAAACUUGUUGGGAUUUUCUAUUUAUCAAGUUGGACGAAGUUAAUGGAAUAUUUGAUCACAUUGACAAGUUUUAUGACUUGAUUAUACUUUUUUUUUUUUAAGUUUUAGGAUUUAAAUCACUUUCUAAAUGCUCUAAGGAUAAGUAUUAUUAUCUCUUGAAGUCCUUCUGAGCUGAGAGAAUUAAAAACUUCAUUGAUUUGAUAAAGAGUAUUAUUAUCAAGAGAUAGCUUGUUGAGUUUUUUGUUGACUUCAUAACGUCCAGCAGUAUGGCCUUCUUUUCCACAUUGAUAGCAUGUUAUACUUCAAUUGAUUUUUUUUGUUUUGUUUUUUGUUUAGUUUGAGAAGGGUAGGAUGAAGUUUUUCAGGAAAAAAAUUUUAGUGUGAUAUUUUUUUUUUUAUAUUUAUGAUUUGGUUUGUUUGAUCUUCUAUAAGAUAAUUAUCCCACCAACAUUUUAAUUGUCCAAUAAAAUAGCCAUCGAUAUUCUAAAUGUUCUUCAUAUCAAACAACCAUGGUCUCCAAUUCGUAUAAAACACAACAAGAUGUAUUGUGAAAUAUUUUUGUGAUUAUUUAUAUUUCAAUCAUAUUGUAACGUGUCAUUGCCAUUAAAAUUUUUAUCAUUUGUAUCACUUUGUUUGUUUUACAUAUCCUUUUCAAAUCAACCAUAAUAAUAUUUCAUAUUGUAACAUUAGAUCCUCUAUCUUAGAGCCCGGGAGUUUAUAUGCAUACGGAGAAACCAUGGAAUCGAAUCUCAGUGGAGUACGUGGAUCCUACUAAUAAAUGAAGAUUACUGAAUGUCUCUGAGAAUCUCAGGAAGACGACACUCGGCAAUGACCAAAUUUAGCGACGGAAUCACCCGACAGAGGUACUCAAGCUAAGUUAGAUGAAGAACGACUGAAGCUGGAGCCACCACAAAUAGUCGUCAUCUGAGAGAAGAAGAAAAUAGAGAGAAUGAGUUAUCAGAGGUGAAGGAUCUAUAUGUCCUAUGAACUGAAAGAGAGAGCGCGUGAAGUCUGCGGCGAUAGGAGGUGGUCCGGUGUUGCUGGGCGACGAUGAUGUUGCAGCAGCUUAGGCGGUGACGCAAGGACGGUGAGCUUCGAUGAAGGUGAAGACGUAGUGAUGGAUAACCCACAUGCAUCUCUGAGACUGACGAAGGAAGUGAAUCAAUCAUUUUUAUAUCUCUCUAGUAUUUGAAUCACCAAGAAUUCUUUUCAAAAGUAUAAGUUUUUUAUGGUACCUUCAUUUCAUAGAAAACUCAAUGAUAAAAAGCAUUUUCGAAUAAUAUGAUUAAUUUUCCAUUAUUUGGUAAUAUAUAAUCAAAUCAAAAACGUUUUUUGAUAUUUGGAUCUCAUUAGAAAGUGAUUUUGAUAGUAUGACUUUAUCUUAGGCCAAAAAAAAAUCGAAUUUUUUUAAUUUUUUUUCUUUUUUAAAAGUUCGAAUUUUUAGUUUUUCAUUUUAUUUUUUUAAAAUUCGAAUUUGUAAUUGGUUCUUCAAUGAGUUGUAAAAAGAAAGGGAGAUUAAUUAGAAAAACGUUUUUUUUUACUAUACCAUUUUCAAUAUUAUUAUUAUUAUUAUUAUUAUUAUUAUUAUUAUUAUUAUUAUUAUUAUUAUUAUUAUUAUUAUUAUUAUUAUUAUUUUCUUCUUCCUUUUUCAAAUGCAGAUUUGGUUUAUUGACAAAAUUAUUUGCCAACGAUGUUCAGUUUCUUAUUUUUUUUACCCACGGUUCUCAACAUUUUCACGAUUAAACCCAAUUUGGAGCACGUCCAUUGAUUUUCCUCUUAUAUUUAAUAAUCGUGUUAUGAAAAGAGUAAAAUUAUCAGCAUUUGACAAAGCUUUUGCUAACAAAAAAAAAGACAAAGCUUUUGCUAAGCAAGUUCAUGACAUCAUCACAACAUUCUACUUCAACUUCAACAUACUCAGAAUGCUGCCUUAGUUCUUCCGAAUCAAAGUAGGUCCAUUGCUUCAUGUUUAAAUUUGUGUACCUCAGUUAAGACUAUGCGGAGUGGAAUUCUUGACCGAACACUUGUCUGUUGAAGUCCUCAUAGCCAUUGGAGCUUAACCAAGGCCUUUUCUAUCUUCCUUAAAUAGCCGUGAUACCAAUUGAUUUAAUUGCAAUAUCUAAUAGUUUUCGCGCUAUAUUGCAUAAUUGGUAUAACAGCUGUCAACAGCCAGGAGACUAACAAAUAAGUAUUUGGUCAAGAACUUUGAUCCACAACUCUUUUGCCUGACAGCACAGGAGCUUCUUGGAUUAUAGCCGCGCAAGACGCAAGUGGUGCACUUUAUUAAACACAUUGGAGGUUUUCUGUCGACAUCCAAACUGAGUUGUUUCCAUUAAUAUAUACCGUGAGUUUGGGUGUACUUUAGGACUUGAAAAAUACUUAAACAUGUAUGUGAUCAUAACUCUAUAAUUCUCCUAUUUAUUAAUAGAUUAUUUACAGUUAACUAUUCCCAUAGAGUAAAUACCGACAUUCAGAUUGUCCCAUGCAGAUCUCUUCAUUUAUUUACUAUUCCCCAUUUAUUUCUCUAGUAACUACGCAUUGAAUUAAUUACGAGGUUCGAUAAUUUUUUCAUUAGAUUGAAAAACUGACAUCAUCACCUGACCAAUUCCGACGCCUGAAAUCAUUCAGCAAUAGAGACAAGUCCUUAGCACAACAAAAACUAUUCAAGAGGUGGCUCAUUGUAAGAGUCGCCCAGAUUUUCAAAUCUUAUAGAAAUAUCGUCCUUCAUCCUCCAUCAAGAUACAGGUUUGGCUAACUGUUGUGCCUAUCCGUCUGUAAAUAGGAGAGUUUUCCGGGGGACGGUCCCGUCCUUCAUUUGGUGAGGGUACACACAGGUUAAUGAUGUACAUUCCCAUAUGGACAUAUGGUCUCCUAGGCUGGAUCUCAUUACAUGUUUUCACUACAAUCAAGCAAACUUCUCUAUCAAGAUGGUCUGUAACUAAAUAAGAUAUGAAGAGGAAGUUGCAUUUUCUUUCUCAUUCUUCACUGCAUACAUGCUAUCGCGAGGCAUGAGAAAAUUAAAGGUUUAGAGUGGUAAAAAAGAAGGAACAAUAAUCUGCAGCCAAGAAAGGAAUACUAGAUUUUCAUGACUAUUCUCUGCUAGAACUUCAGGACAUGUAUAAUGAGCUUCCUGUCAAGAGAUCUGUUUUUCUUCAUUCUAAGAACUAUUUUACUAAAAAGUUCCACAUGUAUUACAAGAACGUGGACUACCUGUAGAAUAUAACAACAUACAAUUUUCACUCAAACUGUAUCUGCGACAAUUAAGUGAGGAUUCAUUUCUUCUUGCCUCUUCCUUUCUUAUUUUGCUUAACUUUGGACUUGCAAUUGCCCUUGUUCUUGUUCCGGUUUUCCACACCGCUAGUCUGGGAAAAAGAAGAUGAUGAAGCCUGCUGAUCCUUCUUCACUUCACCGGUUUUUUCAGCUUCCCCAGCUUUGCCCUUCUCUUCCUCAUUUGCUAAGCCCACUUCUUGUCCCGGCAAUGACGACGCAUUUGCACCAUCCGAAUGCACAACUGGUACUACACUGUCGGAAGAUGAAGAGGAAUCCAUGGAAAAUUCAGUCAGAUCUUGCAACUUGCAAGAGCUCUCAGCACUUCCAUCUUUGGGGAAUAGAACUUUCAUAAUCUCUUCUUUGCAUUUGUGCGACUUCACAUCUAAAAUGAUGGCAUGUGGACAUUUUGAACAAUCUGAAGCAGAAUUGGUAAUUACAAGGGGAUCAUCAACUUUUUCGAAUGCUUCAGCGAGAACACCCACUGAAAUUUCCUGUAAGUUUGGCCUCCGGCAACGUGAAAGAAUAUGAUGAAAUUCUGGAGGUAUUUGCUCAGAAAUCCAACUCUUACCGAGCAAAUCGAAGAGAAAAUAUGGACUGAUGCCAAAAUUCAGGUGAAGCAAACAAACCAAAAGAACCAACUUCAAGACCAACAACGGGUAAUACUCCCUCACAUUUAGGUUCGAAUUUUUUAUCCAUUGUCUGGUAUCAUCCUUAUUGCGAAGAAGGUCCACAACGGUCCUUGUAACAAACUGAAUGAUGGGCUCCAAGCAAUUUCCCAGGUUGAAACUGAAGCUAGGCUUUGCUAAACCUUCAUGGCAGAUGAGCCAUUCAACUAGAGAAGAUUUCGUUGUAUAAAACUGCCCUUUGGAGCAAGCUAACAAAAUCACAAGUCGUUCCAAGAGAUACAAAAAGCAAAUUGGUGUGAUGCAGUCUCUUUCAGUCUUCCAAUUGGCAUUGUAAGCAUCUGCCAAAGCUCGAUAAAGGUUCCAAGCCAAAGAGAUUUCCACGGGUCCAUUGCUCGCCUGAGGAAGGUCUGAUGGUACAUCCCGACAAAUGCAUUCCAUGAAUGCCUCCCAUGACGUAUCUCCUUUAAAUGAUUUUGCUAUUUUUCCGUACAAACCAUCGUCAAGCAUUCCAGACCCAAGAACCAAAGUCGCAAGCUCACCCAUCUUCCCAUGUGAAAAAUGCUUCUUCGAAAUUAUCAUGUUCAUUGUUUCUCUCAGUAAAUUACGAGAAGCCUCACUUCCUCUCAGAGAUACCAUAUUCUCUGAUGACGAUAUUCUCCAGUCAAGUGGAAAUAUGUGACCAAAAUACCUCUCACUGGAUGUUUCGAUGAAACCAUCCAGUGCCUUACCAUACUGGAACGAGUGAUUCCGACAAUUGAGUUCUCUAAGGAACUUGGCAACCUCAUGUGAGAUAGCAAGACAUCUGCUUUGCCAGAAAUUUGACCGAGAACUCUUCACCAAAAAUUGAUAAAGUGCAUCCAAUUGGUGCAGGAGCUCCAUACCAACAGAAGUAAGCUCAGAAUACCAGUACUUUUGAGCUGCAAAGACCAAUUGUCUAAGACCCAAAGCAACCAAUUGUCCAUUUUCUUUGAAGAAGAUCUUUAUCAACGUAUCUGACCCNNNNNNNNNNNNNNNNNNNNNNNNNNNNNNNNNNNNNNNNNNNNNNNNNNNNNNNNNNNNNNNNNNNNNNNNNNNNNNNNNNNNNNNNNNNNNNNNNNNNUUAGAAGGUGAUAAGUUCUUGCAUGUGUUCGGUGCUCAGACACCAAGUAAUUCAACAGAACUCCAACUUGACGUAUUUUCCUUCUCACCAGCAUCUCCACGCAUCCUGCACUCUCUAUAAUUCUGACAAUUUUCUCUCUCCAAAGAUUCCAAAAGCAGACCAAUGAGUCAACGGAAAUCUGAUUCCCCAAGAUCAGUUGUUCAGAAUAGUUCACUGGGUCGACAAGCCAAUCAUAUUCCCAGCAAAAAUUUGAGAUAUUUUGAUGAAGAUGGAAGUCCAGAAUAUUUCGAGCGCACAGUAUUUCACCUCUGACACUUCCAUUUCUACUGGAAGCACUCAAAUGUUCUUUCAUUUGAGCCAAACUGUUCUGUUUAUUUAGCAAAAUGCUUGAUUCUACAGAAACAUAUUCAUAGAAGGUAAUAGGCUCAGGCUUUGCAAGAAGUUUGGCUUUUGCUACCAGCUCCUCCUCCUGUGCAAACUGCUUCAAGGGCCACCCUUUGCUUCCAGGAGCCCAAAGGGAAUAGAAUAAUACGUACCACAGGAUGUUCAUCGACGCUUCCCUGUUUUUUCCGCUCUUCCCAAGUAGAUCAACCUCACGAAGGAUGUCACCUUUCAUCCUCACAAUCUUGGCUGCCUCCAAAAAGUUACCAAAGUCUUCCUCCAGACUUAUAAGUUCAUCGAUGCAUCCAAACCUCAUAAGCAAGUUUCUCAUUGAAUCGAUGCAAUGAAAAGCCUUCACAGACUUCAUCAUGGUCCUGUAGUCUCUGAGGUUGUAGAAAUGAAGGGCACAACUCUCUAAAAAGUCCUGUUCCAAUAUCUCUAUUUCUUUACUUUUCUUCUCUGUUCCCUGCCUUUUCCAAUCCUCAAUGUAUCGCAGACCCAUUUUAAAGAGUUUUUCUUCAGCACAAAUGGACAAGCACUUUGAGAAAAUAUUUGCCCUUGCAUAUGCCUCCGCUGCAAGACUGUAGCACUGAGCAAGAGAGAAACACUCUCCAGCUUUCUCCAAAGCAGAUUCUCCACAUUUAUCCAUGUAUAUUCUACCUGUUGAAGCAUAAACAUAUUUGAUGUCAGUCUCAUUUAUAGAGUGCGGAUGUUCAGAAGAUAAAACAUAGCAAAGGGACAUUUGGAAGCUGCCAGAAAUGCUCUUGUACAGCUCUGCUCUUGUACGGAUCAACUAUAUUCUCCAAUGUCAAGAGAUGAAACAGGAUCAACGUCCGUAGGUGGCUACAAUACCAAGAAGUUUUUGACAAACCAUAGUCAACAUGGAGUAUUGCAACUGGCAGCCACAGCUUUUUUCUAAACUCAUAGGUCUGGUCAGUGUUAAGAACUUAGCAGCUCAAAUUUUUCAAAACUGCUGAGAGAGCAGAGACAGGUUAUCAUAUAGAAAAAUAAUCAACUUCCAAGCCAGGACAUUAAUCAUGAAGUCAACAUUAGUAGCACUUGCUCAAAAUUCACCAAAAGCAUUUCAAAGUUAACAAGUGAGAUCGAACUGAGAUUGAACUACUUUUGUUUUAAUAUCGAAAGAGGAAAAUCAAUUAAACUGGUAAACAAGAGCGUACCGCGCAUGCAAAAUACUACAUACAGAAGAAUGCUAAGUCAAAUUUCCUCUCUCUCUCUCUCUCUCUCUCUCUCUUAGGCAGCUUUGACAUAGCUACAACAAGAAGAAAAGUAAAGAUGCAGCAUAUCUCCACCUUAUCAUUUUGAAAGAAAUGAAAAGAAAAAUGAUACCUGCUAUCUCAUAUUCCUUCAACAUGUAGAAACACUCCGCUGCAGAGUCGGCCAUUCCAAUUGUUUCAUAGAUCUCAGCAGCCUGCCUUCGAAGGUCAGAAGCCUCUUGUGGAUUUGAAACGUGCUUGAGAUCUGCAUCUGCUUUGAAAGCGGAGGCCUUAGCUAAUCUCUCCCCGUAUGUGUACCUUGCUCGUUCAAAGCACGUUAUUGCCAUUGGGUAUUUACCCUCACGUAAGAGCUUGCAAAGUUUAUUAAAAAGAAAAAAAAGAGAGAGAUCAAUAGCUUCUCCAGAGAAGGUGAAAAGAAGAAAAAAAGAAAACAUAGUCCUCCCUUAUAGGAAAAAUCAGAGGUGUAGACUUACACCAAAACAAUGCACUGUCAUUGCCUUAUAACCUCAAAUGAGGAAAAAGAUUAUAGGAAUAUUCCUAUCAUAUUGUUUAUCCACUGUGUGUCUAAAUGAAGCAUUCAGCCAAACUACUAAAAAACCAAUGAAGCUGGCAAAUCGAUCACCAUAUUUGUACCAUAGAACGUCCACAUUCUACACACAUUUUUUUUUUCAGGAUCAGUCAUACUUUUGCAGUCACUAUUGUCAUUCCAAAAUCUCUAGCAUUCACAGAUCAUGUUGACUCCAAAUGAGGCGAAAAUAACAAUUCCGUGAAGAGGAAACAACUAAUAAAGAAAAAACAGAAAAACAGCAAACCUUAAAACCUUGUGACUUCCACUCCUCUGGCGUGCUCCUGACCUGCAUUGCUUCUGCAAAGGCAUGAUCUACCAACCUAACUUGAAUGAGGCACUUCUUCUUCCAGUAGUCGAGAAUUGGUUUGGAGAACUCUAGGGCAUUCUCACAAAUCCACAAUCUUUGUCUUGUCUGAGUAAUUGCGACGUACAAUUGUUUCAAUUCAGAGCAUAAUAUAUUGUGCUUCGCGUCAUCGAAACUUGGGGAAGACCAUUGAGAGCUGUUAUCGAGCAAAGCUUGCUCCUUCAUGUAUCCAUAAAUGACCCUCCAUUGACUUUUCAGAGGUGAUGUGCCAAAGAAGUUGUACAAUAAAACGUCCUAUACAAUGUCACGGCAAAAAAAGUUUCAGGUAAAAACAUUAAAUUUUGUAACCAAAAUAACAGAUAUCAAGUUUCAUGAAUACAGGAACAAUUCUAAAAAAUUUAGGAAAAAAAAUAUCUGGACUCAUUUUGACACACCAGCCUAUCAAGAACAGCCGUAAAGUCACAAGAUUGUUGAUAUUGUCUAUUAACCUAGAGGAUGAUGUUGACAUGAGGCCAAACAAAUUCUACAUUAUGAGUAUCUAGAAGCCAUUGUCUGCAUACAAAAAAGGGCAUAGUAGAAUGAAAAUACCAAUCCAAGUUUUUUUCCGAGUAACAGCUUCCAGCAAAUUGGUCAUGACCCAUUAAAAAAAAAGUUCAUGAAAUCUCUAUGCUGCUACCAUUAAAAUCCCAUGGCAAACAAUCCAACCUGACACACACCUACCUGAAAUUCCAACCCCUUGCACUCCACUAUCGUCAGAACUAGAGCUUGCCCUCUCACAAGGUUCGAAACUUCAUUUCUAGAGUGAUCAUCUCGAACCAAAAUAACCUGCUCUGCUCCAAAGCCAACGAAAUUACCACUAAAAUCACGUUUGCCAAAAAUUGAUAGUAUGGCACUUUCGUCAUUCUCCGAUUCAAGUAAAAUUGGGGCUUCCCCACAUAUAAAGCUAGUUUCAGGGCCCAAAGCAUCAAUGGAUAAAGGGAAAAAAUGGUAAAGGAGAUCAACAACACUCUGCGCCAGUUUGAGUAUACCAGCAUGAGUGCGGAAGUUUUGGCUCAAAUGGAAAAUUUUGGAAAGACAUCCCUUUUCCAUUCUUUUAUCAGGUCCAUCCAUUGAAUCUAUCAAGAACUCCUUGUAGAAAAGGGACCUUAUGUCUUCAAACCUGAAGUCUAUUCCCCUUGCAAUAGUUUGUGCAGUGUCACCAGAAAACACAAAGCCCCCAUCAACGUUUCUACAGAUAUACUUGAACAGUGAAAUUUGUCUCAAGGUGAGAUCCUGCACUUCAUCAAUAUAUACAAAAUCCACUAUGUUGACAGCAAACUGCCCACAAAAAAGACGGCGAUGAAGAUCAUUGACAAUAUCGGCCAAAUCAAAUUCAUCAUUUUCCAUUUUCAUCUUUUCAUAAUCCUCAAAAGCAUCAUAAAUUUCUUCUCUUCUCUGAAUACUCAGAGUGGAUACACGACCCUCUGAAAGUGAAACAUAAGCUGGUCUGUCAAGUUUGCCUUCACAACCAUCUGCUGGUUGAAGACCACCCUUUAUGUGGGACAUUAUUUCAGUGAAGACUCUGGAAGGAUCAAGCCUCCUCCUUAUCUUGUCAUUGAAGUGAGGCCAAUAAACAGCACAAAACUUUUCGUAAGUAACCUCCUUAGCUCUUAGAAGACUUUGUAAGGCCACUGGUCUAGAAUUGAAGGAUUGGCCACGACAAAGAUCCCUUAGAUCGGGGAACCUUUCAAAGAAUGAAACCCCCACAGUUCCGUCUAGCAUCAUCAGAAGCUUACGAAAAGUUAUAACAAGGGGAUAAGAGUUGGGAGAUAUGUCUAAAAAUGAAUCCGGGAUAUCCUUGAAUAAUGCUGCAUCAUCAACAAUCUCAUCAACUGAAGAGCUUUUAACUCUUUGUUUUGCACCAAUGCUGGAGCUGCAGGAUUAAUGAAGCCAGCAAUUAGAAAUGGAAAUAUAUAGUUUUAACAAACUUACGGGAAUACCUCCACUACACAUGCAAUCUCAUAAUUGCUACUUUUAGGUAACUAACAGCAAAAAGGAAAUUAGAAUACGCUGAUGCACCGAGGUUGCAAUGAUAUACUAUGAGACACGGAUAGCGUUUACAUCCGCUGGCAAUUAAAAUUUUCCCCCGCAGCAAGAUUUGUAGAACACAUGGUCCUUUCUCGAUUCUGGUUAUAAUUGCACAAGUUUUAAAAAGGGCGAUUUUCUCUUUAUAUGUACAAUGCUACAAUCACAAAAUUUAAUGUGAAAAUUUCCAAUAAAAUGGUAUUGCAAACUAAAUAAGUGGCACGAAGACCAAAAUAAGGAAUAUUGCUGCACAAACUAAUGUUUAGUUUCAGCAAGCAGAAGAUGUCAAUCUCUAACAUGCAAUGAUUAAAUCUAUUGUCUAGCAGCUAUAUCCGAGUGGUAGCACCCGAGCAUGGCAAAGUGCUGAUUUGACCCAUGCGCUCUUGCCACAUGUUAUAUUUCCUAUCGAACUGUAUAAAAUGAAGUAUCUUGGUUGUGCUUCUCCGCUAGGAGGAAAAUAGUAGCAUGCCAAAGGGGUUAUCUUCUUCUCCCAACUAAUUCAUAAAUAAAAAUAAAAAUAAAAAUAAAAUAAAAAAUAAAAAAUAAAUUGACAAUCCAUUAACCCUUGCAUAUGUUUAAUCAUUGUAAAAAUUGCAGAAUAUUUAUUCUAUUGUUCAAACAUCUUCCCAUGACAUUUUAUGUACCUUCUAAGUUGAGAUACGUGUUGUUUGACCGCAAAACAUAAUUUUGCACUGAUAGUCACAAAAAGCUGGCGCAAUACACAAUCCUCUGCUCCUUCACCGAUUUCCUCAACAUUGAUUUCCAGGGAGGCAUCUUUGCUGUGGCUAAUACCACUUUGGAUUUCCUGAAAUCCCUUGGUUCCUUCAUCGUGCAGUUUCUCAUUUCUAAACAACUUCAUUGUCAGGACUGUAGUUUUACCGGUUCCAGAUCGCCCAAGUAUAAAAGUGCUUCUGGGGAAAAGAAUUAUCUCUUGUUCUUGCUCUGUUACUUUAAACGGAAGACUUGCUUCAUUACCGUCACUGUCAUCGAGCAAAUUUCUGACAAUAUCUGAUGAUAAGGGGUAGAAUUUCAUCAGAAGCAAACUCUCGCUCACUUUCACAUUUUCUACAUACAACCUACGAUCUGAAGCAUCAGCAUCAGAACUACUCCCAAAUUGAUCUUCACUAGGACUUCGACAGCGGACAAAAUCGACAGUACAUGCCCAGGUCUUCGGAACUUGCUGAUCCCUAUAACCGGAAGAGGCAUGUGAAAUGAAAGAAAAUAGAGGGAUAAGAUCAAUUCAAGAUAUUUGAGUCAUCUAUCUGGAAAAGAAUGCUUUCUAAUUUAGUAAGUGAUGUGCUACCUAUCUUCAGUAAGAAGAAAUGAUCAGACUUACCCCUCAAAGCAUUUCUCAUUGCAACGACUAAUAAAAUCAUCACUAUAUGUCUCGAAAAUGCUGUCCAAACGUUUGACCAAUUUUGCCACAUCCUCUAAAGGCAUUACAUCCCAUAUCUUCAGGAUUUGGAUGUAUCUCAGUUCCUUUACAACAUCAAUCGUGCAUAAGACAUAGAGACCUUCAGCCUUAAAUUGUCUCACGAUAUGAGAUGAGUGUUCACAAAUUAUAUCCACAUUCCUCUUCUUUGGUCUCCAGCCACUGGAUAGUCUUGACAGAAGCAUAAUGAUUGACAUCUUUAUCCUGAGUGAUGCCAGCUUUCUGAAAGACUUCAGGAAGUUGUCACUGAAAAGAACCUGAUAAGACCAAAGCAUGACAAUAAGAUAUGUUGUCACAAGUUCUAUAAAACUCAAUGCUUAUUUUGAAAAUAAAUCCGUAGAAUACUGUUGAGCAAAGAUUUUUACCUUCCACCUUGCAUUUCUGAAAAGUACACUGCUUCUGUCAAGCAGAUCAUCAAGCUGAUUAUUCUCUUUCUUCACAUCUAAGAUGGCUUUAGCCAAAUCCUUGUCAUCAUCAACAUUGAAAAAACAUCCACGACUCUUUGCAUUGUCAACCACAGCUUCCCACACAGACUUGCUUUUUGUUAGUGUUUUCCCAUUUCCCAGAAUCCACAGACAAUACCUAUAGAUAGGAAAUUAACUCUGGGAUUUACUUGCUAUAUCACUCUAAAAAUGUAAUUUGACACAGUUAAGAGGAUAGAGUACCUGGCCCUGGUAAGAGCAACAUUGGUUCUCUUAGGACUGGACAAGAACCCAAUAUUCCCACGCGAGUUUGAUCUUACGGUGGAUAGAAUAACAAUGUCUUCUUCACCCCCUUGGAAUCCAUCCACUGACUUCACCUUGACCAUAAAGCCCUUGAUAUUUUCAUACUUUUUCCCGAGUUUAGCUAGAACUGCAGCAACCUGAGCUUUGUAAGGAGAUAUGACACCUACUGUCAGAUCUUCUUCUGACCCAUUCCAAGCUGCAAAGAAAAGGAAAUAAAACCAUCACUACAGUGAAAUUAUUUUUGCAGGUUGCAAAACUUCAAAAGAAAUAUCUUAGGAAAAGAACUAUUAAUGGCCAUCAUAAUCUGCACCUAUAUGAUUAAGUAAUACAUGUAAAAUCCAUGUGCUCGAAGCAAUAUGCAUAAAAUUCUCUUGACAUACCUCUGUACAGAUUCCUCACUAUCCUUGAGAUAACUUCCACCUCAACAGGGUUUCUACGGCUACAGCCAUCAUCACCGAUUUGUUCUUCUCCAUCAGGAAUAUUUAUGAACGAGUAAGGGCCAAACAUUGGCCAUGGCAAAUGACUUUUUCUGUAACUUUUGCUCUUCACAUUUGUCCCGUCCAAAAUUUGGUUUUGAUAAAAUUUAAAAUUCGGAAACAGACUUAUUGAUGGAUGCAUCCGGUAUUGUGUAUUGAAAAGUUGCCUUGAAUAACCAAGUGAACUGAAUCGUUCAAACAGACUCCUUCCAAAACGAGCCCGUCUAGAAACCUGUAAAAAUAAAACAUGAUAUAGAAUUCAAUGGGCAUUAGGUAUAGCACAUUUAGCCCAUCUAAGGUCAAAUGAAGAGAACAAUAUUACAAAUCUUUCAAAACCAAAUACAAAGUUCCUUUUCAGACAUUUAAACAUUACCUUGCUUUCGACCAUAGCCGGCAACUGACACUCAUCUCCAACUAAAAUCAGACGCUUGACACCAGGGAGUUGCAGAGGAAUUACUGACUCGCAUUCUUUCAACUGGGCUGCCUCAUCGAUUACCAGUAAAUUGAGAGGCUCCAUGUCCACAGAGUACAGCUUAUAUGAACUGGAAGCAGUGCAAAAAAUCAGGGAUGCAUGUUGAUAACAGAAGUUGGCUAUCGUGUCCUCACUCAUAAAGUUUGGAAGUUUUAGAUCCUUCGGAGAAUCACGAACAGUUAGUAACAUGGAAAGGCAUUCCUGUCUCUUCAUAUAUAUAUUAUAUAGUGGACCCAUGGACGUCUCAAACGAAAACAGGCUAAGAUCAUCACGUGAAAGAGUUAUCUCCAUCAUCUCUGAAUCCAACUUCUCUCCACAUAAUAAAGAUUCAAAAGAAUCAAGUAAGUUAAGGAGGGAUGUAAUAUUCUGGAAUUUAGUUCUGGAUAUAUGAUUACAGAAAGUAUAGAGGCAUCUCCGCAGGGGCUGGACAGUUUCCUUGAAUCGGUCCUUGAAAAACUCAAGAAAUGAUUUAAGCUCACAGUUAACAUCUUCUUCACUGCUUCCGCAUUCACUCCCAUCAUCAUCACUUCCUGGUUUCCUUCUUUUCGUGUGUUCGUUUUCCAAAAAUAUGUGGUAUUGACGGAGACAGUUGGCAAGAGUAUCUAUCAUGGAAGUUAGACACUGAUGCCAACCAGUGAAUUCAGAAAUGCGCUCUACACGAUGUUCCAAGUAUAUUACUUCAAUGUCGGAAUCAACUUUCAGCCGCUCCUUGUUCCCAAAAAUAAGCAUGUCUCCAAAGUAACAGACCAAACUUUCCGUUUCAGUGCUUAUACCACUAUCUGAUUCCUUUAGCAGCUUUAGAACACGAGAUGCCACUUCCUUGAUGGCAACAUUUGUAGGAGCACAAACAAUGGUUCUAUGUUUCCUUUUCAAGAGAUUAAAUAGCAGUGCAGCGACGGUUUUAGUUUUCCCAGUUCCAGGAGGACCCCAUAUCAGUUCGACAGAUGGCUUGUUCUCACAUUGGAGUUUACUGAGACAGGCCCCCACUGCUUUUUUCUGGGAUUCAUUUAGAUCAUGGCUCAAUCUCUCGUCAAGGCUCUCACUCGCAGAACCAUUACCCUUUGUAAUACAAAGAUUAGAAACUUUGUCAGCCUGCAACCGAAACACAAGAUUAGAAACUUUGUCAGCCUGCAACCGAAACACAUUUCUUGUGAUAAUCCAGACCAUGUAAAUAUGGUAGAAGGUCCUGAAACUUAAUUGGUGUUAAUAUGAUAUAAAGAGCAUUGCACAGCACAAACUUAAAUCCCAUGAAAAGUAUAGUAUAGAAAAUUUUAAGGUCUAGUACUAACAAGUAAGUCGCCACCAAGGAAUUAAUUUGCCCUGUUCAAGACAUAAUUCAUUCAUCUCCAUAUCAUGAAACGGACCAACUAAAAGAAACAACCAUCCUAAUCUAUUGAUGCAACAGCAUGACUUAAAGCAACAUUUAUCUUCUUUUCCGAAGAAACUUAAAAAUCGAUAGGAGUAAAAUGAAGCUUUGAAGCUUAGAUGAUAAUAAUAGCAAUUUCAAGUCUAAAUGGACCGAAGGUACAAAAAGGAAAGUCAUACCACCACAUCUGUGCAGAGAACUUCCUUCAAAAUAUCCAAGUUCCGAGACAUAUGCAACGCAUUCCAUAUCCUUCUGUUAGUGACUAUAUGUAUCAGGAAAAUUGCAUACAUUGGCUUCCAGGAAUUAUUUACUUCAAGGUCCAAUAAUGUCUCCACUUCAAAGUUUGUGGAUGACGUUGCCUCAUCCUCUUCAUCGUCUUUUCCAAUCAUCCUAACUAAUGUGAACGCCCAUCUUCUUCCGAACCUCUCCAAAUCAGCAACAGCUGUUGGCUUAGCAUCAGUUAGAAUCAAGAUAUCUCCAGGCAAAGUUUUGUAUGUUUCCUUCCCAUGACUAUUGGAUUCAUUGCUCCACCGACCGGCCUUAACAGCAUAUGAGUUCCUACUUCCCGUGCAUUCCACAAAUUCAAUAACUUCAGUGAAAGGCAGCAAAUAAAUAUUUUUCAAACGCGAGCACAGACUGGCCCGUGUUUCUUCCAGUAAAGGGUAGACAUACGAUCCAAGAUAAUGCCGGACCGACUGAAAUGUAUCCGGUAUAGUCUCCACCUAAAAAAACAGCUCGGCCAAUUGUCAAAUAUGACCAACGAACCUUGACAUUUCAAAAAAUACUUUGACCAAAUUCCGUAAAACAUAACAUAUACUCCUAAAAUACCGAACGAGCUUGUGAACAUAGUAGAAGCAUAAAGGGUUCUAUUCUACUAAGUUGAAUGCAAGGUUCUUAUAAGGCUAGGCUUAUUAAAAGCACAAUCAAACAAAAAAAAGGAACGAACUAGCAUCAUUGGAAAAUUCUCAGGUAAACACCACAUUGUCGUUGAACUUAAACGAGAAUAAAACCAAAAGGGCAUGAUAAAAGGAAAAAAAAAAGCAAAGAUGAGGGAAGAAUAGAAAGAAACCUGGUCAUGGUAGAGGUUUUCGUUGAGAAUGUCAUGAAGAGACCAAGAGGAGACAAUAUCAAUCAGGUCAUUAGUACCAUGUCUCCUCCUCCUGCUCAAACCACCCUCAGCUAUCUCCACACCCACCACUCUGUUUGGGCUUCCUCCCAAACCCAUCUGAACCCACGUACCAAAAUCUUCUACUUGUUUCUUUCUCCCCUUUUCUUGCUGAUCAAAGCACCAGGGAAAAAUCGCUCUGAGGUUUCAAGAAACUUUCGAGGCAAAAAUUGGGCAAAGCUUGUACGGACAUCAUCAGCCCUUUUUGAGCUCCGAAGUGAGCAUUCUUAGCGACGAAGAAGAAUGACACGGGGAGGCAAAGGGGUCGUCCAUGGACUCUUAAAAGAAGCAACUCGAGGUCUUUUCGUCAACCCACCAUUCGAGGUCUACGAAAGGCGAAAAGAUGGGGGUACCUCGUCUUCCGAACACGGUCUGAUAGCUUUCUUUACUGCCCAAAUGCUUGUAAUGAUUCCCGCUUUUCUUUGCUUAUCCAUGUUUCGAUUUCUUGCAGCCUAAGCUUCGUCAACUGUUUUCUGUCCGAAAUGUAUCAUUGCAUGAGUGAGGUUAUUUUUUGAAGAUAUUAAAAUUAUUUGUUGAUACUGAAAUAAUAAGUAGCUGAAAAAAAAAGGAUAAAUCUUAACUAGAAAAAUAAUUACACGAAUAGUCCCUGCACUUUAAUAUAAUGUGCAAUUUGAUAUUCGAAAUUUUGAUUUGUUCAAUAUGGCUCUUGAACUUUAAUCCAAUAUGCAAUGUGGUCUCCGAACUUUUCAAUUGUUUAAUGUAAUCUCUGGACUUUUGAUACAUACUCAAUACGGUCUCUGAACUAUAUGAAAUAUUGAAUGUAGUUUUUUAAUUGAUUCAAGAGUAGGGAUGACAUUGAACAUUUUGAUACAAGUUCAAGGACUGUAUUGAAUAUGUAUCAAAAGUUUAUGAACUAUAUUAAAAAAAAUUUAAAGUUCAUGAACCAUAUUGCACAUUGGGCUAAAAUUCAGAGACCACAUCAAACAAAUUAAAAGUUUAUGGACUUAAUUACACAUUAGGCAAAAGUUUGGAGACUAUUUGUGUCAUUUUCUAUAACUAGAAGUAGACAAUGAAUGUGAACAUUCUACUUCAAUCGCUUGACUUUUAUUUUUGAGCAUCUAUAUUGAUAUAAUAUAGAAUUAAUAUCAUGAAAAAUUUUUAAUCAUCAAAAACUCUAAAUUGGUACACCUGUCCCAAAUUAAUUUUUAAUAACUAUAAAAAAACCUCAAGAUUGUUGUAAAAUAUCGCGUGGCGAAUAUAUAAUAGAGAAGAGAUUAAAGAAGAGAAAGCAAGUGAACACUAGAGAUAGUAGCAAGAUGAAAGAGCUUUAUUUAUAGUAUCUCACUGUCGUGUUUCUGUGUGAUAGUGUAUUGUACAUCAAAACUAAACUCCUAUUUAUAGGAGAACAAGAAUGUACUUAUCAUUAAUAUCAAUGUAUCGAAUGAUACAUGUACAGGAUAAGGGAGACGAAUGUUCAUUGUAUAGGGAGAUGUACUUAGAACAUUUGAUACAAAUGUACCAUAAUAAGUACAUUGGAUAAGAUGAAUAUAAUGAAUAUUCAUUUAUGUAUUCUAUCCAUUCAUGUAUUUCAUAACACUCCCCCUUGAAUAUUCAUCAUAUUCAUUACGAAUGUGCAUUGAAUGAUACUGCCUCAUUAAAAACCUUAAGCCGGAAAAACCCAGUGGGAUAAAAACCGGACAAAAGGGAAAAAGAGUGCAGAGCACAAAUGUUAUGAUCUCUCCCUUUUAUGGAUGCAUUGAUUGCCUCGUUAAAAACUUUAAGCCGGAAAAACCCUAUGGGAAAAAACCGGACUUAAAGAAAAAAAAAAAAAAAAAAGAGUGCAAUGUAUAUAUAGCCACUCCUGGGACUAAUCAUUAUUGCAUCUUGUGAACUAGCCGCAUAUCAAUGAUGCAAUGCAUAGUUCAUAAUAUCUCCCCCUCAAUAGAGCCAUAUAGCCACUUCUGAGGCUAAUUAAUCUUACAUCUUAUGAACUCGCCUCAUACCAAUACCAUAUACUAAUUUCUCAAAACUUGAUGUUGGCAAUGAUUUGGUAAAAAGAUCUGCAAGAUUAUUUAUGGAUCGAAUCUGUUUAACAUCAAUUUGUCGACUUUCUUGGAGUUCAUGAGUAUAGAAAAAUUUCGGCGAGAUAUGCUUGGUCCUAUCACCUUUGAUAUAUCCUCCCCUGACUUGUGCAACACAAGCAGCAUUAUCUUCAUAAAUUAUAGUGGGAGAAUUGGUAACCGGUAUUAAGCAACAAGAAUUAUGAAUAUGUGUUAUAACAGAUCUUAACCAAACACACUCUCUUCCAGCUUCAUAUAAAGCAAUAAUCUCAGAGUGGUUAGAAGAUGUAGCUACUAGCAAUUGCUUCGUAGAACGCCAAGAAAUAGCGGUGCCGUUAUAACAAAAUAAAUACCCGGUUUGAGAGCGAGCCUUAUGUGGAUCGGAUCUAUAUCCAGUAUCAGCAUAUCCAACUAAAACAGAGUUAGUGGAAUCCUUGGAAUAAUAUAAUCCCAAAUCUAUGGUUCCUCGGAGAUAACGGAAAAUAUGUUUAACUCCAUUCCAAUGUCUCCGAGUUGGCUCAGAACUAAAACGUGCCAAUAAAUUUACCGCAAAAGCGAUAUAUGGUCUCGUACAUUGUGCCAAGUACAUCAAAGCCCCAAUUGCAUUGAGAUAUGGUACUUCAGGACCAAGUAUCUCUUCAUCAGAUUCUCUAGGACGAAAUGGGUCCUUUUGGGGAUCCAGAGACCUUACAACCAUAGGGGUGCUCAAUGGGUGAGCUUUGUCCAUGUUGAAACGUUUAAGCAAUCUUUCAACAUAUGCUGAUUGAUGGACGAUUAUUCCAUUUGCUUUAUGCUCAAGCUCUAGACCAAGACAAAGUUUGGUUUGACCCAAAUCUUUAACUUCAAACUCCCUUUUCAAAUAUUCAGCAGUUUCAGCUAACUCUUCUGGAGUUCCAAUUAAAUUUAUAUCGUCGACAUAAACUGCUAUAAUAGCAAAUCCGGUUUCUGAUUUCUUAAUAAACACACAUGGGCAGAUAGGAUCAUUUUUGUACCUUUCCUUAAUUAGGUACUCACUUAGGCGUUGAUACCACAUGCGACCGGAUUGCUUUAACCCGUACAAGGAUCUUUGCAAUUUUAUUGAGAAUAAAUUGCGGGGAGUGCAUGCUUCAGGCAUUUUGAAUCCCUCAGGAAUUUUCAUAUAAAUAUCAGAGUCUAAUGAGCCAUAUAGAUAUGCCGUCACAACGUCCAUAAGACGCAUUUCCAAUCUUUCAAAGAUUGCUAGGCUAAUGAGAAAACGAAAUGUAAUCAUAUCCAUCACAGGUGAAUAUGUCUCAUUAUAAUCAAUCCCAGGUCUUUGGGAAAAUCCUUGGGCAACGAGUCGGGCUUUAUACCUGACAACCUCGUUUUUCUCAUUUCAUUUUCGGAUAAAUACCCAUUUAUAUCCAACGGGCUUUACAUUAUCGAGGAUACGAGUUACAGGUCCAAAAACCUCUCGUUUAGUUAGGGAAGCUAAUUCAGUUUUAAUUGCUUCCUCCCACUUAUGUCAAUCUUGCCUUUGAUGACAUUCAAUAAUAGAUUGUGGUUCACAAUCAUCAUCCAUAAUUUGAUGAGCAACUGAGAAUGCAAAAGCAUCAUCAAUGAUGAUUUCAUUUCGAUCCCAAAUUUCAUUACAAUAUAUAAUGGAAUUCUCAAUAUUCCCGGGGCUAGUGCUCCUUUCAUGGGUUUGCGCCUCUUCAGGGGCAAUAAGCUCUUUGGGAGCAAGCAUAACGCCAGGCUCUUCUGGAGCGGAUUCUUGAUUCUUUCCCCUUCGUUUUCGAGGAGCAGUAUCUUUUGAUCCUAUCGGUCUGCCACGCUUCAAGUGCGGGGGAUUUUGAUCCAUUUUAACCUGUUCUUCGAGAACAACUAUCCUAGCUGGAGCAUUUGCAGCUGGAAUAUAAGACUUCGUUACCUUAGUAGCAUCAUUAAAUGCGUCAGGAAGUCUAUUGGCCAUAGCCUGUAAAUGGAUUAUGCGCUGCACCUCGUUUUCACAUUCAGGAGUCCUUGGGUCUAAUUGAGAUAAAUUUUUCUUAUUCCAGGAGAAAACCUUAACUGGUUUUUGUUUUGCAGUCAUGGAAGUUGUAGGUAUCCCAAUUGAUGGAAACCUAGUCUCAUCAAAAUGACAAUCUGCAAACCUGGCAGUAAAAAGAUCACCAGUAGUUGGUUCCAAGAACCUAAUGAUAGAUGGUGAACUAAACCCAACAUAAAUGCCCAAACGGCGUUGGGGACCCAUUUUCGUCCUUUUUGGCGGUGCUACAGGCACCUGUACUACACAACCAAAUGUGCGUAGAUGUGAAAUAUUUGGUUCAUAACCAAGAACCAUUUGAAGGGGAGAUUGUAAAAUACUAGCAGUGGGGCGUAAUAUCAAAACUCUUUGAUGUAAAUUCACCAGCAUUACCCAUCCUUAUGCUCUUAAUUGGAUAAUCAGGGAAUUGUGCCCGGAGCUUUAUAAUCUGCCCAAGUAAACGUGCAAAUGCGACAUUGCGCGUAGAUAAUAGGCAAACAUGGGACCAUCUACAGGAUGCGUCCACUAAUACCAUAAAAUAUCGAAAUGGUCCACUUGGUGGUUGUAUUGGUCCACAAAUAUCACCAUGAAUUCUUUACAAGAAUAAAGGAGAUUCAAAAUUAACCUUUGUUAUAGAAGGUUUAAUAAUGAGCUUUCCUUGUGAGCAAGCCUCACAAUUAUAAUCUUUGGACAACAAUACAUUUAUAUCCUUUAAAGGGUGCCAUUUUGUAUUUUGAAUUAUCCUACGCAUCAUUGAAGCGCCAGGAUGACCAAGGCGAUCAUGCCACAGUCCAAACUGAUCAGGGCUUACCAAUUUCCAGGAUGUGGUAGCAUAGGUUUCAACAGCUUUAAUCAUGACACAAUACAAACCCAUAGAAGAAGCUUCUAGCUUCUCAUGGAUGGUCUUUAGGCCCAUCUUAUAAGAGGAAAUGCCAAUAUAUUCCUUAUCUUGCUCAUAAAUAGUCUCAAUAUGGUACCCAUUACGGCGUACAUCUUUGAAACUGAGCAGAUUCCUUUUUGAUCGAAUGCUUAGAAACGCAUUCUCAAUAUGCAGGAUUGUGCCAUUUGGCAAAAUAAUUGCAGCAUUCCCAAAACCAUCAAUAAUCGGAAAAUGACCUGAUAUUGUAUGGAUUUGUGCCUUAUGCAAUGUCAUACUCGAGAAAAAGCGUCUACUACAAAAUAUAGUAUGUGUUGUUGCACUAUCAAGCAAACAAACAUCUUCCUUUUUCUCGGUAUUUUCCAUUUGCAUUUAUAUUGACAACUUCAGGUGUCAAGUAUCAUAAAAGUUGCAUAUUAGUUAUAUAGUCAAAUAAAAUUUCAAAGAUAAAUAUAAGGUAAGGUUCAUAAGUAUUUCAUAAAGAACAAUAAAAAAAAAGUAAUACAUUUAAAGCGAAACAACAUAAAUUUCAAAGUUCAAAUUAUUAUCCACCAAUCUGAUUUAUCAAAGUAAUCAGAGGUCCUCAAAGAAAUCAGAGACACCCAAUGAUGCAUUUGCUACUUCGGGAGCAAGAGGAGUCCCACCAACGGAGAUAUUGUUGGCCUCAACAGUGGUUAUGGCAGUAGGAUUGAUUUCAAUGACAUGAGAUUCACCACGCUUGCCCGUAUUCUUUAAAGAUGCCUGGUAUAGAUCAACAAAAUGUUUUGGCGUACGACAGGUACGUGACCAGUGCCCAGUCAUGCCACAACGAUGACAAAUACUUUCAUUAAUCACCUUCUUUGGCUUCUUUUCUUUGCCAUGAUUCAGGCCAAAGUUUGAUUUCCUAGGGCGGUUAAAUUUCUUGACAUCCCUUCUAGGAUUAUGUUCUUGCCUGCGCUUAUAGCCCUUAAAAUGGCCAGUAUUUUUCUCAAAGUUAGCAUGUGCUUCAGGCAAUGCUUUUGAGCCAGCAGGUCUAAGAUCAUGAUUUUUUAGCAGCAAUUCAUUAGUUUGCUCGGCAGUAAGAAGCACAGAAAUUAAUUCAGAAUAUGUGGCAAACUGACGUUGCCGGUAUUGCUGUUGCAAUACAAUAUUUGAAGCAUGGAAGGUGGAGAAAGUUUUCUCAAGCAAUUCUGCAUCAGUGAGUUUGAUACUGCAUAACUCAAGUCGAGAAACGAUAUCAAAUAAAGCAGAAUUAUAGUCAGACACUGAUUUAAAAUCUUGCAGUCUGAGAUUUUGCCAAUCAUAUUGUGCUUGAGGGAGGAUAACAGUUUUGGUAUGAUCAUACCUAUCCUUCAACCUCCUCCACAAGAUAUGAGGAUCUCGAACGGAUAAAUAUUGAGUCUGCAGGCUCUCAUGCAAAUGACGACGAAUAAAAAUCAGUGCAUUUGCUUUAUCCUUUUCAUUUGAGGUUCCAUCCUCUGUAAUUGUAUUGGCGAGACCUUGCCCUUGGAGGUGCAUUUCCAUGUCAAGGCACCAGGAUAGAUAAUUUUUUCCACUCACUUCCAAGAUGUGGAAUUUGGGCUUUUCAAUAUUUGCCAUAAUCCUUGCAAAAAUAAAUCCUUAAAUUAAUUAAAAGGAUUUCCAAAUAUCCACCGCUACUUCAGGAGCAGAAGGAUACUUUUAGAUUUAAAAUUUUGGCUUCGGGCCAAGAAAAAUAAAAAUGAAUAAUUGAUAGAAGAAGAUGAAGUAUAAGUUGAUCAAUAAAAAGAAUACCCACCUUGCAAAAAUCACUUACUCAAUCGGUAGAUCUUCGUGCUUGCAAAAGUUACUUACUCAAUCGGUAGAUCCUCGUGCUGAUAACGUGUUGUAAAAUAUCGCGUGGCGAAUAUAUAAUAGAGAAGAGAUUAAAGAAGAGAAAGCAAGUGAACACUAGAGAUAGUAGCAAGAUGAGAGAGCUUUAUUUAUAGUAUCUCACUGUCGUGUUUCUGUGUGAUAGUGUAUUGUACAUCAAAACUAAACUCCUAUUUAUAGGAGAACAAGAAUGUACUUAUCAUUAAUAUCAAUGUAUCGAAUGAUACAUGUACAGGAUAAGGGAGACGAACGUUCAUUGUAUAAGGAGAUGUACUUAGAACAUUUGAUACAAAUGUACCAUAAUAAGUACAUUGGAUAAGAUGAAUAUAAUGAAUAUUCAUUCAUGUAUUCUAUCCAUUCAUGUAUUUCAUAACAAAGAUGGUAUAUUUAUAACAAAUUUACCCGUCAAUAUAUUGAUAUAUUGAUAUAAAUAUUUUUAAUUAGUUUAAUAUGAGGCUAGUUUGCGCGGGCUGAAUAGAGUUCGGUUUGUGAUGAGAAGACAUGUGACUGAAAACUAUAUAUAUAUAGUACUCAAGUCUCCUUUCUAAUCUUGAUACACAAAUAACUUUAUAUAAGGAGCAGUUGUAGAAUGCAACAUUGAGCCAAUAUUACAAUUAGAUCAAUGUUAUUCCAUAUUAAAAAUAAUGGAUUUCAAAUCAGAUGCACAAAUCUUUUUGUCUCCAUUUAUUGUGUUCUAAAUUUUAAUUAUGGAGAUCUUCGGAUGGCUUUCAUGGCUUGUAUGCACAUGGUGAACCAUUGUGUCACUACGGGGCACACCGGCUUUGCUUCCCAAAUGCAGGCGCCGCACUAUGAAAUGCUUCGUCCCGAGGCAUCAUGCGACAAAGCCUUUUUUCCUCGAGCCUGGGUGGGUCGCUGUCUCCUCGUCCUCCCUACGUCGUGCAAUGAUGUUUGUUACUGCAGAAAUGCAUGUAAAGCUUUCAUCUUUACACGUCAAUUCCACGUUUCGGCGAACUCAUGUCUCCUUUUCUGACCCCGCGAGUCCGAUUCAGGCUAGCAACGACAAAAGAAGAGGAUAAGGAAGGGGAAAAGCAAGCAUCUUGGUUUCUUUCACCCUAGGACUGUCCAGUGUCCACUGUUCGUCUGCCUGAAAUGUAUCAAAUCUUGAGUAAAUUUACUUUUCAAGAAAUUAAAACUACUUUUUUUAUAUCCAAAACGGUAAAUAGAUCGAAAGAUGGAUGAAUUUGAACCCGAAAUCGACGAAGAACAUGAACUUCUUGCUUAUGAUGAACAUUAUUUAAUCGUUUCGAUUUUUUUAUUUAAAUUAUGAGCAUUUGUAUCGAUGUGUUAUUACAAAAACUUCUCAAAGUUUCAGAUGCCUUCCCAUCGAUGAUUUUGCUAAAUUCUCCGCAGAGUGAGCUGCCAUCAAGACGUUAAUUGAACAAUUGAAAAUGUUUAUUAUCAAGCAUUUUUAAAUUAAAAGAGAUUCAAUUACAUAACUUCUAGAAUCUCUCAAUUAUGUUCUCUCCAUAAUGAAUUAUAACAGUUGUGGACUAUCUAAAUGCUUUCGAGUGAGAUUUUAUUUUUCACUUGGUCUUAAGUUCUAUUUUGAUUCAUUAUAAAAUCACCACUCUUUUUCUACGUUUUCAUUAAUUUUUUUUUUUUUUUUUUUGGUAAAGGGUAAUGAUAUAUUGAGCUAUAACCAGCAAAUAUACAGGAUCCGGCACCACAAAACUUGCACUCAACAAGACAGAAGCCUCUAAUCGAGUGAAAGGGCGCCAGACACAAAACACCGCAAAGCGGUCAACUCAAGCAAGGGCCGAAACAGGAAGCCCAAAACAGCGACGCAGGGUCGAAGCAACAACUAAAAACAGACAGACUAAACAAAAGGCCACGUAGGGCCAAGGAGAAACAACUCGCAAAACUAGACUAAGGCGACCUCGACGAUCGGCAUAGGAGAGUUGAAGAUAGAUGGGUCAAGGCCCCAGUUUCUUUGUAACCUCCUAUUCCUUGGGCAAUCUUCCACGCUUUUGAACGUUAAGGCUUUAUCCUUCACAACUUUAAUGAGAUGCUUCUUGAUAGCCGCAACCACAACCGGAUGAUCUCUAAAGAGGAUGUCGUUUCUAUACCUCCAAAUGAGAUGGCACAAAGCUCCAAAAGAGAAGCGACCAAUGGCGUGAUAGAAAUCCUUACCUGUAAGGAAUCUCAUUGCCCACUGAAGAUUUUCUGUCCAAGUCCCAUUUCUCCAUGGGAGAUUGCACCUGGCCGCCCAAAAGUAGGCCAUGCUAGCCGUGAUGCAGCAACCAAAGAAGAGGUGGUCAAUAGAAUCCGGCGUGAGCUUGCAAAAAGCACAUACUUCAUUCCCAAUUCUCCCAUAAGACAUAAGAAAAGCUUGGGUAGGAAGUCGGUUCUUAGUGAUCAGCCAGAGGUUGAAUUGGUAUCUCGGAGUGAUGGCCUUGUUCCAAAUAAAGGAUGACCAUACCACCUUAUCUUUCCUUUUUCUGAGUAAAUGCCAAGCUGAGGCAAUCGAGAAGACCCCGGAAGGAUCAUCUCUCCAUACAAAUCUAUCCGGAACCCUAGUGAGAAGAGGAAGGGGAUGGUUCCAAGAAUCCAUCACUAGCCUGAAUUCCCGACCCGCCGAAGAAAAAAGGUCUGCGACAACUGCAUACCACGGUAGUCCCGAAUCAGAGAUAGUCUGCUCAGAACAAAUAAGAUCCAGCGGACCUCUCUGAUGCCAAUGGUCAAACCAAAGGGAUGUCCCCUGGCCAUCUCCAAUCUUCCAGUGGAAGUUGAGGCGGAAUUCGGAUCUAAGGUGGAGGAUCCUCUUCCAAGCCCAUGAGCAGCUGCCCGGCGUCUUAGCCACCCAGAAGUUCGCCUUACGAAGAAAAGUAGAGUGAAUCCAUUUGCACCAAAGAGACUCCUUGUCCGUGAAUAGGAUCCAGAUGUGCUUGAGCAUUGCCGCCUUAUUGCACUCUCGCAAACAUCGAAUCCCAAGGCCCCCUUCUUCCCUUGGGAGACAGACAUCCUCCCAGGAAACCUUAGCUCCUCCCCUGCCAAGGCUGGGUCCCUUCCAUAAGAAUUGUCUAAGAAUCUGCUCGAUACGGUCCAGGACUCCUACAGGAAUAAUGAACACACUAGCCCAAUAGGCUUGAAUUGCAUGGAGCACUGACCUUAUUAGCUGAACUCUCCCUACAAAUGAGAGAAAUCGAUGGGUCCAAGAUUGCACCCUAGCCAUUAUGCGAUCGACUAGAGCUACACAAUCCGCCUUCCCGAGCCUCGAGGAAAUAAUCGGUGUUCCUAGAUAACGUACCGGCAAUUUUCCUUCCACAAAACCGAAUGUAUCCUUUAUAUGGCCUCUCAAUUCAUCCGAUCCCCCUGCAAGAAAUACCUCACUUUUGCUAUUGUUCGGCUUGAGUCCACUCCACUUCGAGAAGGUAUCCAGCCCAUCCUUUAGCAGCCGGAUGGAGACCAUAUCCGCACGGCAAAAGAGGAAGACAUCGUCCGCAAAGAAAAGAUGAGAUAACCGAGUGGCCUUGCACCUCCAAGAGAACUUGAAACCCGGCUGCUCCGCACUAGAAGUAAGGAUCCCGGAGAAGACUUCCAUAACCAAGGUGAAAAGAUAAGGAGACAUUGGGUCACCCUGUCGAAGGCCGCGGCUACUAGGGAAGAAUCCAUGGAAAUCCCCAUUCAAGGAGAUAGAAAACAUCGGGGUACGAACACAUAUCAUGAUAAGGCGAAUGAAGUGGUCCGGGAACCGAAAGGCACGAAGAACUGAUUCGAGGAAAUCCCAAUCCACCGUAUCGUAAGCUUUCUGAAAGUCUACCUUUACCGCACAUUUGGGGAGAUAUGGCUGCAGGUGAAAGCCGGCAAAUAACUCCUGGGCUAGGAGGAUAUUAUCACUAAUCCGUCGACCCUUCACGAACGCAUUCUGAGAAGGGCUUAUGGCAUCCUGGAGUACUGAGGCGAUGCGGUUAGCCAAUACCUUGGUAAUGCAUUUGUAGAUCGUAUUGCAGCAAGCGAUGGGCCUAUAAUCAUUAACCGAGGUAGCAUUAGGAAUCUUAGGGAUCAACACCAGGAUGGUGGAAUUAAUUUCCCUUAAUAGUCUCCCCGUAACAAAUAAAUCUUUUACAGCUUCAACCGUCAACGGUCCAACAAUAUCCCAAUUACUCUUGAAGAAUUCGACACCAAACCCAUCAGGACCCGGUGCCUUCCCACGUGCUAGAGAAAAGAUAGUGUCCUUAAUUUCCGUCUCCGAAAAGGGACGACCAAGAGAAGCGAUUUGAUCCUCUGAGAGCGGACGACGGAUGGCUUGCUGAAGGUCUCCGAAGGCCGGUCCAAUAGGAGGAGAGCGUGAUGCAAACAACUCCUUAAAAUGAGCGACAAAUGUAUCCUAAACAAGGCUCGGCUCGGAGACAAGGUUGCCAUUCCUAUCAAGAACCGAUAUAACCCUAUUCCUUAGUUGCCUCGUAGUCACAGAGUGAUGAAAGUAUUUAGUGUUUUUAUCACCCCUCUCAAGCCAACGGAUUCUGGAUUUCUGUCUGAAGAAAGCCUCCUCCUGACUCCUCAACUCAACGAACAUCCUCCGAUGACUUUUUUCUAGCUCUGCCAAGAGGGCAUUGGUCUGGUCGUGCUGAAGGGCCACUUGAGCUAGUGUAAGAGCAUUUCUGGAUUGAGCAACCCUCUCGGACAGGUUGGAGAAAGAGUCUCUAUUCAACUGCUUAAGACGCCCCUUGAGCGCUUUCAAUUUGGUAACCAACCUGAAGAUGGGUACUCCAUCACUCGGGGUCUGCCACACCUGGGUAAGAAUAUCCUGAAAAGAUGGGUGCUCCAUCCAGAAAUCAAAGAAUUUGAAGGGCUUUCUUCGAAAAACUGGCUGGAUCACCUUGACCACCAUAGGAGAGUGGUCUGAAAUACCAUAAGGUAAAAAGGAAGCUUCUGAGUAAGAGAAAUACAAGCUCCAGAGAGCGUUAACUAGAACCCGAUCAAUCUUCCUCGCUUUCCGAUUAGCCCCCGAAGACGUUGACCAAGUAAACCUAAGUCCAACAUAUCUCAAAUCCUCAAGCUCUGCCUGAUGCAGACACUGAUUAAACUCAUCAAAGCAGGGCGGCCAGGCAUUAGUACCCCCUAGCCUAUCAGACGGGUCUCUUAGGGCAUUGAAGUCACCCGCCACCAUCCACGGUAAGUCGAAAAUACAAGAACUCAUCCUGAUCAAGUCCACCCAUAGAGGUCUCCUACGAACAUAAGAAUUCUGAGCAUAGACUACCGAGAUACAACAACAAGAACCUGUCGAGAUCAGUCUAACUCUUCCAUGAAUAACCUGAUCAUUGGAGGAUAUCUCCUCAAAACAGACCAGCGAAGGGUCCCAGCCGAUCCACACCCUACCCCCCGGAGAAGAAUCAUAGUUGGCAAUCCACGUCCACCCCGAUAAUAGACUCGACGACAGAGAGCCAAAAAGAUGUUCCGGGACUUUAGUUUCCAAUAACCCAACCAAACAAAGGCCACUAGAGAGAGCCCACUUACGGACCUCGGCUCUCCUCAAAGGAUUCACGAGACCUCUAAUAUUCCAAUAACCGAAAUACAUCUAAGCUAUGUACAAACUACUCUAAACAACGAAGAGCAAAGGGCAGCAAGGCCUACCUCAAUUUCUGAGGCCUGCGGCGCGAAGCUCCGGACGGCUCAACAGUCUCCACCGGCUCUGGGACAGGGGCUAAGGACAGCAACCUGUGUUGGAUUGUUUCGACUGAUGUAUCUGUCAAGCGAGGAGGCUGACACGGCGCUUCUGGGGAGGAGAUAUCAUCAUCCUCUGAGGAAGAGGCAACCUCUUCCAAACGCUUUCCAGAGUCCUUCAAGGAUGGGGCACGGGUAGGUCGGGACCCAGCCGUGAGAGAGGAGACGACUUUAGGGGGAGCACUGGCGCCCCUAGCCCCCUUGCGAGCAGAGGCGGAAGGAGGGGGAGCUGCUACCAGCGGUCUGUCCCCAGAAGGCUGGUUAGCAGCCGAAGGGAGAGGGGAUUCACCUAUCUUGAGGUCCUUAUUCCUCUUCCUCCUGUUCUUCACCCUUCUUCAAGGUUGAUCCUGGUCGGGCAAAGUUGGAGUCGGUUGAGGGGAGUCGCUAACAUCUGUGGGGGACGCCUGCACAGAGACCGUGGAAGGUUGCAACCGAACCGGAUCUAUAUCAGACUGAGGUGGGAUGGGGGCAUCCACCGCCCGAGGCGGACUCGGAUCAACUUCUGGCCUCUGCACAUCCUGUUCCAAGACAACAGGCGAAGGAGGAGUGGCCGAUCGCGGAUCUGGAGCAUGGACGACCGGCUGAGCAGGAGCAACCGCAUUCUGCCUAGCUGGAUGACGGACAGCCUGUCCUGCAUUCUGUGUGCGCCUCGUGGGAUUUUCCGGGGGGGGAGCACGGCAGUUGUGGCCGAAGGCGUUGCAAUCCGGACAUGCAAUCGGGAGCCAUUCAUAUUCAAUAUUAAUGACCCGAGAGACACCCUUCAAGGUGACUUUGGCCUUCUCAACUCUUGGCUGAUUGGCCGUGACCUCGACACAAACUCUUGCGAAGGAGACCAUCUUCAUUUCGUCGGUCCGUUGAUCCACAUACAACGGCUUCCCCGCCACACUAGCUAUGGCACUCAUGGCUGGCACUGUCCAAAUGUCAAAUGGCAAAUUCCGUAGGCGAAUCCAAACGGGUAUGGUGGAAUGCUCUUCUCUCUUCAAAUCCAUGAGAGGCUUCCACUGCCGAAGUAUUAACGGCACCCUUGCAAUCGUGAUCGGCCCAUCUUCAAGGAUCUUUCUUCUAAAUCCGGGGUCCGGGAUUUGGAGAAAGAGGAAUCCUUGAUCGUCGGCAAAGAUUUCACCAAUCUUGGAGCCCCACGUUUUCCUCAGCACUUGCUCCACCAAUCCGAAUGGUAGCCUCCUUUUCGCAACCAAUUGGCCAACCAAGCAGUCAUGCCAUUUCGGGUCCAUAGCAUCAAGUGCUUCAUCCGGGAGAUUCACAACAGCCUCUCCCUCCACAAAGGUGGGUGGAACAUAAGACAAUUCGGAACCUUUCACAGCCAAUCUAGCCACAUUUGCCCAAGAACGUGCCGGGGCUUCAUGGUGACCAGCAGGUGCUUUCCCUGGGUGCUUGGAAGUUGAGCGAAAUCGGCUUCGUCCUCUCGACCGACGAGCGCGAAGGUCAGACUCCUUCGAAGCUUGCUGCCUAUUCUUCAUUUCUGUGUGUCUGGAUGAAGAAGCCGAUGCCUUACUAGGUCUAUUAGAAGCAGGGAGUGGAAGCCCUUCCGAGGCAGCAGCCAAAGGUCGGGCAUCUCCAGAAUUGAUUCCAUCCCCAGCAGCAGACAAAGACAUUCUCACAAACACCUUAUCUAUAUCCCAAUUGCAGCAAGCGAAAUCACCAUUGAACAGAGAAGACUUACCCGGACUGAAGUCAGCAACACCCCUGGGUCCAGAAGAGACCAAGCUCGCACGGCAGAAGCACUAGAAAACCAGAGCAGCUCGAAUCUACAGCUUGCUGGGAGACAACAGCAGGAGAAGCCAAGCUAGGAAGCUGUAGGAGAAUCCCCCGGCAGAACCGAAUCCCUAGCCGUUUCCCUUCAACCCGCAGAUGAGGAGCGAACAGCAGCUCCCACGUACAGUCACGCGCAGCAACUUAUCCGGAUGGAAUUCCUCAACCAGCUCAACCCAACCAGGGACAUUCGGAGGGUGCGAAGGGCUAAGUCUGGCUAGACUCUCUUCCGAGACUCAGCCAAAAACAGCCAUGGAAUCUCACCAAACGAACAGCAGAACAGUCGGACAACCAGAGGAGAAAACUGCAGAAAUUCGUACCCUAGGCCAGACGAUUUCUCUGCAUGCAGGCCUUCUAUUGCGAAACCGUUCGGUGGAAACGUAGAGGGGAUUGAGCUGAAUCUUCCUUCCGAAAAUCAGCCGAAACCACCCAUCGUAACUCCUCAAACGAACAACAGAUCAGCCAGAAACCAGAGAGAAAAACUGGGCAGUAAUUCGUAACCUAUGCCAGACGAUUUCUUUGCACACAGGCCAUCUUAUGCGAAACCGUUCGGUGGGAAUGUAGAGGGGCCUGAGCUGAAGCUUCAUUCCGAAAAUCAGCCGAAGACACCCAUCGUAGCUCCUUCAACGAACACAAAAACAGCCGAGAAACCAGAGGAGAAAACUGGGCAGAAAUUCGUAACCUGGGGCAGACGAUUUCUCUGCAUCUAGGCCAUCUUUCGCGAAACCGUUCGGUGGAAACGUAGAGGGGACUGAGCUGAAGCUUCCCUCCGAAAAUCAGCGCAUUCCGACACCCAUAGCCACGGGAAUCAGCAACACACCAGACGGAUGAACAGUGACUCGGGAAUCCGAGUUGAGAGCAUCCGAUGAACAGUACCACCCAAUUUUUAAUCCUUAAGGGCGGUACGUUUUCAUUAAUUCAAUAUGACAAUAAGCAUAAAAAAUCUGCACUAACUUUAUUUCAUGUAUUCCUUUCACAAUAAUCUUCAACAAAUACAUUUAGAGUCUACAUGGCAACAUUCCUAUUUCUUUGUUCUUUUGUUCUCUGAAAUAGAAAAUGAAUAGAAAUUCAUUUGAUAACGUCAGUUAAUUUUUCUAUACUCCAGAAUAGAAAAGUGGUUAGGGAAUAGAUUUAUAAUAGAAACAAGAAGUAUAAAAAAAUAUCUUAUUGUUUUCGGGAACAAUUUUUGGAAAUAAGUCAUUUUUUUUCUUUUCUUUUUUUCUCCUUCCUCACGCCGCCACCACUGUUCGCCAUCGCAUGCUGCCUGUCUCUGCCCAACAACCAGCUAGAGGAGGAAGAAGAGGAGAGGAAAAAAAAAAGAGAAAAAAUCUCUAAAAAAAUAUUAAAAAAUUAAAAGAAAUUCUAUGGCACAAAAAAAACUUGUGGGUCGUACUAAACACGUUCUUGCUUUUUUUAUUUAUUAUGAAAAUAAAAAAUUUAUGCAGUUACCAAACGCGUUAUUUUAUUCCAAAACUACUCUAGGGAAUAGAAAUAGCACCCUUCAACUUUGGUGGAUACGUUCCUUAAUGAAGUCAAUAUUCUCGGACAUUAUUAAAGUUAUCUACUACACAAUGCGCUGCCUGUCGUCUAGUAAAUCGUAUGGAAAAAAGAGAUGUGAAAUGAGUAUCACUUUAGAAAAAGUCAGAAGUUCUUUAGACAUAUAAUAUUAUAAAAAGUCGCGCCGGCAAUCUCUCGUUUCAAUCGCAAAGCCAAGGAAAAUCCCCCAUUAACCUUACAUACUCAAGUAGUGCCCUUAUUGAGACAAAUGAUAAGGCAAAGACAUCUAUGUUUAAUGUAAAAGUCCACGAAAUGUUCUAUCAAGUUCAUGUGGAACAAAUGUCUGAAACAUUGGUACAUACAUCAAUAUUGAUAUAUUAUUAAAAACUCUUUAAAAGGUUUGCCCGAAAACUCAACACUUAAAAUUGUUAAUAGUUAGAGACGCCUCAUCCUUAUUAUUUUUGCCAAAUCCUUGACAAAGUGAGCUGCUAUCAGAUGUCGUUUUCUAACAAGUAUUGUCAAUCAAAGGAGAAUCAAUUGGGUAAUUCAUAUCGUCUCUUAAUUAUUUCUCUCCAUAUGGACUUCCAAAACUCCAUUGAGAGUGUGUUUCAGAAGAGUAAAUGCCGUCACUAUGUUAUGCUGUGGAGUGUCGCUCUUUCACUUUGCUUUAAGUUCUAUUUCUAUUAAUUACAAAAACACAAAUCAUUUUCUACGUUUUGAUUGAUUCGGGACGACAAUAUGCAUUAAAAGGUCUGCACUAACAUUGUUUCAAGCUCUCCUCGCAGGAUUAUAUUGAAUAAGUGCAUUUAAAACAUCUGGCCGUGGUUAAAACUUUCUUAUAUAAAAAUGUUGAAAUAUAAUAUUUUGAAAUAUCAGCAGAAUCCUUAGAUUUUUAUCGUUAUAUAGCAUGAUGCGUGGAUCGUAAAGAUGUCACGAGAUAAUCACUUUAAUAAAAGGUCAAUAGACUAAAAGCCUUUAUAAAGCUGAUAACUAAAUUCAAUCGAUUUUGCACCGAAUGCUAAAGAGAUGUAAUAGGUUGGGUAAUCUAUUUACAUUUGAUGUGCAUUCACAUGAUGAUAGAUAGAUAUCAUGUUCCGAUGCUUCGAUUCGGUAAAUUGUAGGACUUGUCAUCAUCGUGCAUGGUGAACCACUGCAUCGCUACCGGUGGAGGUAUUAAAAUGGGUUUAAAAUCCAUAUUUUGACUCAUAUUUAAUGGCAUGAGUCGUAAAUGGGUUACCUUAAAUUUUAAAAACAAGCUUAAGUAGGUUAUAAAUGGGUUACUUAACAAUUUAAUUGGUCUUAAAUGUGUAUUAAAUAGGUUACGUAACAAGCUUAAAUGAAUCAUAAACAAGUCAUUUUUAUCUAAAAUUUUUCUGACUUUUUUUUUAUAAUUUUUUUUUUAAAAUUCUUUCUUAGUUGGUGGCUAUCAUGAAGACAAUUGGCAAAUGGCCACGGACACGGACAAGCUCAUCGACCUUUGGCACCGGCGAGGCUCAAGCCUUGUCAAUUUGGUGAGAUUCGAGCUAGCUAGAGGUCAUCGAGCGCUAGGGGCUAGCGAGCUCAAGCUUGCAAUCUGACCUCUACCGAGGCUUGAGCUCGCUAGCAUCGAGCAAGAGUUUAGCUUUGCUAGAUCUAGAGAGGUGGAGCAUCGCCCGAGGCGAGCUUAGCUUGGCUAGAUCCAACUUUGGUUGAUUUUAAAUUUUGAAUAUCUAUAUUGACGUACUAUCACAAAAACUUCUCACGAGAUUGCCUGGAAACUUGAGACUUAAAACUAUAGAUAGUUAACGAUGUCUCAAAAAAGUGAGCCGCCAACUACUUGUUAUCUGAACAAUUGAAUAUGUUUAUUAUUGAGUUUUUCUUCUUCUUCUUCUUUUUUAUCAAAAGAGAAUAAAUUACAUAAUUUCUACCGUCUCUUAAUUAUUUUCGUCCCUAAUGAGCUAUAAUAAUUGUAGACUAUGCAAAUGCUAUUGAGUGUGAUUUAUUUUUCACUUUGUUUUAAGUUUUAUUUUGAUGUAUUAUAAGUCACCACUCAUUUUCUAUGUUUUCAUCAAUUCAAUACAACAAUAUGAAUCUGCACUUACUUUGUUUCACGUGAUUCCUUACACAAUGGUCCUCGAUAACCCACAUAUCCAACUUUGGUUGGUACGUUCCUUGAUAAUGUCAGAGUAUGAUAUUCUCAAACAUUAUUAAAGUUAUCUAACGUACAAUGCUCGGAUUGUUAUCUAGUAAAUCGUACAAAAAAAGAAAAAGUCUGAAAUUCUUUAGACGAACGGCUUUUCAAAAAGCCAUGUUGGCAAUCUCGCAUUUCAUUCGCAAAGCCGAGGAAAAUCUGUCCCCAUUAACCUCAUAUAAUUCUACAGUUCCUAUUAUUGAGACAAAUGACGAGGCAAACAUAUUUAUGCUUGGUGUAAAUUCCACAAAAUGUUAGAUCAAGUUCAUGUUGGACAAAUGCCUGAAACAUUGGCACAGACGUAAGAAUUACUGGUCAACCUAAAGUGACCCCCUGAGAAGUAUAGAUAUUUCAAUAUUAUGACUACAAUCUACAUUAGACUUGGGAAUCUAUAAUAUGUAUUGUCUGAAGGGGCCAUGAGAACCACGACACCCGAUUUUAAUAAUAAUUAAGUAUGCACAUAAACUAUUUCCAUGACUUGUAAUUUAUCAAUCGAAGAAAGGGUAGAAAGAGAUUUCUUCCAUCUUGGAGGAAAGCCUAGCCUUAUCCAAUGUUCAGCCUAACAUUUUAUCUUAUCUUACUAUAAGUGGUCUUUCAACAUGUGUAAAGGAGAUGAAAUCAGUCCCACUUACAAAAAUUUGGGAUUCAAAAGUGCCUGACUCUGGCUCGAUUACAAUUUAUGAUCAUGUCAACGAGUGGCCAAAUUUUUGUUUAUCAUUCGUCAUUUAAGAUAUCGCAUCAUUUGUAGCACAAUUAUGUAUGCGGCAAAAAAAAAGAAAAACAUUUAAGUCGUAUCGCAACAAUUUUACAUUACAUAUGAGAAGUCAAAUUAACUCUGAAAAGCUAGUCAGUGUAUAUCGCACCUGGAAAUGGAGUCCUGAAAUUUCAAUGUCUUGAGGGACAUCAACAAGCUGCCUCUUCGCGUUGCUGGGUGUCCCAUCCCUCAGUAUCUCGAAGUUGAUCCCGUAAUUGGAACUCGAACCGGGCACUUGGAGGAGAUCGUUUUCGCGCCAUGCAUGUUGACCGUGAUCAUCGAUGGCCGCCGACAUUUGCCUCAAAUAAGCUUUACUUAGCAUGCCUCUUAUCCCGCUGGGCCCUGAUGGCCUAACACGGUACCGAGACCUGAUUUUGGUACACUUUAGUUCCCUUCUUUUUGUACAUUGCUUUCGCAAUCCCGGAAUUUGAGAUCUGCAGUGCUUGUGACAUAGGUUUGAGCAGCUUUCCUCCAUUCAGAAAUUACCAGAUCUCUGGCCUAGACUGUCUUUAAGCAUCGAAUAGGUUUAGAAGUUUCAGAGGCCGAGUGAAAGUUUUCAGGUUUCAGUUGUCCAUCAGCACUUGGCCCCAGCAAAAGAAGCCUAAAUGAGAUAUUGCUCAAUUUAUCUGGUCACACUGCCCACAUACUCUGUUGAUGUUAUAAUCCUAAACGAUGGAUAUGCAUUGCCGGCACAAAGCUAUUUGAUUCCGGCAUUCUACAAGGGGAAUGUCCCUCGACCAAGGGUGUCCACUUGACCAGUGGUUUGAAUCCGAGAUGCCAUCGUCUUUGGUGGGAAGGAUGUCUAUAUGACUUGUUGCAGCCUAAUCCGUUGCCUGUUGCGACCAAGUAAACCCUCAACUACAUUCCGUCGAACCAUGCCAACUUUGGUUGUGCUUUUGUGGACUCCUGAAGGGCAAUCUUGCGAAGGGGGACUCCUUAGGUUAGGCUAUCCCUUGGUGGGAGUUCGCAUGACUGUCACACCCAUCUGGAAUUUGUCCUCUAUGCCGCGACUUCCAUCGACCUGCACAUCAGGCCCAAUCUGCACGAUACUUUCUUCUCUAGGGGUGAGGUCAUAUGAUGCCAUUGCCAUGCGCUCAUGCAUGAGAAAAAUCCCUUAAAAGCAGGCCGCGCGCUGAUCAGUUGCUUGAGAAAGAAGCCUAAUGCCAUCUGCACAGGGUCGACAGUCCUGCAUAUUCUUGGAGUAGCCCCCCAGAGAUGAUGAUUCAAGAUCAGAUGAGCCUCAAUGCGGGCCAAGGGAUGGACAGCUAGUUAUUGUUCUACAAUGAUAGUGACAUGCUAGCUCCUUUGAUCGAUAUAUGUCGAACAAAUCUGCUGGAUCGACAGCUAGUCUUUGUUCUACAAUGAUAUGUGAUAUGCUAGCUCCUUUAAUCGAUAUAUGUCGAACAAAUCUGCUUGAAGAGCCUGAUCGAAGAGAUCCUUGUCUACUUUCAUCGUUUCCUUCUUUUUCUAGAAAUCUCAUCUAACCAAAUCCGCUCGUUAUUGUUUUACAAUGUACUAGCAUGGAAAGGAGUUCCAUGCUACUAAUUGCAAACGAGUUGGUAGUGUCGGUAACUUGUUCAUCUAGUUGCGUAUUGGUAACUUUCAACAAGUUAAAACAAAUAUCAAAGUUUCUUUAUUCCUCAAAUUUACCAACCAUUUUAAUAAUCUACCAACAUUUACUUUUGUGACUUACCAACCAUUUGAAAUUACUAAAUCUUAAUUUGAUUAAUAUACCAACAUUCAGUUAUCAACUUUGUUUUAGAAACUGAUUUCUUUGUGAUUUACCUGUGAUUACCAAUGCUUUCGAAGCACAACUUCAUUUAAAAAUUUCCCACCUUAGUUUCACUCACAUAUCACAUUCAUCACAUUAACAAANNNNNNNNNNNNNNNNNNNNNNNNNNNNNNNNNNNNNNNNNNNNNNNNNNNNNNNNNNNNNNNNNNNNNNNNNNNNNNNNNNNNNNNNNNNNNNNNNNNNNNNNNNNNNNNNNNNNNNNNNNNNNNNNNNNNNNNNNNNNNNNNNNNNNNNNNNNNNNNNNNNNNNNNNNNNNNNNNNNNNNNNNNNNNNNNNNNNNNNNNNNNNNNNNNNNNNNNNNNNNNNNNNNNNNNNNNNNNNNNNNNNNNNNNNNNNNNNNNNNNNNNNNNNNNNNNNNNNNNNNNNNNNNNNNNNNNNNNNNNNNNNNNNNNNNNNNNNNNNNNNNNNNNNNNNNNNNNNNNNNNNNNNNNNNNNNNNNNNNNNNNNNNNNNNNNNNNNNNNNNNNNNNNNNNNNNNNNNNNNNNNNNNNNNNNNNNNNNNNNNNNNNNNNNNNNNNNNNNNNNNNNNNNNNNNNNNNNNNNNNNNNNNNNNNNNNNNNNNNNNNNNNNNNNNNNNNNNNNNNNNCCCUCGUCUCGGGCUCCAUAGCUGGGAGUCUCGCCGCCGCAGAGCUCGCACAGAGGCACGAAACAUGCUGGCAACGUCGGGACCCGUCGCCACAGCUGCUUCCUCGAGAUGUACACCGUCUGAUGAAUUUUCCUAUUGCACGAAUGCACGUAAAAACUACUUCUUUUCCCGUCAUUCCACGCCUGGGUGGGUGGAUUCAGCUCUCUCUUUUCGGACCAGGCAAGUCCGAUUCAGGCAAAAGAUUUUAGAAGAAAAUGACGAGCAGAACCGAAAAAGAAAUCUUGAAUUCUUGCACCCUAAGCUUUCUACAUAUACUAGGCAUGUCCACUGUUUUUUCCUGUUCGAAAUGUAUCACUUGCGCGUCUAUAUCUAUCUAUUGUUACAUGCGCUUUUCAAAGGAUUGCCUAGAAACUUCAAAACUUAAGUAGUAGAUAAUUAGAGAUGACUUCUCCUUAUCAGUUUUGCCUAAUUCUCAAACAAAAAUAGCUAUUGCCUAGACGCCACCUAAACAAUUUGGCGUGUUUUCCAUUUCGAUAUUAUUAAUUGAUGGAAAAUCAAUUAUGUAAAAUUUUACCAUCUCUCCGUCAUUUCUCUCCAUAACCAAGUUUAAUAUUUAUGGACUUUUUAAAUGUUAUUGAGUGCCGACUUCAGAAAAAUUAAACAUAGUCAUAAAUUAUCUAAAUGAUAAGCUUUUAAAAAAUUGAAUCGGUAAUUUUACACGAUUUAACAAGUUUCAUAUAAACAACUGAACAAAAUUCUACCAUCUCUCCGUCAUUUCUUAAUUCUACUUUCAGAGUGAACCCCUUGAAAAAAACUAAAAAAAAAAAAAAAAGACCCGAAUAUUUUAAUUAAAAAUUCGAAUUUUCUCUAUCAGUCUAGUAAAAUCCAGCAUCAAAACCCGCAAAAUGAGAAGGAAACCCGAAAUCCUGCGCUUGUUCUCCUGAAUCCUCCUGUGCCGUGCUUCCGCCGCACGCCGCCGAGCUCCGCCGGUCUCUGCCGCCGCACCCCGCCGGUCCCUCCGUCCGUCCAUAACCUGAAGGUGACUCUUUCUCCUCCUCAGCCCCUCUCGUGAAAUCUCUUCCUCUGCAAUUUCGUCGUCGCCGGCGUCUCUCCGUCGCCACCUCGCCGGACGCGCGAAUCCCUAAUUCGCGGCGGGCAGCUGUCUCCGGCGCUCCUCUCUGGCGGAACCUCGCCGACUGCUCAUGCGCUAGGAACCCCUGCGGCAGGAAAUUCGAGGGAUGGACGUGAUCUCCCAGCUGCAGGAGCAAGUCAACACGGUCGCGUCGGUCGCCUUCAACACCUUCGGCUCGCUGCAGAGGGACGCGCCCUCCGUGCGGCUCUCCGCGAGUUACCCCGAGCCGCCCCCGACCGCCGCCGCGGAGGACGCGUCCAGCUUCGCCGAGCAGCCCAAGCUGAUGAGUGCUGCUCUUGUCAAAGCCGCCAAGCAGGUUCGUGCCUCUCUCCGGCUUGCUAUCGCAAGUUAUUAGCGAGCUUGCUCAUCGUCUGCUUGAUGCAAUUGGAAGAAUUUAUUUGGCUAGGGCUUUAUGAAGAUUGAUUACUUGAUUUGUUGUGGCAAGAAAAGAAAUUUACUUGUGUAUGAGAAUUGUAUGUAUGGCUAAAAAUCUAGGUUAUGUCCGAAGUUUCGGCGGAGAGGUGUUCUUACUUCGAUUGGCUUUUGUGUGCGUUUAGUCUCAGUUUGGGGACUCUGUGCUCAUUCUUGCAGAGGACGUGACCAGAUUUCAUUCAUAAAUGUAUACUAUGGAAGUUCUCAUCGGUACAUCACGGAUGUGACGGGUAGUUUUGGAGAUGUAAUGCGAGUUGGGUAUUUGGUUCAAUUUUGUGUAUGCCUCCAUGUGUGUUAGUUAUUCCUACAGAAGAAAACGGGAUCUUCUCCAUUUCUUUCUUGUGGAUUCUGUUGGUGGAUAUAUCUGCCACGAGUAUCUCAGUGUGCAUAUAUACAUAGAAUGUGCUGUAAUUUGGUUUACACGAGUUGAAGAAUCUUUCGACUCAUAUGUGUGAAAUUGUUAUGCACAUUUGAAAGAGCCACCACUCUUGUGUAAUCACGACUAUCGUUUCUUUCAAAUGUGUUUCUGCAUCUUAAAGUCCGUAGAAUGGUUUGAGAUUGUAACUCCAUCAGCAUUCUUGAUCUUGAGUAAGGUGGAUUGUUGGUUUCUGAUUUCUAUCUCAUUCACUUUUGUUUUACUUCAUGCUUGAAGUAAAAUGAUGGUCGGUGUGACAUCCUAAAGACUCUGCAGCAUCAGUAUAUUCUUGCGGGUGAAGGCAAUUAGCCUCCAUUUUAGAGAUGAAGCAUUAUGCUUCAAGUUAUAAAAUUUGGUCUCUUUUCCACCAUUUGCUUUGGCAAUCUCAAUAAAGUUCUAUCGGAACUCUUUUUCUUCUGCAGUUUGAUGCCUUAGUAGCGGGACUUCCACUACCCGAGGGAGGUGAAGAAGCUCAACUCAAAAGGAUUGCAGACCUCCAGGUUAAGAGGACCCAUGGUUUUUGGCGUCUUUAGUUCAUUAUUUAUGUUGUUUAAGGCUGUUUCUUAUUCUUCCCAAAUUACCUUUGCACAGGCUGAGAAUGAUGCUGUAGGACAAGAGCUUCAGAAGCAACUUGAAGCUGCCGGUAAUUGCCCUAUCGAUGAGGGUGUGAGGGCAUUUGUCUUGUUCAAUUAUGUAUGUCAAUUUUUGGUCGAAAGUGAUAUUUUCUAUGAUUUUUGGCAUUGGCAGAGAAGGAAUUGAAGCUGGUCCAGGAGCUAUUCAGCCAGGCAACAGAUAACUGCUUCAAUUUGAAGAAACCAGAAUAAAAAUUGAGGACGCUUCUUUUCUUUACCUUUUUCGUAAAAUUUAUGCAGUAGAGAUGAUGACUGAGAGAAAUAGGCAUUCUACUGUUCGAAUAGUGCAAAGAGACCUGAGAUGUCGCAACUCUGUACGGGUGAGUUUUGAAGUCCUUGCCGAGUAAAAGUUUCUCAGUGCACAAAAAGCAUCAAUAUGGGCAUCAAGCCAACCA